rnacentral:lncRNA from 1 species
UGCGAAAAAAGUUUUCAACCGUGUUAUCCUAUUGAGUCAAUUUUGAAUAUUUUAGUCAUACGAUUAAAUGAUAAUAUUUAAUGAGUUACUAUAACCUUUGGUUUGAUUAGGACGUUAUAUGUUGAGAGAUUUUUUUUUUUUUUUGAGAGAGAUAGGUAGCACGCUACCCGUUUCGUUUAUUUCAUUUAGAAAUAAACUUAGCUGAAAAUGUGAAUCAACUAGGAUUCGAACUUGGGACUNAGAACAAGAAUCACUAGCCUCUCCAUUGGCACACUCUUAUGGGCUCUCUUCCUUCUCUCCCAUCUGCAAAAUAAAACACUAAAAUGAAUAACAAUGCACAAUGUAAUCAAAUUUUUUUAUAGUGAAAGAGAGAACAAUAAUUUGUUAUGCGAUUGUGUGAUGUCUAGUAGGGCUAUUAGAAGAAGCAUUGUAUUGCGUCUUUCUAAUAAUGUAUAUUUAUGGACCCGUUGUCUAUUAAAUCGAUCAUUUGGGUAAAUAUUAUAUAAGAGCCAAUUCUAAGUCAAUUCUAAACCCUUUGAUCUUAUGAGGUAGUGAGUUCAAUUUUCAUCUUUAAUAUUUAAAAGGCAUGCGCUUGAGCGGGAAUGUUAGUUAUUAGUUAUAUGCCUAAAAGCCAAUCUGAUAAUACUAAUAUAAGGGUAUUUAUGUAUAAUUAUUUAUAAUUCAUAAUAUAAAGGCUGAUAUUAUAUUCAUAUCUAUUAACUGGCAAUAUAAUAUUGAUGUUAAUCGUCCAUACGGUCCUUGUUUGCGAAGACGUAGAAAUAUAUUUUUUUGUACAAGAUUCUUUAAAUGCCCUUAGCCAAAAGGAUAUUAUAUGAAUGAUAAUAUACCGGAUAGGUCAGUAUAUGCUAUAUUUCUAUUUUAAGUGACGAAUCUCGAAUCGCUAGUGUAGGGACACUAGAGCAAGCAUACAUGUGCUUGUUAGAGAACAAGUAUACUAAGCAUGAUCAUUUAGUUGAGUACUCGUAAGGUUCUAUACUCGCCAAUGACUAGCUCAUUGCUAUAGUAGUGUGAAAUACUCCUCAAAUCUUAGGUAUCAUGGUUGCUUCACGUUUAGAUUACUACUGUUUGACAAUAUUAAUACUUAGAUUCUAGUCAUGAGUCUAUGUUCGAUAUUGAUUUGCUGUAGUGGUUUAUACAAGAAGGCGUGUGAAUACUCAAUAAGGAAUCCAACAUUCUCAAUAAUGAGGGAAAACGUCCUACAUAGUUUAUUGAACUCGACUCGAAAAAUCCGUAGCCAGGGUACAUAGUAUGCAAAAAAAGUCAAUAAUGAGGAAGAACGUCCUACACAGUUUAUUCAUAGCCAAGGUACAUAACAUGCGAAAAAAGUUUUCAAACCUUUUAUCCUAUUGAGUCAAUUUUGAAUAUUUUAGUCAUAUGGUUAAAUGAUAAUAUUUAAUGAGUUACUAUAACCUUGGUUCGAUCAGGACAUUAUAUGUUGAGAGAAAUUAAUCACACGAUCACUAUAAGCAAAAGAGUUUAUUCUUUAUCACUUUUCUAGAUUGUUCAUUGUUGUGAUAUAUUACUAGGUAUCACUCAUGGACAGUAAGAAAAUAUAAUUUUAAAUUGUUCUUAUUUAUUAAUUAGAAGAGUUCUAAUUCAAUAUUAAAAAUGUUGAUAUUAAGUUUCACUGCCGAAUGGUAAUAAAGAUAUGCGGUCACAUAUAAUAGAAAUUUUGUACGGUUGUUCACUUAAGGCUGCGUUUGGUUAAGAGAACUAAAUUUUGAAGAACAACUUUUAUUGUUCUCGAGAACAUGGGAUAUUCCGGUACAAGAUAGAACAAUUGUAAAUUUGUGUUUGGAUGCAUUCGAGGAUAUUCUAGAGGAUAUCCUUAAUAGCGUUUGGAUAAAAAGUCUAGAACAACGUCUAAAUAUAUUUUUAAAANUUUAUAUUAUAUAAUAAAAUUUAAGUAUAAUAUAUUAUCAUAAAAAUAAUAUUUAUACUAAUAUAUUUAUUUAUUAAAUUUGAGCAUUCAUUUAAACAAUUAAAAGGCCAGAAAAAAAAAAAGGGGCCAAAAUCUCUUGUUCCAGCUUGUUCUCCCUUUUAGGGAGAACAAGCUUAACGGGUUGUUUCCGGCUUAACGGGUUGUUCCGGAAACAACCUGAUUGUUCCAAAAAGCAUUGUGUUUGGAGGGAUAUCCCGCCUUGUUCUGGGAUAUCCCUCCAACCAAACGCAGCCUAAAAAAAUUUAGUGUGAGUGAUAAAAAUGAAAGGGAGCUGGUCAAUUAAAUUAAAUAUAAUUAUUCAGCUCAGCUGUGACUAACAUUUUUAAUUAGAUUAUGACUUCAGAAUUAGUUUGAGAAUUAUACACGAGAUUAAAUUCUUUAAUCUAGAUGACAUUAAAUCAUACUACAACAAAAGCGGUGUAUAGCGACACUUUUAAAUAUCGGUAUAGGUAAAUGCUGCUGGCUAAAUUAUCGACAUUUUUUAAAAGUGUUGCUAUAUGUUGGGUUGCUAUAUGUAGGGCCGCCUUGAUAUUUAGCAUCCACUCCUCCAGUGACCUGUGGUGGAAAGACACGUGGCGAUCGUAGCCCUUUACGGUCACUGUGAGAUUCUCGCGGCCUAACUCCAGCCGCCGAAACCCUACCUCGUCGGUUGCGGCGGCGAAGAGGAGAAGGGGAGAUAGUGAUCAAAUUUUUUUUUUCUUUAUAUUUGUAAUUGAGCAGAGUAGGCUGGGUGGGGUUGGUUGAGUAGAAAAACUUUUUAUUUUUGAUUGGAUUUGGCUUUACAUUUAGGCUUUAUUAGAUUUUUUAAAGAAAUUUUGGCAUAAAUAUUAAGACACUUACACAAAAGUAUCCCAAAAAUAUGUUUCUAUAAUCUAAUUCUGUUGUAGUGAUAUAUAAGAUAUUUAAAUGAGAUUUAAAUAUUAAUGAAAUAAUUUUAUUGGAUAAGAUUAAAAUUAGAUAAAAUCUAACUACAAAUAAUUAAAGAGAUUAAUGUUUAUCACUAAUUGAGCUAGCUAAUAAUUAAAUAUUUACACCGACCGUCCCUAGAAUAAGUGACAAAGGGCUUGGUGGUUAGUACCCGAGUUCCCAAGUUUGAAUCCUAGUUGAUUUACAUUUCCAGCUAAGUUUAUUUCGAAAUGAAAUAAAUGAGGCAAAUAGCAUGCUACGUACCUAUCUCUCAAAUAUAUAUAUAUAUAUAUAUAUAUAUAUAUAUAUAUAUAUAUAUAUAUAUAUAUAGNNNNNNNNNNNNNNNNNNNNNNNNNNNNNNNNNNNNNNNNNNNNNNNNNNNNNNNNNNNNNNNNNNNNNNNNNNNNNNNNNNNNNNNNNNNNNNNNNNNNNNNNNNNNNNNNNNNNNNNNNNNNNNNNNNNNNNNNNNNNNNNNNNNNNNNNNNNNNNNNNNNNNNNNNNNNNNNNNNNNNNNNNNNNNNNNNNNNNNNNNNNNNNNNNNNNNNNNNNNNNNNNNAAUAUCUUACACGACAAAAUUUUAACUUGAUUUGAUAAUUCUAUAUACUUAAUUAUAAAACUUUAUUGGGAAGAGAAGAUCUUAUUAAAUAAAAUUUUACUAAAUAGGAUUCUACGUAUAUAGACACAUACAUAUACCUACUUAUGGGAGAUAGAUAAUAAUUAAAUAUUCACAAUAUCUUACACGACAAAAUUUUAACUUGAUUUGAUAAUUCUAUAUACUUAAUUAUAAAACUUUAUUGGGAAGAGAAGAUCUUAUUAAAUAAAAUUUUACUAAAUAGGAUUCUACGUAUAUAGACACAUACAUAUACCUACUUAUGGGAGAUAGAUAAUAAUUAAAUAUUCACAAUAUCUUACACGACAAAAUUUUAACGUGAUUUGAUAAUUCUAUAUACUUAAUUAUAAAACUUUAUUUGGAAGAGAAGAUCUUAUUAAAUAAAUUUUACUAAAUAGGAUUCUACGUAUAUAGACACGUAUAUAUACCUACAUAUGGGAGCUUAGUUUAAAAGAAUAAAUAAAUAAAUAAAAGUUGAGCUGUACGGGAUGAAGUGCCAUAUGGAUUGGGGUGGAGCUCUACGUAAGGUGUGUCUUGUAUCUUAAUUAUUAAUAAUUAGCUCUACGUAAGGUGUGUCUUAAUUAAUUAGAUGCUUAUUAUGAUUUUGGUUUUUGACGUAUAUACAUAUAUAAGACCAAUUUCUCUUCGAAUUUGUGUGUGUGUGUGUGUGUGUGUGUGUGUGUGUGUGUGUGUUUAUUUCUUCUAUCAAUUAGCACCGUUCAGAUUAUCCGCCACUCAUUCGCUUCAUGACACGAUAUACCGAUUCCGUAUGGAUACGUGUAAAGGCCGAUUGAGCACAUGCACAGCUACGUUAGAACUCCAAAAUAAUGACCAAAGCAUAUACUACCGGCUGUACUAUAGAUCAAAAAAUUUUAUAUGGUACACGGUAAGAUUUUUAAAUAUAAAGAGUUUUGUUUAGAUUAAAUUUUGUAUAGUAGAAUGAGAAUGAUUCGCUGGUACUAGACUGAUUUUUUAAUUUUCGGCUUUCAUAUGUGAUAUAUAUAUUUGGCUUCUAACCAAUUUUAAAAUACAAAAUUAUCUUUCUACCAUAUUUUUUUUGCCAUUAAUUUCUUACAUUAAUAUAUUAGUUCCUAGAGGAGAUCAACUUUUUAGGUAACACUCCUAACAAACUUUUGGACCUUAAAAUCACAUUUCUAUUUUUGUCGCUAUAGCAGAAGCUUCAAACUAUUUUAGAUGCCAAAUGCUCCAGUACAGGUAACUAACUAUAAGGGCGCGUUUGGUUCGAGUUAUGUAAUAUUACAGAGCAUUUCGAUAUAUUCAGGUAUCUUAGAUUUCUAAAUGAGAUUACUAUUGAUGUUGUAUAAGCGCGUUUAGUUUAAUACAGUAAUCUAAUGCUGGAUUGCAGUGUUUAUAGUACUAUUAUGUUUGGUUCUGUUUAUAAAAUUGAGUAAUUUAGAGAAUAAAGUAAAAUCUAUUCCAAAAUUGCCCUUAGCCAUAUUUCGCCAAUCUUUUUUUUUUAGUGUUUACAAAUAAUAUUUUUUUACUAAAUUUUAUUUUAAAUAAUUUAAUUUUUUAAAUUUAAAUUUUAAAUUUUAAAUUUGAACAAAAAUAAAAAUUUAUUAUUUUAAUUUAAAAUAUAAAUAUGAAAUUUAUAAAUUUAAAAUCUAAAAUAUAAAUAUAAAAUUAAAAAUCUAAAUUUAAAAUUUAGAAUUUAAACUACAAAUUUGAAAUUUGAAAUUUGAAAUUUAAAAUUUAAAAUUUGAAAUUUAAAAAUUAAAAAUUAAAAUUUGAAAAAUAAUAAUUAAAAUUCAAAAUUUAAAAGUUGACCGUUCAAAAUUUUAAAUUAAUUUUUUUAAAAUGACGUAUUGAAAGGGUUUCGGGAGUUAGAGGGGUAAAAUUGUCAUUUUAUAUAUUAUGCAGUAUUACUGGCUUUCAGUAAUCCAAGAUACACACCCCUCUCUCGAUAAUAUUUUUAGUGUAAUCCUGCAUCUUUGUAAUGCUACAUUAAUGACUCGACUACAUACCAAAUGAACCAAACACGAUAAUUCUGACAGGAUUGCCUGUAAUCUUGCCAGGAUAACUCGAACCAAACGCACACAGAAUUAUCUAUAAUCCUGCCAGGAUAAUCCGAACCAAACGCAUCCUAAACGAAAGCAUAAGCGAAAGCGGGGCCAAACAUACCAUUUAAUUUAUAGCAAGAAAAAAAGAAAUAUAAAGUUAACAAGCUGCAUCAAAGUUAGAGAGAGGUUGAGGAAAUCAAACCAAGUGGUGGUAACUUGACAUGGAUGAUGACUUACUGCUUAAUGACAACACAAACUUCUUAGGGUGAGGAACUGAGAAUGCAAAGUUGGAGAGCAUGUCCAAAGGAUGAGUAAUAAGAAGAAGAAGAUGAUGAUGAUGAUGAUAAAAAUAAGGAGAGAAGCAAAAUAUUGGGAACUAUUAAUAUUACUGGAUCUUGGUGUUAUCUUAAAAAUUAUUAUAUUGAGGAGAUUUGGUACCUAUCUUUUUCUUGUUUGUUUUCUUGUUUUUUUCUCUUUGGUUAAUGCUGAGUGGUGGUACUGGUACAUACAUGUCAAUUUGAGAUUGAGCCACAGUGAUCAUUUAGCAAGGGAAAAACCCUGGUACAAGUAAAGGUACCAUUAAGCAAGUGUUCUCAGCAAAAAGAACCAAAAAACAAAAAAAAAAUUGUAAAAAAUGGUGCCAUUAGGGAGUUCCCUCUCAUUGUUCAAAGCAUGCGUUCUCACCCCCACAAAAGAAAAAAAAAAAAAAACAAAACAAAACAAAACCAAAAGGUUCAUUGAGCAAGUUCUCCAAUGAGAGUAAAUUGGCCUUGUUCACACUCAUUUUGGGGACGCUGAAAUGUGAGCGAAUCAACACAAAACACGUGGCGUGAUAUCUGGAGAAAGCUACAGUUGUUGACUUGUUGUUGAUUUGAUUUAGGAAAUAUAAAAGGAGAGAAAAAAAAAAAAUCAGAAUCUGUAAUCUUAGCAGUAGGCGAAACUUAGCUUUGAAAUAGCGAUAACAUAAAAACCAUCGUGCGAAAAGAGCUACCACCUCGAUGGCCUUCGAUGACGUCUAUGUGAUAUAAUUGUUAUACUCUAAAAAUUUAAACUGUGGCCUCGAGACUUUUUACAAGAUCCAUAACGUAAAUUUAAAUUAAAUAGAAGGAAAUUAAUUAUGCUAGAGAUCUGACAUCUGACAUAACUUGAACUCAGAACCUCCUGCUUUGAUACGAUGCGAAACAACCGUUGUACCUUAAAAAUUUAAACGGUUAAAAAACGGUAUUUAUAUAAUUUUAUAUUUAACAGCCUUACCGGAGAACUCACAUCCACGCUGUUGUUUGCUCCAAAAACCGCCUCCAUCUGGAUCAACAGUCAAGACUGAAAGGGCCAAAUGCAUAUUGGUUUGGUUAGUAUCUAGAGAAAUGAUUCGGUACUUUUUUUAAAAAAAAAUAAAAAAAAUCUUAACCGUUGAUUAAUAAAGGGUAAAAAUGUAAUUUUAAUACUUAGCAGGUAAAAAAAUUAUUUUAUUCAAGGUUAGUUUGGUAAUUAAACAAUACAACAUUUAAAGAAACUUUCAAUUGAGGUCCUAAAUUUACGCACUAAUUAGCACUAAUUUAGGAAAUUAAUUGAUUAACCAAAUUUAUGCAAUUAUUAGGCAUUAAUUUAGACAUCUACUUUAAAUGUUUUAGUGUUUCUAAAAUUAUGCAUUAAUUUAAAUUAUAGAAAUUUUAGAAAUAGUUUUAUUUCUAAAUACGAUGAAUUUAAAUUUUAAAAAUUAAGUACUUAAAAUUUAAAAGUGAAAUUUAAAUUAGAGGAAUUUCAUAUUAUCUCUAUUCGGAAGUUUAAAAUAAUGUUUUAGAAACAAUUAUCUCUAUUCCGAAUAGAGAUAAUAGUUUUAAAUUAGUGUUUCUAGUUAAAAUAAAAAAAAUUUGACAAAUAAAGAGAAAACACUAAAACACUAAGUUAAUGUUUCUAGUCAACAUAUUUAAUAUGUUUNNNNNNNNNNNNNNNNNNNNNNNNNCGGCCUAGCGGAUCCAUCUUUUUAAUCAUUAGUUAGUUAUGGAUUCACAGAUACAUAUAUAUUAUAUAUCUAUAUUUGCAUAAAAUCUUAAUCUUAUCAAGAUGUUUUCUUCUCUUCAAUAAAAUUAAGUAACUCUCAAAAUACUCAUACAUUAUCCAAGACUAGAAUCACAAUUCCAAGUAAAAGAUCUUAUCUCUAUAUAGAUAUAUUUCACAUAUUUUCAAUUAGAUUCUCUAAUUCCUAAUUAGAGAUAAUAUCACUCCUCACAUAUUUAAUUAGAUCUCUAUCAUCUUUUUAAUCUUAUUUUCAAUAAGGUUACUUUACUAAUAAAUUAAUUCCUCACUCUUAAAUACACUUCCAUGAUCUAAAUAUCCGGUAUCCCUCAACACUCUCAUUAGAGUGGGAUAAAUUUAACUUUCGAGGCCGCUCAAGUGUCAGAACUGAUACUGAGAUCCUAAUCUGACAUCUGGGAACUCACUUACAGUUGAAUACCGACAGCGAAUGAAUUAACAUCCUAAUUUCACACUGAUCAAGCGCCAGCUUCUAUUUUCACUCAGCUUUGACACUAAACUCUCAUGUACUGAAAUGACUCGUCAUCCAAACGGAUUCCCAGGUGCACGACAAUUCUAUGUGUGUCGACCGCAUAGGUUAUACCAUCGGCAGUGGAAUCAACAUAAACUGUUUGAUAUUUUAAUUAUAACUCUUCUAAUCGACAAUCCAAACAAUUCAAUUCAGUUAUCUCAUAGUGUCUGCUCGGCCGUCCCCGUAGUGACCCGACUGUGCUGUAUAGAAUGGAAUUCUAAAUUAAUUAAGGUGGUCAUGCACCUUAAUUAAUUGGAUCCAUGAUAGCUAUUGAUCUAUAUACAUAUAGAAAUCAAUCUCUCUCCGAUCUCUCUUCUGCGCGCGUGUUUCUUUCCGAUCAACUUCUCUAUUCUUCAUCGACUGAAAGAUCAUGAAGUGAUUGCUAGCACCGUCCAGAUGGUCCGUGACUCAUCCGGUUCGUGAGACGAAGAUAGAUCGGGUAUGCGCCGAUUCCGUGUGGAUACGCGUAGAGGCCGGGCAUGUGCACGGCUAAUCGGAAUCUCUGUUCGUCAUAUUCAGUUUCAACCGUACAGUAGAUCAAGAGACCUUAACUGGUCCACGGUAAGAUUUCUAAACAUAAAGAGUUUUUUGUUUAGAUUAAUUUUUUGCAUAGUAACAUGAGAAUGAUCCGCCGGCAACGGUUUGAUUUAUUGGUUUUCGGUUUUCAUAUGUGAUAUGUAUUUAGCUUCCGAAAAAUUUUAAAAGUGCAAAAUUAUUUUCCGCUGCGUUUUUCUGAUGUGCCGGUUAUUUUCUAACACCUCGAUGGCCUUCGAUGACGUCUAUGUGAAACAAUCGUUAUACUCUAAAAAUUUAAAUUGAACUAAAAUAGUUUUAGAAUGAAUGACUAUUUGAAAAAUGGAAUGUCACAGCUAGUAUCAGAGCAAAUCACCAGUCGGAAAUGUAAGAUGAGUCUUGAUUGAGUAAGGAUUAUACAACGGGUAGAGCGUGACUCUCAACUAAUUACUACUGUGGGUGGAACGCGACUCUCCACAAGAUCGGCUAAAGACUAACGAGACGAGUCUCACAUCUCGUCUCGCAUCACCUGAUGUCGAAUUUGAAAUAGUUAUAUAUAUAAAAUAUAAUAUGACUAAAUCUCUUAACCCGAUUGUAAUAUUUUGGAUAAUGGUUAGAUCCAAAAAAUUAAGAAAGUUAAGCGUAAUAGGACUAAAGUAGUUUUAGAAUGGAUGAUCUCCUGAAAAAUGCCGUCACAUUAUGGCUCAUUUGAAUUUAGAAAAUAAAGAUCGAAACUAUAUAUUUAGCAAAAUUAUUUGAUCUCCGUAGAAAAACUCUACUAUUAUGAACAAAUAAUAUAGAAAUUAGUAUAUAUUAUCAACAAAAAAAAUAUAAUAUAGUGUAAAAAGCUAACAUGUUCAUGGAAUUACGUAUGCACUAUUUUACUAAUAUGGUAAUGUUUAGUAUUUUAGUUAGACAGUUAUUGCAAUUUGUAAUAACAAUAAUUUAAUUUGUAGAUAGAAUAAUAAUUGCAUUCUUUUAGAAGGUUAAAGUGUGUAGCAUUUAUCGAAAUUAUNAAAAAUUCUCAGAUCGAACUAGAAAAAAAUUAACUAACAAAUUAAAUCACAAAAUAAUCUAAAUUUUAUUCUUAAAUUAUAAAAGAAAAGAUAGAGAGAGAAAAAGGAAAAAAAAAUAGAAAAUAAAAAAUUUGAAAACAUAGUAGAUGUAAAAUGACUAAAUUGCUCAUGUAUUAAAAGACAAAAAUACCUUUUUUUGAGGUACGUGGUAACCGGUACCUCUCCCAAAGUAACCUGCUAUUGCAGGUGACCAUUUUAAAAAAAUUAAAUCUGAGUCGUUGAAUAUGCGUGAAUGAACGGUAAUAAAACAAAAAAAGUAUAGAAGUAUUACUCUAGUAUCUAACAGUAUUGGUUCGGCGCUGAACCCGCUUUAGGUUAAAACAGAAUCCGGUCGGGUCAUUUCUUUAUCUGCGUUUCCUCCGCCAACAGAUCUACUUUAUACUUAUUAAAUUAUGUAUGAUGAUUCUAUAAUUUAGAAUAGUCCUAUAUAUAAGAUAUAGUAAGGUUAAAACUCUUCAUUGAACUAAAAUAGUUUUAGAAUGGAUGACUAUUUGAAAAAUGGGACGUCACAGCUAGUAUCAGAGCGAAUCACCAGUCGAAAAUGUAAGAUGAGUCUUGAUUGAGUCAGAAUUAUACAGCGGGUAGAGCGUGACUCUCCAACUAAUUACUGUUGUGGGUGGAACGCGACUCUCCACAAGGUCUGCUAAAGACUAACGAGACGAGUCUCACAUCUCGUCUCGCAUCACCUAAUGUCGAAUUUGAAAUAGUUUUAUAUAUAAAAUAAAAUAUGACUAAAUCUCUUAAUCCGAUUGUAAUAUUUUGGAUAAUGAUUAGAUCCAAAAAGUUAAGAAAGUUAAGCGUAAUAGGACUAAAGUAAUUUUAAAAUGGAUGAUCUCCUGAAAAGUGUGCCGUCACAUUAUGGCUCAUUUGAAUUUAGAAAAUAAAGAUCGAAACUAUAUAUUUAGCAAAAUUAUUUGAUCUCCAUAGAAAAACUCUACUAUUAUCAACAAAAAUUAUAGAAAUUAGUAUAUAUUAUCAACAAAAAAAAAUAUAAUAUAGUGUAAAAAGCUAACAUGUUCAUGGAAUUACGUAUGCACUAUUUUACUAAUAUGGUAAUGUUUAGUAUUUUAGUUAGAUAGUUAUUGCAAUUUGUAAUAACAAUAAUUUAAUUUGUAGAUAAUAGUAGAGUUUUNGUAACUGUUUAUUUUAAUAAAUUUAUGAUUACAUAAAUUAUAUUAAAUAUGCUAUUUAAGUUAGUAGAGAUGAACGCCAUAUUUCAAAUUUUUAAAACUAAAAAUUGAUUAAUCGGCUUAAAUUAAAUGUAUUAAAAAAUAAUUAAAAAAAUUAAAAUUUUUAAAAGUUGAGUAGCCAGAUCAAUAUGGGUGAUAAUUGAAGUGAAUUCUAAUACAUUUUUACUAUUUUAGAAUAAACUAAUAAAGAAAAUACUAUAUGAAUAUGUUAAAAAAAAUUGUAAAAAUUUGUGCAUAGGCGUAACCUUGUCUUAGGGAUAAAAUAAUACACUUUUUCGUUAUCAAACUUUACUUUAUUAUAAUUUUGGUUCAAUUAAAUUAUACAAUCCAAUUUAAUUGAUUAAUUGUGAUAUAUUUCUAAGAUGAUACCGACGUAAUAUUGUUAUAAUUAAUAACGUAGCAAUUAUUAUGAUACUAUAUUAAUAUAUAGUGCAAUUAUUAGACCCUAAGACUAAAUUACAAUAAUUUAAAAAGUUUGAGUUAUAGAUAACCAAUAAUUUAAAAAUCAGGUCGAAUCGGUCCGUUACACCAGUUCAACCGUAAUCCAAUUCAUAAACCAGUUUAGUUUAACCUUUUAACCAGAUAAAACAAAAUUUUGCUUUGAACUAUUCAAACUUGCAAUUUAACUAUUAAAUUAGCAAAUUAUGAAUGAAGCAGGUAGCUGGCUACAUUUUUCUCAAAAAAAAAAAAAACUAUUAAAUUAGCAAACCGGUUCGAUUUAAUCAAACUGGUUCACGUCAUAUAAAAAUUCAACAACUUAAAAUUAACUAAGUUAAUUUUAUUUUCAAUUGGCAUAAAUUAAUAUUACAAAAAAGUAAAACUUUAAAACUUAUAUCUAUUUAAUUUACUAUAAAAAUAAUGAAGUAAACAGUGAUCUUUAAAUUCAGUAAUAUUUUCAGGUUACUAUUUGACCAAAUUUUUAUAACAUGGUAAAUAAAAAUUUGAGUUUGAGGAGGAAAUGUAAUUGUUUGAAAGUUUGAGGACCAAACGUGCAAUUUGGUCACCUUCCCCUUAAACCUCUCGGAAAGAAACAGUGCUCCGCAACCGCUCUAAUGGCUCGCUUCCUCCGCUUCUCCGCAAAUUCCCUUCGCCUCCUCCUCCCCUCUCCUCAAAACCCUAACCCCUCCUCCUCCUCCUCCUCCUCUCUCCUCAAAACCCUAACCCCUUCUCCUCGUCCUCUUCUGGCCCUCUCCCCUCGCUCCUUCCUCUCCGACCCCGGCCCCUCCCCCUCCGCCUUCGACGAUCGCCUCCUCCGCCUCCUCCGCUCCGAGAUCUCCUACCUCGCCGGCCACCUCCCCCCUCUCCCGGUAAUCCCCCCGCUCCAAAACCCUAAUUCCCCCCUCUUUUUCUACCGUAAUCGACUAAUUUGGUGAUCCCCCCUGCUUCCGUGAAGCCCCCCAAUCGAUUCAGGUCCUUCUCCGUCGAGGACCACCCUGGGGAGCAGUGGAUCCGGCUCCGGUGUGCCCAUGGCGCCGACGAGGUUAAGGUGGACGCCACCAUGUUCGACGGCGCGGCCGCGGUCCCCGACGAGCCCUUGUUCAAGAGGGUGGAGGCGCAUGAGCGGGGCCCGCGCCUCCACAUUAGCCUCGUUGUAGAGGUGUCCCGAGGCGGGGGUGGGGACGAGGGCGAGGGCGAGCCCUCGGUGCUCGAGUUCAUCUGCUCCGCGUGGCCCGACUCCCUCGUCGUCCACAAGGUGUUUCCGCUUAGGAAGAAGGGCGCCGCGGUGCGGCCCUACAUGGGCCGCGAUUUCAAGUGAGACUCAUGAUCCAAAAUUGUAACUUGUUAGUUUUUAGAGCUUAAUUUGGUAGCACCUGCAUUUGUUUGCGUUCCAAACUUUAAAAUUUUGCGCGAUUGAACAUGCUGGUAUCGAAUAGUCCUUAGUUUGUCUACUUAGGGGUUUUGUGAUUUGGGUUGAGAUUUGGUGUAUGGUGUGGCAGGGAGUUGGAUGCGGGAGAUCGGAGGUCGGUGGUGGAGUACUUGGAGGAGAGAGGGGUGGAUGAUGAGCUCGCAGAGUUCUUGCAUGAGUACAUGGUGAACAAGGACAAGUCGGAGCUCCUUCGGUGGCUGAGGAUUGUGGAGUCUUAUGUCCAAAAAUAGGGAAUGCGGUAACCAUUGAAGGGUUUGUCUCCUUUGUCCCUCUAACCAGAUUUGUUUUGGGUCAUCUCCCUCGGCACAAUGCGCACAUCUACAAAAUUGCCAAUUUAUGUUAUGUGAAUGCUUUCUUAAUUUUUCUUGUGUAUUUUUCAAGGAGGAACCCAUAUGCUAAUUUCUUGUAUUAUUAUUGCAUAUGCUCAUAGUAUAUUUGAUCCAUAGUAGGAUUUUGUAAUUUAAGAUAUCCUCUUCUUUUUCGUGGAUGAGCCAUUUUAUCAAAAAUAUUAGUGGAUAGUUGGUAAUUUUACACUUGCUUGUUUUCUUUAUCUGCUUGCAUUGGUUUCAGAUAGUUCUAACAGCUUAACAGAAUUAUAUCGAGUUUUUGCUAAAGUUGAUAAUUUUACCUGGAACUCAUGAGUUUAAGCUUAGUGUGUUACUCUUAGAUUAAUUGUAGUUGUUCUGUAUUCAAAGUACGUAUUGACAUUCAUAGUUAAUCAACAAUUUUCAAAACAUUUACUUGAAUUAGCAAUCUUUUCGAUUUAGGUUACUUCACAAAGUUUGAGGCAAAUAGACAUAAUAAUGUCCAAAUGACAUGCAUGAUAAUCAUGUGCUUAGCUUGGGCAGCAUUUGAUCGCAGGUCUUUGCAAAAAAAUCAGAAUGUAAAUACAGGGUAGUUAAGUAAUACAUUACAUGGUUGUAAUAUGCGAUAGGGCUAAGCUACAGGGUUCCAUUUUGAAGUUUUGCUAAAUUAAGAUCUCAUCAACCUGUGAAUCUAUAGUCCGUCAUCCCUUGUCACAGCUAUGCCGUUGAGGCUUUCUUAAUUCGUACAGGAACUGUGUAUGCUGAUGUGUUGCUUGUUAUCGUGAAUAAUGUUGAUACAUCUCCUUCAGAAAACAAAAGUAUAAAUAAAGAAUGUUUGUGUUCUAAGUAAUCUAUGUGAUCUGUGUUCAGUAAUUUCGUACACAUUACAUGUAGAAAAGUGAAAGGAACAUGCUGUCUAAUUUUUGUGAAUUUCGUUCUGUACUAAACAAUGUCAAUAGAAAAUAAUUGAUGUUUUCCACAGGAUGUAUCAAUUGUACCUGAUAUAUCAACUCUAUGAUAAUCAUUUUCUCAUUUUGGUAUGUUUUUUUUCCCCCUUUCUUAAUUGUCUAAACUUCAAAUUCUAAGUAGUUGGAUCUACUUGCUGGUGGACUUCACCUUUCUGAUUAUUAUUUGUUAGCUUAUAAAAUCUUUUUCAUUUCCGAAAAGAAACAAAGGAUGCAAAAAUUUGCUACUUAAUUUUUUUUUUUUUUUCUGUUGCCAAACAAAUGAAUAUAUGUAUAACUUGCAAAAUAUGGUUUGCACAAACUUUGCAAAACAACAAAAAUGUAAUCAUCGCUAACGAGGCUGAUGCUUUGUAGUUUUAAACUAUUUUACUUUGAGUCGAGUCUCUCCGAAAUCGUAGAGCUGAAUAGGCUCUCUGACUUUGGAGAAAGAAAAAAAAAAAAAAUCCUAUUACUUCUUGUCUGGGUCUUAAAGUAGCAAGCAGAAUGCUUUGAAAACGAAUUUUAAUGACUAAACCAAACUAAAUUUUAGUGCUCCACCAACUGUUUUUUUCCUUCCAUUUUUUUCUCUCAAAAGUAAUAACUUAUUUUUAGCGCUUGAAUUGACCGACAAAAGCCAGAAGUAGAGUUGAUUUUGAAUUUUGACAGAAACUGGGUCAACAAUGGUGGAACAAAUCCUCAUGCUUUUAUAAACCUGGGUAGUUCAUUGUUUGUCAUUUUGUCUGAAAUAAAACUUUGUUUUACACUUAAAAAUGCAUGCAUCAGUUAUGAAGUCCACACGACAUAUAUCUAGAAAAACUCAGAAACAUGUUGACAUUUUUUUUUUUUGCUGCAUUUUAAUUAAAUUAGAAACUGAUUGCAGCAUAUUGUUUGCAGAAGGUAAGCGCUUAUUUGAAUGACCGAAAGGUAACAAUUUGUGACUUUACAAGUUCGCUUCUAUACUCACUUGUAAAGGAAAAGUUGACGUAGAUUAUUUUCUGGUUGAUUGAACUAGACUACAUGAUUGCAUUUCUUUCUGCAUUAAUAUGCUUGGCAGAGAAACCUUCUUAUCGGUAUGUAAGCCGAUGUCAAGAUUUUCUGAAAGGUAUAUAUAAUAUAAGCAAUUCUCAAUGGAAUAUGCAAACAAACAGUUAGUACAUGUAUAGACGGAAAAUUUCCCUUCCUAUUUAAGACCCUCUGGGUAGAGCAACCUUACAACUUAAGUUUGUGGUCUGUCAGGCUAUCUGAAACAAAAGAUAAAAGAGUUUGGUGUAUUUCUUUUUGGAGACUCUCUCUAUGUAAAUUGUUCGGCGAAGUAGUGACCCAAAUAUAUGCAACCUAAAUGCAGGUGGCUUUCUCUGCGUGUGGCCAAGUUCACCUGCUGGCUAUUCUACUAGUUUCCUAAGUAUGGUUCUCCACAAUAAUAAAAAAUGUUGAUGAAAACUACGUGAACUAUUGAUUCUUUCUUCUUGGAAACACUAGUUGCUUAAAAAUCUUAUUACAGACUUCUGAGUUAGACCAUGUUAAUUUCAUAUAUUUUAAAAUUUGGAUAAUAAGGAUGCUGUGAUGUUCAUUUAGCUUUGCGGGUGAUUGCUUUGGUUAGCAGGUCAGGCAUAGAUAAUCUACAAGAUUGAAAAUGUACUCUCUUUGUAUCCCAAUCCUAUUCAGAUGCACUGCACAUAUGUCACUCCUGUAGUUACAAUCUAUUGAUUUAGAUUAAACAUAAGCUCUGGCAUUUUCCUCAACAUGCAUGCAAAUCCAGCUAAUUCAGCUUUAAUUCUCAAAAAUAUCAAACUAAUAUUGAGCAGGACAAUUGAAAUGUAAGUACUAUUUCACAGUUUAUGCCAUUUCUCUUGUGAUGGAUCACAUCUAUUAGAUAUAACAUUUAAUGGUUCCAAGGAUAGUCAUUUCUAAGAAUAUAUAAAGGCAAAACAAGUAGUAGUUUUUUUUUAAAUUUGAAAUUGCCCCCUAGUAUUUAUGGAGAGACGGGUGCUUUAUGAACUAUUGAAUGUGUAAGAGGCAUAGAGAGAUCAGUUGCUAUCGUUGAACUAGUAGAUCUUGCUGGAAGUGAUGACGAACUAAUAUUUGAUUGGGCAGUUGCUGAGAGACUGCAUGGGUAGCAGAUGUCAAAUGGGUUAGAAAGCUCAGGCAAAGAAUUUACUGGGUUAGAAAGCUCAGGCAAAGAAUUUACUCCUAAGAAUUACUGUGGUGGAUAUGACUUUUUAAUUCUACAUAAUUAGAAUUGGAUAGUUAUAUUCUGUGUGAUCAUGACAUUGUAACUAUAUGUAAUUAGUAUAUUUUCUGUACAAGACUGCUAUUUUUGGGCUCUUUCUGCAUUAGCUGAUGUUUAAGCUUUAUAUACUCGUCCUUGCUUGAAUCUUUGCCCAUGUAGGAUCUUUUCAUAGUGAAUCUCUGUAAAAGCAUUGUUGGAUUGGCAUGGUCAAAUGGGGCUACAGCUGCCUAUGCUCUAACUUCAUUGCAGUAGACACAAUCACUUGUGCAUGCUUUCUUUGAGUUGAUCUCCUCCUACUUGCUACAUUUUCUUUUCUUAUCCGGUUUAAUGCUGUUAUUGUUCUUUUUUUUUUUCAGUUAAAUUGGUUCAUAUUUGUUUCCUCGCGGAAACGGUGGUACUGAGUUUAUCAAUUUGACUAUGUCAAAACAUGAUGGCAAGCAUUAGAAGGCCUUUAGAGCUAAUUUUUCUACAGCUGAUGAUUAGUAACACUUAAAGAGCCAUGGAUCUCAGGUAUUACCUACUAGCCUGCCUAGUCUUUGUUGAUACUGACAAACUUUAUUGUUGUUGUUAUUAUUGGUGGCCAAAAGUGUUGAGGGUCCCCGAACUUUGUUUUCUUCUUUAAUUGAAAUUAUAUGUUGUAUUCUUUUAUUAAAUUUUGUCAGAAGAGUUGUAAAAUAUUCCAUCAAGAAGAAGAACAUAGUUCAGUUAUAGAAUAGUCUGUCAUUUAUUAAUUUAACCAAAUCGCAAUUCAACUGACUAAAAUAACUCAAAUAAACAAAUGAAAUUUGAGGAUUACCUAUCAAAACAAAAAAGAAAAAAAGAAAUACAAUCUAGGAUCUGUUUCAAAGUGGCCGAUAGUCGACGGCGACUUCAUACAUAUCUACCUUUUUAAAAUCAAACAAGAAGACAGUGGGAGUUGGGGGUUCAAAUCUGAAAUGCCGAAGGUCGGGGACUUGUUUCUUGAUUACCUAUAGUUGGUUGAUGAGUUUUUUGAGCCUUAUUAUUGUUAUGUUUGAUACUUAAAGCAUGUUGGGUCCCAUGAUAUCUGCUUAAAAUAUGUUGCCAUUUCAUCACACAAAUCUUCAUUCUUCAACCAGAAUCUAAGCAUGGCCCCGGCCCCACAUGUGCUAUAUUGAUUAAAGUUUUUGUCAUUGUCAUUUCCCUACCAGACACUAAAAGAAAACUAGAUAAUUGUAUUGAAUUUAUGUGUCUCUAAAUUCUUUUAUAUUUAAGUUCUGUUCUGUUUUGCGCCUGAAACUACUCUGAAGAGGUACUUAGAUAAUGCGAAGCACGCCUUUUAUUAAAUAUUUGUUGUUCACUACAUUCAACUUUUCCGCCGGUGAUCUCACUCUAAGUUGCUUAUGCAAUGGCUUGCUAUUAUAUAUGCGGAUUAUAUGUGGAGCACUUUUCAGGUUACAAGGGAUUGUGCAUUAGUUGUGGUUUGUUCCUUGAAGAUAGAGAAUAUAUACAUCAUUAACCCUGUCCAUGAUCUUAGAGUGAGUUAUGAAUCUGACCAAGUAGAUAAUAUAAUGACUUAGAAAAAGUAUUAUUAUGGCAAAGCAUGGUUUGCGUGUGGAUUGGAGUAUGCCAUAUUAGAACUAGUCCUAUAAUUUUCUGUGUCUGAGUGAUUAUAGUAUUUUUAAGUUAAUGCACAACUUGUUCACAUCAAUACAAGAGCAAUUCAAUAUUUACUCAAUCUGUAGUGAAUUGCAGGAAUGUAGUAGAGACACAAUGCUGAAGAUUUUAGGAAAUAAAAGUGCACUAUAUAUGUGGGUGCAAAGUGUUGUAGGCUCCAGUAGCCUCUCUCUUUUUCUUUUUUCUUUUCUUUUUCUUCCCUUCUUGAGGAUAGUAGCAAAACAAUUGUAUGGAAGAACUUACAUGCAGUGUUAAAUCACAGUCUGGAUUGGAUUCCUGCAAAAAAGUAGUGAGCAUGUUUGGUUCUGCUUUAGCUUCUGCUUUCUAUUGUAGUUAUUUGAAAUAAGAACUUCUGCUAUUGGAUUGUGAUUUGAGGCUCAUAAAUAGAAGCUUCUAUUUGGAGCAUCUGAUGUUGCUUUAGAAGUAAGUUGUUGAGAGAAAUUUAACAUUGUGUAUAUUUUAAUAAAUUUUUAAAAAAGUAUUUUUUCAAACAAUAUUGCAUUGUACUGUAGUGCCAAUAGAAUUGGUCCUAACAGCUUUAAGCUUUAAUUUUAGGUUAAAUUACAUAAAAUUUUUCUGUCAAAACCCGAUUUUUCACUUUUCCCUCUGUUAUUUAAAAAUUUACACUUUGCCUCCUUGUAAAAUAAAAAAUGUUCACAGGGGGUACGGUGUGUAUUGUGAUGAUAAAAUGAUCAUUUUGUCCCUCAUCAUUUUCGUCUCCUCCCUCAUUUUUCUCAACCGCCGCCUCGAUCGGCCAUGGUUCACGCCUCGAUCGGCCGCGGUUUUUCUUCGUUUUCUUCUCCUCCUGCUUCCCUUCUCCUCCCGCACUCUCGCCGCCCCUUGAUUUCGGUGACAGUAGGGAGGAAAUCGAGGUGGGCGUGGAUGGAGAGGUGGGUAACGGCAACGAGGGCGAAGGGGUGUUUGUGGGCGCAGAUGGGGAUGUGGGCGAGGGCGAGGCAGUGGCAGUGGAGGAGGGCGAGGCAGAGGAAGACGAAACUACAGGGAAGAGAGCGGGGAGGUAUUUUUGGCAUAAAAAAAUAUUUUAUAACGGAUCACUAAUGAUAGUAGGUGAAGUGUAUAUUUUUUAUUUUAAAAGGGGGCAAAGUGUAGGUUUUUAAAUGACAGAAAAAAAAGUAAAAAAUUAGGUUUUGAUGGGGGGGCGGGGGUUUUGUAAUUUAGCCUUAAUUUUUUUUCAACAACUUUUGCGUAAUGCAUAAGUUAGAACCAAGUGCUUCUGCUUUUUGAGCUCAAAAUUGUAAUCAUAAAAAUUAUUAUGUUAUACUGACACGGGACAUUGGACGCUAGAUAUGUAGCACAUGUUUUAACUUAAACAUGAGCAUGGGACAUAUUUUAUACUUCAGAAACCAUUUAUAUAUGCUUUUGAUUGAGAUCAUGUGGGUACCCUGAGCUUCAAUCCAUAUACAUUUCAUGUAGAAACAUUGCGUUCAAAAUUUUAUUCAAACCCUAGAUAGCCUAUCAUUUGGAAAUAGAAUAAGCAAUUGAAUUUUCUUUUUCUUUUAUUUUUAUUUGUCAUUGAUCUAAUUUUGGCCGUAAAUGGAAAAAUAUAAAUGUAAGAGAAAUAACGUAUACCAGUAACAGAAAACUAGAGUUAAACGGGCAUGCUUAUGGAAAUUUAUUUAUUACCAUCCUUAGUUGAAAUGAUAAANGAAAAAUAUAAAUGUAAGAGAAAUAACGUAUACCAGUAACAGAAAACUAGAGUUAAACGGGCAUGCUUAUGGAAAUUUAUUUAUUACCAUCCUUAAUUGAAAUGAUAAAAAUACCAUUUAUAAGAUAAUGUGGUGAUUCAAAAUUUUGAAAUUUUUGUAUUUGCUUUUAAGAUCAGUUACUAUUUGUUUGUCUAAAUGAAGCUAAAAGGUAAGUUAAUUGACUAUUUUGGACAAUUUUAAAGGUUAAUCCUUACCCUUCUACUAAAUAUCGUAGAUAAUAAUAAUAAUAAUAAUAAUAAUAAUAAUAAUAAUAAUAAUAUGAGCAUGUGAACCAAAUUAAGAAGGAUAUUGAUUUACAAAAGUGGAACGAGAGAGAGGUGAAAAUUUAUGGAGACCCCUCUUAACUUUCGAUUUUUUUUAGUUGAGUCAUUUUAGUCAAUUAAAUUAGAAAAUUUGUUAAACUUAUUACUCCUACAAAAAUUUAGAACUUAUCGGGUAUCAAAUUAGAAAUUUUUUUAAAACAGAAAGUAAAGUUGAAGGUGCCUUUUCAAAUUAGGCGAUAGUUGAGGGGGCCUUGGUGCAUUUUCAAUCCGCAAGAUGUAAACACGACGUAAUUAAAUGCAAUGGGACUAAAAAAAUAAAAAAGAGAAACAAGUAUACAUAUAGUUAUAUACACAAACAACCCACAAUUAAUCACGAGUUAAACAAACGAAACAUCAUCGAAUGUUCAAAUCCUUUACAAAAAUACGAACUAAUUAAUGAGCCUAGACCAAAAUAAUCGGCUUAGUCAAAUACAAAUUUAGGUUAAAUAAAGUAAAAAUCACUUUAUAAAAGAAACAUAAAUAAAUUAGUUCGAGCUUAAUCACCAGCUAACUAAAGCCUCAGGGUCAGGUCCAGUUUAGGCAACUCAUCUUGUCUAACGUUCAAAUUGCCACCACCACUGCUGCUGCUGCUGCUGCUGCCGCCACCGCCACCGCCACCGCCGGCGGCAGCGGAUGCGGCCGACAGAUACCCUCCGGACGCUGCCGACGUCUCGUCGAACCUCGAUAUGAUCGGCGGCGGCCUCGCCGACAUUGCGUACGCCUCAUGCGGAUACAUGCGUCCGAUNUUCCUUCGUCACUGUCCUCUCCUUCUGUCUUGCUUUCGAGUUGUGGUGUUACGGCCUCUGCGUGUUCGCUACCCACUUUUUUCUCACCAUCUUUUUGAAAAGUCUCAUCCAUGUUGUAGUAAUCCAUGAUGGUGUUGUUGUUGUUAGGGCACAAAUAACAUGGGGGGGUUUUGUACUUGUGAUUGAUGUUUAUUAUUAUUAUUAUAGGGAGAGGGUGAUAAAGCAUGAAUGGAAAAGAAUCAAAUGAAUCUCCCAAAGAUGGAAGUGGGGGUUGGGAGUUACAAAUUAGAAAAGAGUAGCGAGAGAGAAAUUAAGCUUACAUGGAAACUUAUGUGGCUCCUCUUAAACAUGUUGGAUGUUUCAUGCAUCUCCUCUCUCUCUUCUCUCUCUCUCUCUCUCUCUCUCUAGAAAUUAAUGCAUUGUGAGAGGGAUGAAUCAAUCCAAAUUUGAUAAGAAAAGUGAUAUAUUAAGACAUUUAAUCACAUGAUUGGUGAGAGAAGGUCUAAUACUUCCAUAUUGAAGUGAUGUCACAUAUGGAUGGACCUAGUCUUAGCCACGAGGCUAACUAUAUAUAUGACAAAAAAAAUAGAAAAAACAAAAAAACCCCAAAAAUAAAAAUUAGUUUACCCUGCCGUAGUUUAGCGCCUAGUUAGUUAAUUCGCGAAUUAUUCGCGAAUUAUUGAAAAUUCUAAUUAAACAGUUUAUUUACGAAUUUUUUUCAAAGAAGAAAAAUUAUUCACGAAUUUUUGAUCUAGCCGAAUUAUUCGCAAAUUAUUAAAAAUAUAAAUAAAAAAUUUAUAAUUUUUUAUUUUUAAAUAUAUAUUAUCUUAUAUUUUAUAUUUUAUACUGAAUCCGUUUUUUAAGCCGAAUUUUUCAACGAAUUUAAAAAUUAGAAAAUAAAUUUUAUACGUAUUAUACCCGUACCGAAUUUUUGCCGAAUCCGAAUUAACUAACUAUGGUUUAGCGCAUUUUUACUUUAUCAUUUUGUAGUUUAAACAAUUUACACUUAGGUUAUCUAUAAUUUAAAGCUUUUUUUUUUUUUUUACUUAUCAGUCACCAUCUAAUUCAAAAAACUACACAUGAAUAUCAUAUAGUUUUAUUUUUUAAUAUAAUAACAUCAUAUAGUUUUUAAAAAAUAUCACUUUAAUAUCUAUUUAGUGGGAAGUUUUUUCAUUGAAAUAAUAAUAAAACCACACGAUAGCUAAGCACAACCUUAUUUUUGUUUACAAAUUAAAAAUACGUUAAACUACGAGGUGGACAAAUUAAAAUUUACCCAAAAAAAGGAAAAACCUUUAACUGCUUUUUUUUUUUUUUUUUCAAUUUUCACUACAAAAUGCUAUAAUUUACCAACUAGAGAGUGGUACGUAAUUAAAGUGAAAAAUUUUACAAAGAAAAAUGUGUAAAUACUUCUUGAAAUGUACACUUUCACGAGCCGGCGCGAAACUUUUAAUCUUAUAAAUUAGACCCCUUAAACUUUACCAAAACUUCAACAGAUCUCGAUCUUCUCCAGCGAUGUUAUUAAUUGGAAAAUAGUUUUACUCGCAUGCGUUGUAGCAUUUGAUCUUAUGAUUGUAAAAUAUAUAAUUUUACUGUUCUAUUUAAUGGUAGAUCUUUACGAUUAAACAGAUCUGCAGAGUAAAUAAUAAAGUAAAACUUUUCAAAUCACGUGACGGCAAAGUAAAAAUACAUUAAACAAAGGGGGUUAAUCAAAGUCUACUCAAUCUUUUAUGUGCACCAAUAUAUCAGUAAACAGUUAUUUAAUGUGUAUAUGUUAGCAUAUAUUAAUUCCAAUAUUAACCUUUGAGGUAAAGUACAAUUUUUAUAUUUUAUAGGAGCAAUUUCAAACAUUCCCCUCAUAACUUUAAAAAUAUUACAAAUGUCCCUUCAUAUUUGGUAAUAUCAUUAUUACCUCUCAAAAUUCUUAAAUUAUAUCAUAAACAGUCUCAGAUUAGUAUAAAAUUAUAGUUGAAUUAAAACAUAAAAUGAUAAAUUUUACUCCUUUUUAAUUAAUUAUAGUUAAUAUUUUGGUUACCGUGAAGGACUGAGAAAAUUAUUUUGUACGCACUUGCUAAUUAGAUUCGCAUCUCCCAAACCCUAAAAACCCUAAAAUCCCUAACACCCUAAAAUUUCAAAUUCUUAAAACCCUAAAAUUCUAAACCCUAUAAUCCAUAACUCUAAACUUUAAAACGCUCCAUGGGCGGGCGUAACGGGAAAAUGGCCAAAUUUUAAGCAGAGUUAAAAAAAUAAGCAUAAUUUCAAUAAUUUUAUGAAAUUAAAAAGAUUUUUUUGCUAUUGAAAAUUUUUUAGGGGUACCUAUGUAACUAAUUAAGGGUACUCUUCUGAGUACUCAAGAAAUUAACCCUGUUUUAUAAUUAUCCUUCUAUUUAUAAAUAUUGUAUUAUCAUCUUAAGCUAAUUAUAUUAGAACCUAUUUUUAUAUAUAAAUAGCAUGUUAGGAAACAGCUAUAGAAUAUGUUAAAGUAAACAUAACAUUGUGUCUCUUUUGCAUUGGAUCAUGGGUGAUUUCAUAUUUGCUAAUUUAGGAAUCAACAUAUCCUGGAUUAAGAUCUCUACACGUAAAGUUGCAGCUGGUUUAUUACCAUAAUUAGGUAAUUCCCAUGUUUUUAAUUAAUGGUGGAUAUUAUUAUUAUUAUUAUUAUGUGUGUGUGUGUAUAUAUAUAUAUUUAUGGUAUAGGUGCAUGAACUAAUAAUAGUGAAGUGAUGAGAUUUGGUGUGUAAAUAUGAAAAGAUACGGCCAAUGAAACGUUUCGUAUAAAAAGUAAAUAAAAACAUAUGCAUUUGUAUCUAUUAAGUGAUGGGAUAUUGCUUCAUAAAUGUAUGGUACAUAAAAAGUUCAAAAUUAAAGAAUAAUAAUAAUAAUAAUAAUCUUGUAUGCUACUCAAAAGUACAUUUCACACUUGAGGGAUUUAAAUAACUAUUCUAGGAUUAAUACCUUGUCCAAAUAUACAUUAAUCUAACUCUUAGCUAGCUAGGGUUUUAUUUAUUUUUUGUUGGUUUUUGUUUAGGUACAUAACUAGCUUGGUUAAGUAAGGAAUAAUUCUAGCUAGCUAAUUCUAGCAAUAUUUAUCAAGUGAUUAGCAUUUCGAGAACGUGAUUAGCGAUCACGUGAAAUAACUUAGGAACUGAUUGGUUUUCCGUAGAUUUAGAUUCGACAAGUUAGAGUUACAGACAGAUGAAACUGGAGCAAUUAUAGCUGUAUCACAUUUGAAUGUCGGGAGGAAUGUAGCAACAAAAGCUAGAGGAGUAUAUCCUUAUAUACUUUCAACUGUCGUAAGUCAAAUUUGCAGCCGAUUUGGCCUCAGGUCGAACUACUGUAGUUGGAUUUUGAGUUUAACUACUGCAGUUGAAACUAAACAGGAGCUUCGAUUGUUGCAAGUGGACUAUAUUUGAAUUGACUAUAAUUUUAAUUGCAGCAGUUGUUAAAGAAUCAAAUCAUCUUAUUUAAGGGGAAAAAAAGUAGCAUUUUUGAGCUAGGGAAAAAAAUAUACAUGAAGGGUAAUUUAGACAUAUCCCUUAAAACUUAGAAAAAUAUUAUAAAUAUCUCUUCAAAAUUGUCAAUAUCCAUAUUAUUUCUAUAAAUCUGUAAAUAAUAUCCGAAACAUCCUUUUUCUUAUCAAUUUUCGUUAAAGUUUUAUUAGAAUUAGCCCUCAUGAGAGAAACUAUCAUCUGACUUUGUGUUCUUGGUUCAAUUUAUACGAUUUUAGGAUAGUUUUUUUUCUUUUUUCAGUUUAUAAUACGAAUACGUUUUGGUUCAAUUCAUGCCUCAAUUUUAUUUUAAACAUUAGUACUUAUUUAAAUUGAUAAAGUCUAAAUUAUCUUUUUAUUAAUUAAAGGGCAUUGAUGUUUGUCACGCAUGCAAUGUUGGGAACAUUUUUUUUAUAUUGACAAUUUUUGAAAGAUUCUACAAAACUAGUGGUGGAGGAAAAAAAAUACAAAUACAAUUUUUUUUAAAAAAAUUUCAUACUCUUUUAAUUAUAUUGUAUUUAUAAUUACAUCAAAUCAACAUCAAAUGUGCGCUAAGUUAGGAAGAGCCCCACUUUUUCUUAUCUACAUUUCUUUGCAUGAGUACACAUUUUUUGGGUAUCUUCGGUUCGCCAUUUUUUACUCAGAAAUUAGAAUCAGAACAGAUGAUUAGUAUAUGAGAUUUUCAUUCCAAUUUCGAUUUCUGGUGCAUUGUGAAUCCCCCGAUCACUUAUUUUCUCUAAUCUGGCGUAGGAGGUGGGAUUGGAAAUUAAAUUCUAGCGGAAUGAAUGCUUGCUCCAAAAAUAGUUCAAUUAUAAUGUAUAAUCUUUAUUUGAAAUUAAAUUAAUUUUUUAAAAUUUAAUUUUUAAUUAAAAUAUGAGUUCAAAAUUAAGAAUUGAAAUUUCAAAUUUUAGAUUUUGAGUUCAACUUAAAUUGAAAUUUAAAUUCAAUCAAGAAUUUUGAAUUUGCACUAUGAAUUUAAAUUUAAUUCAAACUUUACAUUCGAAUUUUAAGUUUUAAUUGUGAUUAAAUUUAUGGAUUCGAAUUGGAACUCAAAUUGUAAUUCUACAUGUAUAAUUUGAAUUCAAUCGUAAGUUAGUUGGUUUCAUAUUUUGAACUGUUGACUCAGUUUUAAAUUUUUUUUUUUUUUUUAGAGAGAUAGGUAGCACGCUACCCGCUUCGUUUAUUUCAUUUAGAAAUAAACUUAGCAAGAAAUGUGAAUCAACUAGGAUUCAAACUUGGGUCUCGGAUACCAACCACCAAACCCUUCGCUACUUGCUCUAUGGACGGUCGGUACUCAGUUUUAAAUUUUAAUUUUUAAAGAUUUAUAUUUUCAAUUUUGGCUAUCAUUUUAAAAUUCUUACAUAAACUUUUAAUACUUAAGUUUUAUUUUGAAUUUAAAUUGUAAACUAAAUUCUAUGUUUGGAGUUGUGAACUCAAUUUAAAAUUUAAAUUUUUUUUAUGUUUUAAUUUAGCUUCUUUUUUUUUUGACAACUAAAGUUUUUUCCAUCACUACCAAAUAGUGAAAAUAAGAAUCAACUAUUCUAAUCCGAUUGUCUUUCUAAACCAAACAUAUUUGGAGAUUUUACCGCUCCGUUUUUGGUUCCGGUCCAUUCAGAUUUUCAUUUCGAUUUCCGAUUCUCGAUUUCUAUUUUAAACCAAACACGCUCUUUAUUUCUCUUAUGCAUAAGCCAAAUAUAUAUAUAUAUAUAUACAUAGGGUGGAUCUAAUUAAAAAUUACGGUGUCGUUAAUUACUCCGAGUUCUCAAUGAGAUGGUGAAUGUUGAAUAUGUGGACUUUAAUUAGGUUUUAGAUGCAUAAGCCAAAGAGGGGGAAUAAAAAAAAAAAAAAGGGUAAACUUCAAAUAUCACCUCUAUGGUUUCGCACUUUCUUACUUUAGUACCAUGUGGUUUACAGGCAUGUGGUUUCAUUUUUAUCUUUUCGUCAGCUUUUCUGUUAAUUUUUGUUAAAUUAUAUACAAAAAAUUUUAGGUACUUUAUCUAGAUUUAUCGAAUAUUCACUUUAGUAUCAUUUAGUUUUAACUUUAUUACUGAUUUAACAAAAAAAAUUAGUGGAAUCGAUAAUAAAAAAAGAAAAAUAAAAUCACGGGGUACUAAAUUGAUACAAUUUAAACCAUAUGGUACUAAAGUGGGAAAGUGUGAAACCACUAGGAUGGUAUUUGAAGUUUACCUUUUCGAAUAUGAGUAUGAAAAACGAAACACUGACAGAUUUAGAUUCGAUAUGGAUUUCGUCUGUACCUGAACCUAACCCGAACCCAACCCUAACCCGAAUUAAUUUUUUAUUAUAUAAUAUGGUAAAUGUUUGGGGUUAUAUUUGAAUUUAUAUUUUAAAAUUUUAGAUCUAAUGUAAUGUGUUUUGAAAUAUAGUAAACAAGUAAUAAUUGUUUCGGGAUUUGAGUUUCCAGGUUCAGGUUGGAGUUUUGGAUUUUUGGUCGAGUUUAAGUUCGGAUUUCGAAUUUGAUAGGUGGGUUCAGAUUUAGAUUUUUAAAAAUUUACUUCAAAUUCAGCCAGUUGACAUUCCUUCGUAUAGAGAUAUGUAUGAUUUAUAAGACAAAGGAUGAAAUUCAAUCCUUAGAUUACGUAAUUUAUAAAAAAUUUAUUAUAUGAUUUAUUUGUGAACAUAGCAUUUCUUUCGUUUUUUUGUUUUUUGUUUUUGUUUUUUUUUUUUUUUUGUGCUGCUUAAACAUGUCUGUUUCUCCCUACCAUAAAAAUCCAUAAUAGAUAUUUUAUCCCAGAAGCCAGAGAAUUAAGAUUCUCAUUUUAGAACAAAUAUGCAGAGCUUCGAAUUUCUGAUCUUCAAUGUAUAUUCACUUUAGAAAUCUAAUAAUCUGUCGACACCUCAAUAAGCGAGAAUCAAUGAGUGGAGUCGAAGUGACAGCAAAUUAAUGAUCUACAAAGCAAGAUCAGUGGAGAUAAAGUGACUUGGAAAAUGUCUCAUCAAGUGAUUUUUCUACAUCGACACAUAUUUACGUUGCUUUAUCUGUCGUUCAUGCUGCUUUGAAAUUUUGAAAAGCGAUAGCAAGUGAUCUACGAACGAGAAGAGUGCAGAAGAAAAAGUGUCGUGGAACAUAUCUCGUCAAAUGAUUUUUCUACUCCGACACGUUUUUAUACUGCAUUAUUUGAUGUUCGAUCACGUCGCUUUAAAACUUUUAAUCGAUUAGUUGAUAAAUAGUGACUAACACAGCCUCAAAAUAGAAACAAUCAAUCUCUGGUAAAUAUCUGUUGUGAUUCGAGUCGGUCACCCAUUAAAAAGAAUAUAUUUGAAUAAGGAACAUCUUAUAUUCUCUUAUUGCCUCCCACUAUAUAUAUCCGCCGUUUAAUGUGGAUUUAGACGAAAAAUUUCUAAAUUAGAACAGACCUUAAAGUUUCAGAUGCGGAGCGAAUUAUAUAGUUUUCCAAAUUAUUUCAACGAGUCCUCAAUGAAGUCGUGCUCAACGUAUUUGUGAAUCGAUCCAGCAGCUGGCACUACAAUAAAAACGGUCUAUAGCGACACUUUUAAAUGUAGGUAUAGGUUAAAAAAAAUAUUGCUGGCUAAAUUACCGAUACUUUUAAAAAGUGUUGCUAUAUGUGGGGUCGCUAGGUAUAUAGUGAUAGUUAAAGAGUGUCGCUGUAAUCUAAAAAAGUGCUAGUAAUUAGCAACACUUAUUUAAGCAUCUAGUAACCGCCGGAACUCUAUCUCGUUGGCUGCUGUGGCGAAGGAGGACGAGAGGGAAGGGCUACUCGUCUAGGAUUUCAGUGGAUUGAGUGAAGGGAGAAGGGGAGAUGGUAAUUAAUUUUUCUUUUUUUUUUCUUUUUUGUUUGGAAUCGCGCCAAAUGGGCUGGGUUGGGUGGGUUGAGUAUAGUAACCUUUUAUUUUUUGUUGGAUUCGGCUUUAUAUUUAGGCAUUAGAAUAUGUUUUUUUAAAUUUUAACAUAAAUGGGACACUUAGACAAAAGUGUCCUAAGUAUGUGUCCCUAUAACCUAAUUCUGUUGUAGUGUGGUGACAUUACGCUAUUUCUAUUGGUUAUUCAAUUCGCAUAUGACAUGGUAGACCUUGUCCAUGAAAUAAUUUUCUCUAUCAUGACACCAAAUGUUGCAAACCCCCACUCAAAAUUAAACAUAAAAGAGAAGGAAUUGUGACUAAAUAAGAAAAAAAAAAAAAAAAAGGCAAUUGGCUAUGAGUGGCUUGUAAGUGCAUGCUUUAAAGACUUAUUUUCACUGUGUUAUCAGAAUCCCUAUGCUGAGACUAUCACAAUCAAAUGAUGUUAAAUGCUCCCCACUUGCUGGAAAAUCAUUUGCAUAUCUUAUCAAAGAUUUUAAGUGUUAAAACUUGUCCCUCAAGUUCAAUUUUAGGCCUGAGAUUUGAAUCUUUGUAGUAAAAUUAUUACCAGCACGUAAGCAUCAUCCGCAAAGUUGUGCACCGUUUUCAAUCAGCUCGAAAAAUUUUACAUUGAAAAAGAACUACAACGUAAUACAUUGAUCGUAAAAUACUUUCAAAAAUCAGAAUGCUGAAUAUGCUAUAAAAGUUUGAGGACCCAAAUUAAUAAAAUUAGGCUAAACCUUGGUGGACAGUGGUGCAACAUAUCCAAAAAUUUAGUAUACAUGACUCUCUAUCUUUCUCCAUGCAUAUUUUUCAUGGUAGGACCAACCCAAGAAGAAAAAAUGAAAAAUCCAAAGAGAUAACUAUUGUCACCAUCAAGCUAAGUAGAUAAACAAGUAUACCAAAAAAAAAAAAAAAAUCCUUUUUUAAAAAAACUUUGAGAGAAACAAAAAGAAGCAAUUAAAAAAGAAAGGAAUCACAGGGUCCUAUGUGGCAUGCAAUGUGUGGCUAGCUCAUUUCUGCCACUUGUUUGUUCAUGAUUGGUUGUUGAGGCAAGAUUAGUUAAUUUCCUUUAGUUUAGUGUUUGUGAUCUUGUAGUGUACUUGUUGUGUGAUUUUGUGUUAUCCUCAAUUUGCAUAGCAAACCUCUCCCUUGAAAACACAAGGACUAUCUAAGUAUUUAUAUUACUUGGCUUCUGAAAUAGCUUAUUCUAUUAAAGAAGCAGAAACGACAUGCUUUGCAAAGUACAUGUUCAAGAGUUUUUAGUUGCUGCACUGCUGAAGAAAAACAAGUUAUAACUAGUGUUUUACUUUUGUUUGAAGCUUUGUUAAGGAAGAUUUUGAUGAAAAAGUUGUUAGGAUCUACUAAAAAAGCAAAAGCCGCAUAAUUGUAAUUGCAAAUUCUAGAGCUUCUGAUUGUUGUGAAACUGAAGAUGAAAAGAUUCUAAUAGAAAUGUUUUUAGGAUUUUUCGAACAGCAACUCCUAAAAGUACUUUUCUGGAAGCUCGUAGCGUGCCAAACUAAGGUAGAAAAACUAUAUAUGUUCUUGAACGCGUCGCUAACAUCCCCUCGCGUGUUCUAAGAGCUAUUAUAUUUUAAGAUAAGAGACAAUAUGAUCUCUCCAAGUUAAUAGAACAAUUCUUCUCUAACCAAAAAGGGUUAGAAAGUUGUUUAAGUUUCAUUAUAAAUUUUUAUUUUUGAAAAGUAAGUGAUUUGGUAGGUUGAUGAGCUCAAUAGAUAAUCUUUUUACACAUAGUGAAUGAAACUUUAGAGUUUAAUAAUAGUCGAGUACAAUUAUAUAAUCUUUGUGAUAUCAUUAAAUAGAAGUACAUUCUUUUGUAGCCUCUCAAUGUUAAAAUUGCUAUUUUGUUCUUUAAAAUUCAACUUUUUUUUUUCAAAUUUUUAUUGUGUAUUUGCAUUGAGUUACAUUACUCUCUCUGUUACAACCUGUUUGGUUACAUGAAUAUCUUGUUCAGCAUUGCUUGUUCUCUUCCAUUUCAUUAGACUAGAUCAAGAUAAAUAUGGUUAAAGAGAUGAAUAUUAGAGAUGGAAUUAUGAUGGCAAAACCCAAGAUAAUCUAGAUUUUUGCAGGGAUUUACUAGUCAUUUGGCUAAAUUACACUGUUACGUUCUCAAAUGUUGAGGCGCGUGACACUUAGGAAUGAAACACUGAAAUAUUGUAAUCAAAUUUUACAUUCUCAGUUCAAUUAAUUAAGUUGACUGAAUAAUGAUGUAUCACUGACGUGACAGUAACAUUGUAGUGUUGUAGUCAAUAUAUGGCAAUGUUACCACAUCAGCGACGCAUCAGCACUCAACCAACUAAAUUAGACUGUGAAAUUUUAAUUGCAAUCAUUUGAAUAAUUAAUUUGAACCAAAAUUAUAAUAAACUAGAAUUUGAAAAUUAAAGUGUCACUCGUCUUGUGGUUUGAGAAACCAAAAGAGAAGGUGUUAUCUAGCCUAGUUAUUUGGUAUAGUUUGCAUGCAAGGAGCAUUAUCUUAGCAAUUAUAUCUCUUUCGACUUAACAUGCCCAAUCUUAAUUAGCUUGGCAACUUNAUUACUUGGCUUCUGAAAUAGCUUAUUCUAUUAAAGAAGCAGAAACGACAUGCUUUGCAAAGGACAUGUUCAAGAGCUUUUAGUUGCCGCGCUACUGAAGAAAAAGAAGUUAUAACUAGUGUUUUACUUUUGUUUGAAGCUUUAAUUGUCAAGGAAGAUUUUGAUGAAAAAGUUGUUAGGGUCUAAUAAAAAAGCAAAAGCCGCAUAAUUGUAAUUGCAAAUUCGAGAGCUUCUGAUUGUUGUGAAACUGAAGCUGAAAAGAUUAUAAUAGAAAUGUUUUUAGGAUUUUUCGAACAACAACUCCUAAAAGUACUUUUCUGGAAGCUCGUAGCGUGCCAAACUAAGAUAGAAAAACUAUAUAUGUUCUUCAAAUCGUCGCUAAUAUCCCCUCGCGUGUUCUAAGAGCUAUUAUAUUUUAAGAUAAGAGACAAUAUGAUCUCUCCAAGUUAAUAGAACAAUUCUUUGCUAACCAAAAAGGGUUAGAAAGUUGUUUAAGUUUCAUUAUAAAUUUUUAUUUUUGAAAAGUAAGUGAUUUGGUAGGUUGAUGAAUUCAAUAGAUAAUAUUUUUACACAUAAUAUAGACAGUAGCUAGUGAAUGAAACUUUAGAGUUUAAUAAUAGUCAAGUACAAUUAUAUAAUCUUUGUGAUCUCAUUAAAUAGAAGUUCUUAAUUUCUUUUGUAGCCUCUUAAUGUUAAAAUUGCUAUUUUAUUCUUUAAAAUUUCACCUUUUUUCAAAUUUUUAUUGUGUUUGCAUUGAGUUACGAUUACUUUCUCUCUUUUACAACCUGUUUGGUUACAUGAAUCUCUUGUUCAGCAUUGCUUGUUCUCUUCCAUUUCAUUGGACUAGAUCAAGAUAAAUAUGGUUAAAGAGAUGAAUAUUAGAGAUGGAAUUAUAAUGGCAAAACCCAAGAUAAUCUAGAUUUUUGCAGGGAUUUAUUAGUUAUUUGGCUAAAUUACACUGUUAUGUUCUCAAAUGUUGAGGCGCGUGACACUUAGGAAUGAAACACUGAAAUAUUGUAAUCAAAUCUUACAUUCAGUUCAAUUAAUUAAGUUGACUGAAUAAUGAUGUAUCACUGACGUGACAAUAAUAUCGUAGUGUUGUAGUCAAUAUAUGACAAUGAUACCACAUCAGCGACGCAUCAGCAUUCAACCAACUAAAUUAAACUGUGAAAUUUUAAUUGCAAUAAUUUAAAUAAUUAAUUUGAACCAAAAUUAUAAUAAACUAGAAUUUGAAAAUUAAAGUGUCACUCGUCUUGUGGUUUGAGAAACCAAAAGAGAAGGUGUUAUCUAGCCUAGUUAUUUGGUACAGUUUGCAUGCAAGGAGCAUCAUCUUAGCAAUUAUAUCUCUUUCGACUUAACAUGCCCAAUCUUAAUUAGCUAGCAACUUGUUAAUUCAGUAACAAUUAAAGAUCUACAUGAGAAAAGGACACAACAAAUACAAAAUUGGCUAGUCUUACCCAAAUAUUUUAGAAACUAGUUUUGAAGGCUUACAAACUCAACUUUGGAGGACUAUAAUAAGAUUUUCUUUUGUUUUUCAGAGAGAUACAACAUGCUAUUCCCUUUUUUCUUUUUUCUUUUUUUUCUUUUGGUUAGAAAUGAACUCAGCUAGAAAUAUAAAGUAACAAUAUUUCGAACUUACCGACCGUCCCUAGAGCAAGUGGCAAAGGGCUUGGUGGUUGGUACUCGAGACCCAAGUUCGAAUCCUAGUUGAUUUACAUUUCCAGCUAAGUUUAUUUCUAAAUGAAAUAAACGAAGCGGGUAGCGUGCUACCUAUCUCUCCUCUAGUACUAAAAAUAAAUGAGUUUAGGGUUACAUCAAAUGUGAUCUCAUCUACAAAAAGUCUCCUCAUAAACUUGGAUUCUCUCCAUAUAGUAGAAAGGGAACACCAUUUUAUUUAAUGGUCUUAUUGAAUUAAAAAUAAGAACUAAUUGAACCUCCAUGAUAAGUGACAUAAACUGAACAAUGAGAAUACAGAUUUUUUUUUAAUCAGUUGGAUUACUUAGUUUCUUUUUUGAUAAUCUAUCAUCAUCAAAUCAGGCCCUAAUGACAAUGACAAUAAAACCUAAAUAAAAAAAAAUAAAUAAUUUGGCCCUAUUACCCUCUUCUUCUAAAAGAUUUAAAUAUUUUUUGACCCAGACAAUUAACCAAAUUGGACCUAAUACUUUUGACAUGACAAUUUAGAUUUUUGUGAGUAGUUUGAUUCGCAAUUACAUUAUGAAAGAGAUUUACCAAGCAGUUAAUAUUGGUCUGUAAACUAGCUCUCUUAUACAUGCAGUCUUGCAAGAUUAAUUGAUAUGAAACUAUCCAGAAAUAGUAACUGACCGUUGACAGUGGUGCAACAUAUCCAAAAAUUUAGUAUACAUGACUCUCUAUCUUUCUCCAUGCAUAUUUUUCAUGGUAGGACCAAGCCAAGAAGAAAAAAUGAAAAAUCCAAAGAGAUAACUAUUGUCACCAUCAAGCUAAGUAGAUAAACAAGUAUACCAAAAAAAAAAAAAAAUCCUUUUUUAAAAAAACUUUGAGAGAAACAAAAAGAAGCAAUUCAAAAAGAGAGGAAUCACAGGGUCCUAUGUGGCAUGCAAUGUGUGGCUAGCUCAUUUCUGCCACUUGUUUGUUCAUGAUUGGUUGUUGAGGCAAGAUUAGUUAAUUUCCUUUAGUUUAGUGUUUGUGAUCUUGUAGUGUACAUGUUGUGUGAUUUUGAGUUAUCCUCAAUUUGCAUAGCAAACCUCUCUCUUGAAAACACAAGGACUAUCUGAGUAUUAAUAUUACUUGGCUUCUGAAAUAGCUUAUUCUAUUAGAGAAGGAGAAACAACAUGCUUUGUAAAGUACAUGUUCAAGAGCUUUUAGUUGCCGUGCUACUGAAGAAAAACAAGUUAUAACUAGUGUUUUACUUUUGUUGGAAGCUUUGUUAAGGAAGAUUUUGAUGAAAAAGUUAUUAGGAUCUAAUAAAAAAGCAAAAGCCGCAUAAUUGUAAUUGCAAAUUCGAGAGCUUCUGAUUGUUGUGAAACUGAAGCUGAAAAGAUUCGAAUAGAAAUGUUUUAGGAUUUUUCGAACAACAACUCCUAAAAAUACUUUCUGGAAGCUCGUAGCGUGCCAAACUAAGGUAGAAAAACUAUAUAUGUUCUUGAACGCGUCGCUAAUAUCCCCUCGCGUGUUCUAAGAGCUAUUAUAUUUUAAGAUAAGAGACAAUAUGAUCUCUCCAAGUUAAUAGAAUAAUUCUUCUCUAACCAAAAAGGGUUAGAAAGUUGUUUAAGUUUCAUUAUAAAUUUUUAUUUUUGAAAAGUAAGUGAUUUGGUAGGUUGAUGAGCUCAAUAGAUAAUCUUUUUACACAUAAUAUAGACAGUAGCUAGUGAAUGAAACUUUAGAGUUUAAUAAUAGUCAAGUAAAAUUAUAUAUUAAUCUUUGUGAUCUCAAUAAAUGGAAGUACUUAAUUUCUUUUGUAGCCUCUUAAUGUUAAAAUUGCUAUUUUGUUCUUUAAAAUUUAACUUUUUUUUUCAAAUUUUUAUUGUGUUUGCAUUGAGUUACGUUACUCUCUCUUUUACAACCUGUUUGGUUACACAAAUAUCUUGUUCAGCAUUGCUUGUUCUCUUCCAUUUCGUUUGACUAGAUCAAGAUAAAUAUGGUUAAGAGAUGAAUAUUAGACAUGGAAUUAUAAUAGCAAAACCCAAGCUAAUCUAGAUUUUUGCAGGGAUUUAUUAGUUAUUUGGCUAAAUUACACGGUUCGUUAUCAAAUGUUGAGGCAUGUGACACUUAGGCGUGAAUCACUAAAAUAUUGUAAUCACAAGUCUUAUAGUUUAAUUAAGUUGAUUGAAUAAUAAUGUAUCACUGACAUGACAAUAAUAUUGUAGUGUUGUGGUUCAAUAUAUGGCAAUGACACCACAUCAGUAACGCAUCAGCACUCAACCAACUAAAUUAGACUGUGAAAUUUUAAUUGCAAUAAUUUAAAUAGUUAAUAUGAACCGAAAUUAUAAUAAACUAGCUAGAUUUUGAAAAUUAAAGUGUCACUCGUCUUGUGGUUUGAGAAACCAAAAGAGAAGGUGUUAUCUAGCCUAGUUAUUUGGUAUAGUUUGCAUGCAAGGAGCAUUAUCUUAGCAAUUAUAUCUCUUUCGACUUAACAUGCCCAAUCUUAAUUAGCUUGGCAACUUGUUAAUUUAGUAACAAUUAAAGAUCUACAUGAGAAAAGGACACAACAAAUACAAAAUUGGCUAGUCAUACACCCAAAUAUUUCAGAAUCUAGUUUUGAAGGCUUAAAACCUCAACUUUGGAGGACUAUAAUAAGAUUUAAUUUUUAUUUUUUUCAGAGAGAUACAGCAUGCUAUUCGCUUCUUUUUUUUUUCUUUUUCUUUUGGUUAGAAAUGAACUUAGCUCGAAAUAUAAAGUAACAACGCUUCGAAGUUGGGACCUUAGAAACUAGCUAUCAGACCCUUUGUCACUUGCGCUAGGCGCGGUCGGUAAUAAACUUCAAUUGUUUAGUUGUUACACUACUUAACUCACUCGACAAUUGUCCUGUGCUUGAAUUCUUAUUUGAUUGAACAAUAAAUAUAGAAACACUAUUCUUGGCAGCUUAAUUUUUUUCAGAGAAAGCAACUGUUUUACAUAAUAAUAAAAUAGGAGGUUGUAAGUUCAAAUCUCAGCCAACUUUUCAGACUUUUAUUAUGUCUUAAACCAGAUGUGAGGAGAAGCGUUGAAUAUUAAAAUUAACACAUCAUUCUCUAACAUCUUAAACUUGUUAGAAAAUAAUUUUGUACAUUAAUCAAAGUAAGUUUAACAAGCUUAUUAGAUUGAGAAAAGUAAAAGUUACAACUUGCAAGUAGUUUGAUGCCUCUAGUAUCUAAAAAUAAAUGAGUUUAGGGUUACAUCAAAUGUGAUCUCAUCUACCAAAAAGUCCUCUAAACUUGGAUUCUCUCCAUAGUAGAAAGGGACACAUUUUAUUUAACUGGUCUUUGAAUUAAAAAUAAGAAAUAAUGAACCUCCUAGUGACAUAAAUGAACCAAUGAGAAUGCAGAUUUUUUUACAUCAUUGGAUUACUUUAGUUUCUUUUUUGAAUCUAUCAAUCAUCAAAAUCAGGCCUAAUGAACAAUGACAUAAAACCCUAAAAAAAAAAAAAAAUGGCCCUAUUACCCUUCUUCUUCAUAAAGAUUAAUAUUUUUGACCCAGACAAUUAACCAAAUUGGACUAAUACUUUGACAUGAAAAUUAGAUUUUUUGCAGUAGUUUGAUUUGCGAUUAGCGUCACGAAAGAGAUUUACCAGGAGUUAAGAUUGGUAUGAUAAGACCAGCUCUUAUACCAUACGGUACUUGCAAGAUCAAUCUGAUAUGAAACUAUUCAGAAAUAAUCUUCACAACUGCAUUACAAUCGUGUUGUUUGCAUGAGAAUUGUUAAAAGGCUCGACAUUACGUACAAGUCAAUAACUUUAGCUAAAAGGAAGCGACGACACCUUCAUAUUUGUAUCCAAUAUGUGGCUAAUAUACUUAACCAGCAUUAUAUAUCCUUUUUUUUUUGUAGAAAUCUUAUGGAUAUUAUUAUUCAAUUAUAGGAGAAGCAGAAACUUACAAAGAAUCCUUGUUUUUUUUUUUUUUUUCUUAUCUAUACCUACCUAUACAUUAUUUCUCUUGGAGUUUGCCACGUGGCAAUUCCUCCUUCAUCCCUUCUUUUCACUCCAAAAUUUCUAUUCUCUAAUUAUUACUUCUCUGUAACGUCUGUCUCUUCGACUUUCCGUCUUAUUAAUUUUUUCCCUGUAACGUUUGCCUCUUCAGUUUUCCGUCUCAUUAAUUUCUUUUCUGUAACGUAUGUCUCUUUGGCUUCCCAUCUCAUUAAUUUCUUCUCUGUAACGUCGCUGCUUCGACUUCCCCCUUAUUAAUUUCUAUGUUCUAAGAGGCGUUGCCCGAGAAGCCCCUGGGCAUGGCAUAUGGCGUCCUCGACAACGACCUCGCCUACUACGUCCGCUCCAACCUCAAGCCUCGCAGGCGUGCCACCCUUGCCCUUGCCGUCAACGUCGAGUGAGUCGAACUCUAACCCUAGCCUUGAAUCUUCCUCCCUCGAUCUCGACCACUUAAAUUUGUAAUAUAUAGUUAUACAAAGCGUGUGUAUCCCUCUCCUCUAAUAGUCUCGGAGGACACAAAGUAUCAAUUAAAAUAUGGACUUGUUGAAAAGGGGUUGAAGGCACUGUGGUACUUCACGAAAUUAUCGGUGUUAGUAGAAAAUGUCCUAAAUGAGGAUACAAAGUGGUCCGAUUUUUAUGUAACAAAUUUUUUUCUCCUAUAAUUUUUUUUUUUAUCUUUUGUUGUUUUUCAUUGAAUUAUAAUUUUAUUUUAAAAUUUUUAAAGUAUUUUUUAUAUUAUUAAAUUUAAUCAAAUAUGAUUAUAUCGGCCGCAUCGCGCGGGUUCCUACACUAGUGAAACAAAAAGGUUGCUCAGAAACCUAGUCAUCUUAAUUUUUACUUUUCUUAUUAUUUUUUUGGCAUUAUAUUAUUAUGGGCCCAUCGCAAGGCCCAAUAACAAAUGGGCUGUAAUUUUGAUUGGAUCAUGACAACAUUAUGGACUUGGUGAAAAUUUACAGAGAGAUUGAAAUUUGUAUAAUAUAAUGAGGAAAAUGUACAAUGGCCCCAAAACUUUAGCAUUUUUGCAAACAGAUCUAUGAACUUUUAUAUUUAGCAAUGAGAAUAUGAUAAUUCCAAACUUUUGCACUUUUACAUUAUAUAUAUUGCUAAAUUAUAGAAAGCCCCUUUGCACUUUAAUUAGCCCCGUUCUCAAUUACCCUCCACAAUAAAAAUUGCAUCAAUUGUCAUUCUAUACUUUGUCGCUAUUUCGGAUAGAUCCAAAAAGUUUAGAAAAUUGGCAAAUUAGACUAUAAAACUUUACAAAAAAAUAAGUUGGCAUAUCACAUUGUUCAACAUCUUAACAUAUAUUCAUUUGCAACUCAAAAAAUCUAUUAAAAAAGUAGAUAAAUGAAAUCUCUUAUAUUGCUAAUACUAUCAAAAUUGAUAGUUUAUUGAGUAAUUUAUUUAAUUUAUAUGGUUCAAUUGUAUUACUUAUUGAUAACUUUAUUUAUAAAUUUAUUUUUAUAACUUUUUAUAAUGUUUUAUAAAAAUAUUCCAAAUAAUUAAGCCUAUUUGAGAUAUUAACAAAAUAUAGGACAAUAAUUGAUACAAUUUUUUAUAUCAGGGGUGCAACCGAGACAAACGCUAAAGCGCAAGGGUAUAUUUUUUAUAAUUUAGCCAAUAUAUAGUUGAGCGAGGGUUGUCAACGGGUUGGAUUCAAAGUAGCUCUUUCAAAACCCGAAUCCGAACUCGAAGGAUUAUGAAAAUUCAUAUCCAAACUCGACCACCACCAAAAAUCCAAAGCCUGAGCACGAACCUGAAAAUCUAAACCCAAAAUAAUUAUUUUUCUUUAUCAUAUUUCAAAAUAUAUUAUAUUAAAAUUUAAAAUUCAAAAACACAAGUGUAAAUAUAGAACAAAACAUUAAUAUACAUUAUGUAAUAUAAAAUGAAUUCAGGUUCGGAUUGAAUAGCGACAAAAUUCAAAUCUAAAUUCAAAUCCACCGAAUUUUUAUAUUUUGUACUCAUAUUCGAAUCAUAUCGGUUUAGCAUGAGAUAAACCAACUCUGUUCGGAUUCGAAUUCGGAUAAAAUUUAAGGUAAUCCUACUUGUGCUAAACCGAUAUUGUAUAGUUGAGGGGGCUAGUUCAAAAUAUGCUAUAGUUGAGGGGUCUCCAUACAUUUUUACCGAGAGAAUACGAUUUCAAUGGAGUGCGAAAACGAAGGGGAUAACAAUGGCCUCAUCCUACACAAUGUGCUCCGCGAAGUUAUCUCCCUCCCCUUCUCCACCCCUCUCCUCCCAUGGCGUCGUCGUCGCGCUCCUCCCCUCUCCUCCCAUGGCGUCGCUCUCCUUCGCCUCCUCCAUAUCCCUCUCCAACCUCCCUCUCCCCCUCCGCACCCACCACCACCCUCCUCCCACUCCUCCCACUCCUACCGCUCCCACACUCUUCGCCGCAGCGGCCUACGGCGCGAAACCCUACAAGGUACCGCUUUUUACCUGCUCGAUCACCGUUUUCGAUCAGUUUGGGGGCGAGACCCAUGUCUUCGAUCCUCGUUUCUAGGGUUCGGUGAAGCGGCUUUGGAGCCCGCGGGGGAAGAAGAGCGUCAAGAGGAAGAGGAAGAAGAAGCAGCAGCUUCGGCUCUCGAAAAUGGUCGGCCCCUUUAUCCGAUCCCUCUUGCGUGGUUUGAUUUGGCUUGGUAAUUAUAAUAGUCGUGCUGAUUUUAAGAAGCUUCUAGUGGCAUUGUGUUAUGGCGAAAAGAAUCCGAUUUUUUUGGUGAUUUUUUUGGAUUUGGUGAGAAGGAUGCGUAGAUUAGUCAAAUUAUUGGUUUAGAGUAAUGAAUUGUAGAUGCUGCGAUUCUAGAGAAUUAACAUUGUGGGUGUUUGAUGCUGCAUUUGCUCAAAUCCUACAUAAUUAUGAACUUUUUAGUUAUUUUCUUGGGAAUCAAAUUGAUAUAUUUACUUUGAUUAAACUGAGGGUUUGUUAAUGUUCAAUUGAUUGCUACAGAAUAUAGCCAUUAAAACUGCUUUUAAUUUUUAUAGCUGAUUUUUUUGGUUUCCUCUUUCGUGGUUUGAUUUGGUCUAGUAAUUAUAAUAAUCGUGUUGAUUUGAAGGUUCUAGUGGCAUUGUGUUAUGGUGAAAAAAAAGUUCGAUUUUUGUCGUGGUUUUAUUGAAUUUUAUGAGAAGUAUUUGUAGAUUGGUCAAAUCAUUGGUUUGGAGUAAUGAAUUGUAGAUGCUGCGAUUUUAGAGAAUUAACAUUGUGGGUGUCUGAUGCUGCAUUUGCUCAAAAGGUACAUAUUUGUGAAUUUUUUUCAUUGAUUUUUUGGUAAUCAAAUUGAUGUGUUUAGUUUGAUUAAACUGACGAUUGUGUUAAUGUUCAAUUGACUGCGACGGAAUAUAGCCAUUAAAACUACUUUUGAUGUUUAUAGCUGAUUUUUGUUUUUUGGUUUCCUUUUCCUAUUCAUGCGAAUGUCAUUACUUAUGCUUAUGUAUACUGUGCUUGCUAUUGUCAUUAUAUUGGGAACAAACAAGCAGUAUUUGCUUUGAUAUGAUAAAGAACAACUGCAGAAUUUGUUGAUGUUAAAUAAGAUGAAAUUAUGUAAGACAGGUCGAAUCCUUGUACUUGUUAUCUAUUGAUAAUUUAAGGAUGAUUCAAAUUUCUUUCACAAUAUAAUUGUGUUGAGGCUAGCAUAAUUACAUUACGAAAACUUCUCCUGAAUAAUUGUGGUUGGUGUGCUUACUAUGUGGGUGAGGUUUUAUAGAACAUAAACCAUGGGAGACAAUAAUUUGGUGGCUGAAAUAUAGAUGGUUUAAAUAUGUAUGCAACAGGGGUAGUUCCGUUGAAAAUUUUCCAUGAUCAAGAUGUGUUGGUUUUGGAAUGAUAAAGUUAAUUUUCUGUAGUUUACUUACUAAUGUUUCUCAUGCUUCGAGUUUGGAUGGGAAUGUUGAAACUUGAGAGUGGGUGAGAAGUAAAUAAACUGGCUGUGUUUAUGAUUCAAAAUGUUGGGUUGUUGGAAAAUAAUGUUUUUUAAAACUAUAUACAUACAUAUGCGCAUGAUAAAAAAAAAAUGUUGAGAUUGGUGUCUCGCUUUGCUGGUAAAGAUGAUUUAAGGAAAUAUAGCUUUGUAGCAAAUUAGUAGAACAAUUGGAGAAUUUUAACAUGAGGAAGUUGUUUAGGAUAUUACAAUACAUCAUAUCAACAAAAACUUACUAGCGUACAAAUCAGGAGUGAUUCCUUCCAACAAGAAGGUAUCACAAGAGGAUGGGAACGUAAAAGCAAUGUCCUGUAACUUGAAUAAUGAUUCUAUAUCUAACUACACUGUAAUCUUUAAAUUAAUAUUGAAGUGAAUAAGUAAUGUAUUACAAUUCAAAUUGGGCUACAAGUUACGCCUCAUAUCCAAUCCAAGUGUAUCAAUUUAUUUCUAUUGAACAAAGGUCGGGGUUGAUAUGCUAUUGUAGACAUUCGAAACAUGAGUGUUGCCUUCUAGUAAACCAAUUAGUUGACUCUUUUAAUCCUUUUUUCAGCUUCUACUUUCAGCUUCUACUUUCAGCUGCAGUUCACUUUAAUACAUCAUAUGGCAAACAAAAAACAAGUCCGGAUCCUCUUCUGCUUUGGGUGCUAAAAUGAGAUUCUGUAAUCCUGCUUUGGAUACUAAAACAAUAGUUUAACCUCCAUCAUUUCUCUAGUACUAUCCUUUAUUGCAGCCAUGAACGGUUUGAUGCUAUCCAUGAAGUGUCAUCCUUUAACUUGGUUUCUUUAAAUGUUAUUACAGUUAAACUACAUUAUGUAAGUAGAGAUAUAGUCACUAGUAUCAGUAUAUAAUCUUGGAAAUGUGUCUUGGGCCUUGUUUUUUAACAUAGUUCUUCUUAGUCUUGAAGUACAAGAUAAUUGAGUCUUCUUCUAAUCAACUAAGGUUCAUUUGCACUGUAAGUACGAGACAUAAACAUUGAGCAACACAGGGAUUGAUUUAUGAAUAGAAAUUGAUGGCUAAUUAUUUUUCGAACUUCUUCCUCAAUCCUCAUCUAUUUUCUUCUUUCUAUUUGGCAACUGUUAUGUUUCAGAUUUUACAUCUCCAAGACAAUCUGGCAGAUUUCUUUUUACUCUUCUUCACCUCAAAUUGAAAAAAAAUUGAAGUGUUCUUUCUCUUCUCAUUCUGUAUAUGUGUCUAAGUCCAGCUAACCCCGGUUACGCUUUCUCUUUUUGUAGUCAUAGAUUUGUCUGGAUUCAAAAAGGUCCAGAUCUAGAUAUUCUUAAUAACUAAUAAAAUUUUAGCAGUGAUCAACUGGACAUAAGAGACCUACUAAAGAUAUGUCCAUUUUUUCCAAUUCGUCCAUAUUUACAUUCAUGUAAAUCUCCUACACCGACAAGAUCGAACAUGUUGUUGAUAAAAAUGCAGCUAGGUAGUAAGAAGAACAAAAUGACAGAGAUUAAAAUUUAUGGCAUUCUGAUCUCAAAUCUAUUGUGAGCUUAUUUUAUUACCUGUUCUUUAGUUCCAUGAUAACAUCCAUAAUUUCUGUUGACGGGGUAUUUAGUUAGCAUCUCUUUAAGUAUUCUGCAACCAUAAAUUGAUAACACAUAAAUUAAAUGUGAAUUUGAAAUGGAUCGAACCCCUUAUCUAUGAUGCUGUAUCUGACAUUACACAAGUUGGAUCUUAUAGCAGAUGAGGUUCGUUUUGGACAACGAGCCCUAGGGGUCGCAUUAAUUUGUCUAAACCAGAUACAGAUAUGGAUUAUAUUUCAGAUGCAAAGUAAAGAACCAGUUUCGUUAAAACUGGAGGUACAAACCAGAUAAUAAGUGGCUGGCUACUUAGUUUUAAAUGAAGCAUCAGACUUUUAACUUGCGGAAGGUUACGUAAAUUAGUUGGAAAAGAUACAAUUAGUCACCAUUAUGGAAAACUAUUACUAAAGUGAAAUGUGUCUCAGUUUGCUCAACUCCAAUAUGUGUCUCUCAUGUUCAUCAAAUGCUCCAUUGUUAUCCCUGAUUACUAGUGUUGAAAUAACUGCUCUUCAAACAUGGGUAGAUGUUCAUUGAAAACCUUUGUUUUUCUUCUUUCCGUUCUAUCUUUAUUUCUGUUAGCACAAACGACUAUGGUAAUGUGAUUGGUGAUUGUCCUUUAAUUUUUCGACUCAUUUAGCUGAUCCAGUGACUCAUGAUUAACCAGAUCCCUUCUUUAUAUGUUUUAGUGUAGUACUUAGCCAUAAUUAGUUCAUGUAUUUUGAGGAAAAUGAGUGCGUAGUGCACUCAAAUUCCUUUCAUUAACCUUAAAAACCAAUUUCAUUUGGUGAACUGAGAUGUAAGCUUCAAGCUUGGUAUAUAUUAUUGAGUAAUCCAGUUUAUAGUAUUGGAGUUUUAGUUCUAAUGUUUCACCCUGCACAAAAUUUGAUGAUUUGGUUCACUUGGAAGAGUAUUUGCAAAUAAAAAAACUAUAAUCAAUCAUUCUCAUGUGCAUUUGACCAAUACUUUUUUAAUUUUUGUAUAUGCUACAUUACAUUAAGAAAAAAACAUAGAGAGAGACUCAUGAACUACAUCUUAUAGGCUUAUAGCCCUAAUCCAUUUAGGAGAUGUAGCAUAUAAAAGAUUGUAUAAAUAUUGUCACAUGUAUUAGACUCUACCAAUGACCAGUGUGAAACAGAGAAUUGUUUGUUUUUCAAGGAAUUAUUAUAUAUGUUGGGAAAUUACCUAAUAUUCCUUACUUAUUUAAGCAUUUUGAUAUUAGAGAAAAAGAGAAAAGUGCACUCUCAUCUCUAAUUUUUAAUUUAGGUAUACGAUGUAUCGUAGUUGCUAAUGAUACUUUUUAGGCUCAAAGUAGAGCACACGCAUCUGAGCCAUUCACUGUAAGAGUGUUCAUGCAAAGGUGUGCAAAGCGAACUUCUUUUAAAAAGCAACUAAUCUUUAGAUUAUUUUAUAUAUAUAUAUAUAUAUAUAUGGGACUUGGAUCCUAAACAACCUAGUUCGUAACUUAUUGGACUUGAAUUUGCAUGCUAUGAUUCAGUCAGAUUUGAAUUUGGAUUCAGAUUCAUUAUUUACCCGACCCACUAAUGCCCCUAAUAUAUGUUAGUUGUUUCAAUAACAAAGUAUACAUAUAUAUACUUUUAGUACAUCUAUGAAAAGGAUUGAAGUUAUAUAAAAAUAAUAGCCCAUAUAAAGAAGCAAUAUAUGGUUUAGUGCGCUCAUACCAAAUGAUUCUAUUUAAAAGUAGAUGCAAGCAUGGCUAUUCUCUCAGCAUAACUUUAGGGGGGAAUAUUCCAUAUUCCUCCUAAUCCUAUGUAUAUAUAUUAAGAAUAAAAUGUAUCCUACCAAUCAUUGUUGUACAUAACUAAUUAAUCCCUUACGUUCUUAUUCAAUAGGAUUAGUUUGUUACUUGUGUAAACCUAGGCUCUGUUUGGGUGUUGGAAUAAGAUAUGUAAUGAUACUUUAUUCCGUAUAAUUUUUUUUUUAUAUGAUUGGAAGUUAGUUGCUUAAUUUUAAAUUUUUUUUAAAAUCAUAGUAUUUAUGACUUAGUAAGAUAGCAUAUUUUACCAACGAAGUCAUUUAUUUUAUAUCGAAAACUAAUUUAGAGAUCGAAUAUGGUGUUCAUUCUAAAUGUAUAAUACGACAUGCUUCUUAAGUAAAUUAAAAAAAAAAAUACACCGAAUAAGAUGUUUAUACAUGAUCUUAUUUUUUUGUACUUUAAAUGGAAUUGGAUUUAGGAUGUGAAGAGAGAGGUUAUGCUUUGGCUCUUUGUGUAAUGCAAAACUUUAAUUUUGAUUGGAGUAAACAAAGAGAGAGAAAGAGAGAGACAGAAUAAGAGUAGAAGCUUCAAAUUAGAGAGUCCGAUUAUGCCAUUUAAAAGCUCGAGUAAAUGCAGUUCGAGCUCAAUGGCAUCGCUUAUAUCAUAUGUAAAAAUUCUUUUUUGUAACAGUCCAUGUCAUGUAACAUAGUGCAGGAUAUAAUUUGAAGCAAGGGUAAUUUUAUGUUAAACAAUAGAAAAACCUCAAAUAUCUUUUUAGUAGUUUGUUGUUUUUUUUAAUUUAAUACUCUAAUAAUUUUAACUAUUUCAUAACUACUCUGUGGUAUUACUUCUCAUUUUUCAUUAUAAUUUUUAUUAAUUUUUUCAUUAAAUUCAUCACGUAGCGCGGUUGUGCGUCAGAAUUAUUCUACAAAUAUUGAUAAAAAAGACAUGAUAGGUUGGUUCUCAUAAGCAAAAAAGUAACGAUCCACGACGCAUGUGCGGAGCUCGCGACUGUUUUUGCAGAAAAAAUUAAUGAAGGGUAUAAUUCAAAAUAAAUAUAAAAAUCAUAUGAAGGGUAUAAUUCAAAAUAAAUAUAAAAAUCAUAUGUUAUUUUUAUAGGGUACUAAAAUAAAAAUGCAGUAAAUCAAAAAAAAAAAAAUAUCUGAAGCUUUUCUAAAUAAUAAUAAGGAAAAAAAAUUUAAAAUGACGUGGCACUUCGGCCACGUGGGCCCCACGCACCACCUCAUUACGCACCCAGUGGACAGUUUGACUCGUAGGAUUCCAUCAUCCUGAUCGGACGGCUACCAACGACUCUAUCCCUAUCAUGGGUGACCAAAAAAGCGUCCUAAAAAAAGUUAAAAUUUGUAAAAAUAAAAAUAAAAAUAAAAAUAAUAAAAAUAGUAAUAAUAAUAAAAUAAAUAAUAAUAGUAAAAUUCAAAAAGCGUAGCAACUUGUCGUUUUUCACUGCGUACUCAAGCACGCGGGGAUAUCAACCCCUCGUGAGUAGUAGUUUAAUCCACACUCGAAAAGUGACUACAAAUAUUGACUCCAUAAAUACUUUUAUUAUUAUUUUUAUUAUUAUUAUUUGUAGCUAAUUUUUACAAAUAGUUGGUAAAAGUUUGUGGAGACACCUUCAAUUAUAGGAUAAUUUGAAAUCGACCCUCUAACUUUGUUUGUUUGAUGCCUCUUGAUUCUUAAUUAUUCUAUUUUAAGUUGUAUAAGGGAUUUUUUUUUCUCUCGGUAAUUUCAUAUGGGAUUGGUGAUAUAUAUAUAUAUAUAUAUAUAUAUAUAUAAAAUAGGGAAAAAAAAUUUCUUACAUUAGAAAUAUAGUUGGAAUUAAUGGCUUCAUUAGCUAUUAGGUGUUGAAAUAGAAAAAAAUGAGUUAAAACUGGUAAAAUAGUAAACUUUAUUAUGAAUAAUAUUAAAUUUAGUGAAAAUUUUCAUUAGUUUGAUGUCAGUCCCUUAAAACUAGUUGAAAGUGAUCAAUAAAGAAAAUUGAAGUGAAAAAGACAAAAUUACAGGGGUCAACUUGAAAAGUGUCAAUCAUUGAAGGGGAUUUCUAAACUAUUUUUUAUCUUAUUUGUUAUAAGAAAAAAAAGAAAAACUACCAGUAUACUAUAAAAAGGAUAUAAAUCUUACAUCUCAUCCAUCCAAUAAAUAAAAUAUCACUCACUAAGCACCUGAUGUAAUUNUAUAUAUAUAUAUAUAUUAAAUUAUAAUUUAAAAAAUAAAAAUAAAAAUUUUAAAAUAAAAAAUGGUGCACCGGGUGCACCAAAAAAAAUCCUGCUGCUUCCCUUGCUGGGAGAGCAAAAGGAGCGAUGGGCCCCGCAUGAGUUGGGUGCCACACGGCACCCAUCCGGAAGUGGCUCGAAACACAUGGCACCCAUCUAGGGUAUCCCUAAAGUAAAUUUCAUGGACACAAUGUCCAUAAAAUUUUUGUCCCAUGUAUAGUGAGAGCUCUCAAAGUCCUAUAUCAAUAUUCUGAGCAUUAACUUAUUGAAAUUUCUAAAACAAUUGAACGACACAACAAUUAAGCUCGACACAGGAUGCUAGCUCCAAAAGAGGUAGUCGAUAGGUAUUGUGUGUGAGGUCGAGAUGGUCGCAAACGAACUAAAGUAAGUUUAAGUUUGACGCAAAGGACACUUACGUGAGGAAAGAGGUUGGGGGCUUAUUUUUUUCACCAAAAAUAGGCUUCGAGUAAAAAAUUAUUUCUCUUCUGCUGUCUGCUUUUGUUUGGCAAUAAGUGAACGGCGUUAAAACUAUAGUUUCUACAUAAACAAUAGAUAAUUUAAUAAAUUAAUAAAUUAUAAUAUAAUAAAUAAAAAAUAAUAUAAUUGUAUCCCUAUAUAACUAAAAAAAAUAAUUUAAAACAAAGAAAUUAAUUUUUUAUACCUAAAUUAUAAUAAAACAAUAAUAAAACCAUGGUCUUUUUUUCAAUUUAGCCCCCUGGCAAAUUUUUAUUUUAAAAAUAGCACUGUCAAAAUUUAAUUUACAAAAAUGACCCUGGUCGGGUGCCACGUCAGCGCCACGCGGGCAGGACUGAGGCCAGUGUGUUAAGUUGAACACGGUCAAUGAUUCACCAUGUUUCAUAUUUAUAUUCAUUUUCUUCUCUUUUAGGGAUGCCAACGAGUCGGGUUUGAAUCGGAUUUUUAAAAAUCCGAAAUCGAAUCCGAAAAUCAAAUUAAAAUCUGAACACGAAUCCGAGCCCGACGGAUUUUAAAAAUUCAUACCCAUAUCCAUAUAUUAAAGUUAUAUGGGUAUGAAUUUUUAAAACCCGCCGGAUUCGGAGAUCCAAAUCCGACCCAUUGACAUCCCUAAAAGAGAAAACAUGGAAUAUAAAUAUGAAACAUGGUGAAUCAUUCAUCGUGUUUGAACACGGUGAAUAGUUUACCGUGUUCAACUUAACACACUGGACCCAGCCCUGCCCGCGUGGUGCUGACGUGGCGCCUGCGUGGCAAGAUCAGGACUAUUUUUGCAAAUUAAAUUUUGACAGGAUUAUUUUUAAAAUAAAAUUUUUUCAUAGGGCCAUUUGCAAAAAAAGCCUUAAAAUCAUGUAAUAAAAGAAAUCAGUAAUACUAAACUAAUCAAUUUUUAUAAUAUUUUAAAUAUGCAAAUUAACUGAAUAAAAGCGAUACUAUAACUUAGCUGAUCAAUUUUCAUUACAUUAAUCGAGCAUUCCUAACGCAAGUAGUAAAGGACUUGAUAGUUGAUACCCGACGUCCUAAAUUCGAAAUAUAAAUUGCUUCACAUUUCCAGCUAAGUUUAUUUUUAAAAGAAAUAAACGAAACGGAUAGCAUGUUACCUUUCUCUGACUAAAUGAGAGAGUAACUAAAUAUAACUAGUAUUUACACAUUAUAUUAUUUUAUUUUUUUUAAUUAUUAAAGUCAAUUAUCAAUUAUAUUAUUUUGGAGUAACUCGAGCUUCGACUGUAUCUUCUUCUGACAAAUAAAAUAAUUUUUUACAGCAGAAGAUAACUUUACUCUUUUCCACCAUUCGUUCAAACAAACUGGCCCAAGGGAUCAAAGUGAACCAAAAAAAAAAAAAAAAAAAAAAAAAAAAAAAAUGCAAAUAGGAUAUUCAUGCAAUUAACUUUUACUAAAUAGUAUUACACCGAAUUGAAAGGGGAAAAUAAAAAAAAAUAAUAUAACUUAUUACAGUCCAAAAUUGGGAACAUGACGUGGGCCCCACAAAAGAGUGGGUCCCACUUCCUUCAAAAAAGUACAUGCUUCGAAUGGAAUCUCAUUAGGUCAGAGCCGAUUCCUCCCCCCCCCAAACCAAAAAAAAAAAAAAAAAAAAAAAAAAAAAAAAAAAAAAAAACGUAGAAAAGGGGAACGCUAACCAUAGCGAGGAAACGCGUUUCGCGCGCUCGCCGAGCGCAGGGGAAACGGUUUCCGCUCCCCGCCCCACCCCGGGAACGCGUUUCGGCCCGGUGCUCCGCGUGACACUCACGUGGGUCCCGCUCAGCCAAUGAGGGCUUCCCUCUACGCCUGGUGUCGUCGCCUGGAGAAAUUGUUCCGUAGACCGGUCUACCAGUCAUCAUUGGACCGGUAUUCGAGGUGGAUAUUAUUUGCAUAUGUGCUUUGCGUAGAAUCUUUUCAAUGUAAGAAACAACUCCGCUCUCCGCUUAGUACAAAAUAUUUUAUUUAGUACACAUCUGAUGAAAAGAGACAUGUUUUUCUACCCUUUAACAGUUACUCGUGGACAAACUGAGAGUACUGAUAAUAAAGAACUGAAACCAAACAGUACUUUUUAACUGGCCAAUAUUACUAAAUAAUCAAUCAGCUGAUCUAAUUUGUAUGAAAUUUAGAGAAUAUAUAAUUUAUAAUACGAUACGAAAUAUUUAAAUAUUAAAAACUAUAAUUGUAACUGUUUUCUAGCUAACAUAUUUUUGAAAUUAAUCAGCAAGUCCCUUGAAACAUUACUAUGUAAAAAUAUAAUAUAAUAUUUUAAUUAUUGGCACAAUACUAAUCACAAUACUGCCGUCUCUGAUACUUUAAUAUUUAAUAAACUAAAUCAAAUUAUACAUAUUUACUGAAAUAUCCAAAAAUUCGAGCAAAAAAUUAUAAUAAAUUGAACUUUGAGGAUCAAAACGUCACACUUUGUAUAGUUUCAGGGUCAAACUCGCAAUUUAUCCCUAAAAUUGUAAGGGGGUUUUUGGGGUGAAAAAGAGGGGACCGGUCUAUGGCUGACGUGGUGGACUUUAUCGGGUCUAUGUAGUAGUCUUCACCCGUCGGCAAGCGGAAAACUUCCGACGCGUACGCAUAAAUAUUUCUACGAGACCGUCGAAUGAGCUGUCAAAAUCAUCUGCUAAGGGCAUCAAAACCGUUGGAUUUAAAGUCCAAGGACGCGUGUCCGCAUAGAAAACCCUGUGCUUACGCCCCUUAUAGCGUAACGGUGAAAAUAGACGGUUAUUAUUAUUAGAUUAAUACAAUAAUUGCAUAUUUUAAUGGUGCAAAUCUUAGAGAUAGUUACAAUUUCAUUGUAUUUGUAAAUAUAUGCGAAUUCAAAUUCGGCGUUUGGUUCGAAAUAUUUAAAUUUAAAUUGCUACAGUUGAAACUGUAUCAACUGUAGCAGAUGAGAAAAGUAAAUUUAAACUAGAAAUAAACUUAAUUACCUCUUUAAUUAAUUACUUUUUUAAUAAAAAUUUUACAAAAACACAUUUCUUAACUACAUGUCAUUAAAUAAAUUAUUUAUAAUUGAAAAAUUAUUGCUUUAUUGAUCAAGAAAAUAAAUGAUGGUGAUGAUAUGAUGGUCCCUUCGAUCACUGGAUAAAUGAUAUUAAAAAAAAAUUAUGAAAUUUAUUUUCUAAAUACUUUAAAUACUUUGGAUCAAAUUUAAUAAAAUCGAUCGUCAAUUUAGAAGUCUCAAUAUCAAAAACAACUUGAUAGCUGAAGGUCAUCUUGUUUCUAAAAGCAAACAGAUCUCUAUCUCUAUAUAUAGGGGGGAUAAUUUUUUGAUGUGAUACAAUAAUACUAUUUUAAUAUGAAACAAAAUUGCUACAAAAUUUUCAAAAAAUAAUUUUUAAUAAUAUUUGAGGUUGAAUUAUGAACAAUUAUUUGUUGAGGUUCUUAAAAUGGCCCAACCAACCUAACUGUGAACCCUAAUUGUCACUCUUUAUGGGAGCCAAGGGCAUUGAACUACAUAUUAUUUAUGCAUGAGGUAAUAAUAAUACUUAAUUAUUAUAAUUGAACCAACAAAUAAGAACAAAAAGUACAAACCCUCUAUAAAUAAAUAAAUAAUAAAUAAAUAUAUAUAUAUAUAUAUAUAUAAUAUAUAUAUAUAUAUAUAUAUUAUAUAUAUAUAUAUAUAGAAUUAGUUUUUAUACUAUCUAUAGUACCGGAGCUUCAGUACUAAGUUUUGUUUUCGAUCUUAGGGUGUUCAAAUUAAUGAUCCUACCGUUAAAUAUGAUCUAGGGUAUAUGAAGUUUUUAGAAAUAAAAUUUUAUUUUUUUCAACAUCGUUUAUUAGUAAAUAAAUUAUGUCAAAAUAGACGGUGAAAUUGAAUAAUCUUAAAAAUUGAGCAUAGGACUUUUAAAUUCAAGAUCAAGAAUGUUAACCUUAAUCUAGAUAGUUUAAAAUAUUUUCUAGCAAAAUUUGAAGAAUUAUAUUCUUCUAUACGUUAAACUCCAAACUCGUCAUAGUAACCAUUGAAAAUUGACAAUUUUUGAAAUGGUUUGAUCAUAAAAUAAACUAUUCGAAAAAUAUAAAAUUUUAUUUCUAAAAUUUUAAAUACCUAGAUCAGUUUUAACGGUGUGGAUCAUUGAUUUAAAUUACCUAAGAUGAAAAACUAGACUAUAGUAUCGGAGCCCCGGUAUUACAGUAGUAUAGUGUGUAGCUCUAUAUUAUAUAUAUAUAUUAUUAUAUAUAUAUAGUUGUAGUUGAGUACCUUUUGUUUUCUUUAGAAAAUUGUGUAUAUUUUAUUCCACUUGAAAUUUUUCAAGAAUUAUUUGUACCAAAAACAGUGAUAAAAAUCAGACUUUCAUGUAGUAAAUUAUAUAUAUAGGUAUUAUUCUUACAUAACAACAUUUUUGCAAUGAAUAUAUGAGUUUUAAAAGUUUGAUCAAAUAGCAGUAAUUCAGAGUUAAAUAGCAAAAUCAAAAUUUUCAAAAUUUAUGCACCUAUCAAAAAGGGUGAAAAAUGUAUGUAUGGAGUAUUUUGAACUAUGAUUUAUUUUGAAAUAACUUAUUUUUCAUUUUGAAAUAACUAUCUAACUUUCAAUAAGUUUUGAUUUUGUUAUCAACAUUCAUUCUUUGAUUUAAACUAUCUAAGAGCUCUAUUAUUACAAAAUUUGAUGCACCCUCAGUUUAAUUGAAUUGUACCUCUGAUGAUUAUACAAAAUAUUCUAAAUAUUUCAGUAAGAUUAGCGAUGUACUCAAAUUUUAUAUCGAAAAAGUCAAAUAGUUAGAAUCAAGUCAAUUAAAAGUUAGACUAUAAAAAUUAAUAUUUAGAUGAUUAUAUAUAUAUAUAUAUAUAUAUAGUAUAUAUAUAUACUAUCACAUAGAUCAAAGCCGUUAGCGGUAUAUGAGUUUUUUGGCGUUGGAUGAAAGGAUGUGCGAUAUAGAGAUGAUAGUGAUCCCUUAGCGGUUGAGUGGUUGGUGGUUUAUAUGUAUAAUUACAGCAGCGUGGAAUGGAUCAAAGAAAUAGAUCUUAACGAUAGAAAUUCAAUAGUCCAAAGACUUGGUACUAUCAUAGUAUAGUAGCGACCUAUCUAUAGUAUAUACUACUAUAUAUAUAAUAUAUAUAUUAUAUAUAUAUAUGGUUGUAAUGCUCGGUUUUACUAACCGAUUGUUGUUUUGAUAUAGAGGCUUCCAAAUCGACGAUCCGCACCGUUGAACAUGAUCUAGACUAUUUAAAUAUUAUCUAGAAAUCAAAUUUUAUGAUUUUUUGGCGUCACUAACUAAACGAUCAAUAUGGUUUCACAAAUCAUGAUAAUUUUAAUGGACGAUAUCGGUGCGUAUUGCUCGUUUAACGAUAUAGAAAGAGUUUCAAAUAACUGAUAAUUUUUAUUAAAAAAUUCUUUAAAACUAUUUAAAAUAAAGAUCUAGCCACUCUAGAUCUCAAUAUAAAAAUUCUAUCAUCACUUUUGAAGGAUAUUUAUUUCCGCCGUUUAUUUUUUGUUCAUGAUGGACCAAGGAGAACAAUAUCGAAAAAUUAUACGAAUCACCUGUGAAACUUUGAUUUUCCAAUUGUUUAAAUAGUUUAAUGAUGUUUAACGGACGGUGUCGAUCUAUCAAUUUUUGAAGCGUCUAUCAUUAAAAACAAAUCGCAUAGUUAAAUCAAGCCGUUUACUUACCGAUGAGCUUUUUAGCAAAGCUUCUAUAUAUUAUAUAUAUAUAUAUAUAUAUUAUAUAUAUUUAUUAUAUAUAUAUGUGGUGUGUGUGUGUGUGUGUGUGUGCUGUGUGUGUGUGUGUUAAAAAUUAACAUACUUUACUCGAACUUGAUCUUUUUGAUUCUUAGUACCAAAUUUUUUCAAAAUUUUCGAUUUUUAUAUCUAUCUUUCAAUCAUUUGCAUUUGGAGUCGGUACAUAACACUUUGACUUUAAAAUGUGAACGCAUUGAUUAUCUUUACAUAUUUAGUUAAUAUACUCCAUGCGAUUCUUACAACUAUAAAUUUGCUAAAAUAAGUAAUUAGCUUGAAUUUUAAAAUCAAAAUAUCAUUGACCGAUUCAAAUCAAAUAAAUUGAAAUAUUGGAUAGUAAAAUUAAAAUUUUAAAAAGCUUGGAUAAUCGGCCCAAAAUAAUUUAUAAUUCAGAUAUGUUCUAUACAUUUUUACCAAUAUAUAAUUAAUUAUUUCAAAAUAGGUUAAAAUUCAGAUCACAAAAUGUGCUAUCAUUGAGAUGCUAGUUUACCUAAAUCAUGUAUUUAGUGGCCAAUGGGUGCCAAGGAAUAGACAUGCACACAAAUAUAGGUGAAAGCUAUAUAUGGGUCCAACUUUGAGUCACUAGGGUUAUGAAAGGGACCCACAUGUACCCAAAAGAGCUAAGAGAUAUGAAAUGAUCCUCCCUAAGUGGAGGCAAUUAGGUAGGGUUUGGACUUGGCAAAGGUGGCAAAUAAUAGAUUAGGAGGGGGAGGUGGGGAGGGGUACUUGAAAGAUACAUGUCAAAAUAAUAAUAUUAAGUUGAGGAGUGGGAACAUUGGCACUUUGUGUUUGUGUGUUUUAAUUUGUGGGUCUUUUUUGGUUCAUGGUGGGCCAUUUUAUGUUUGGUGAGUAGGGGUUCUUGAAUAAACCUUGAUUAGUAUGUCACUCAUUGAUUGAAGGGCUUUUUGUUGACAAUUGCAACAAAAAUAUAUGUGAUGGUUGCAUGAGUGAUAUGCAUGCAUGUCAUGCUAGCUCCAAAGUUGUAUAUAUCUUGGUAGUUUAAUUUGUUGCAUGAAAUAUUUUAUAUCUAAUCAUAUUUAAUUUCGUAGCAGGAUUUAGCCGAAAGCAGAAGUAGAAAGGAUAUUCUUUUUUCUGAGAGAUAGGUAGCACGCUACCCGCUUCGUUUAUUUCACUUAAAAAUAAAUUUAGCUGGAAAUGUGAAUCAACUAAGAUUCGAACUUGGGUCUCGAAUAUCAACCACCAAAUCCUUUGCCACUUGCUCUAGGAACAAUCGGUGUAGAAAGGAUAUUCUGUUCAAUGCUAAUGCGAUAGUAGUCAAAGAUCGAGUUUUCUUUUAUGAUGAGAUUUCAUCAAAGUUCUAACUUGAUAGUUAUGUAACAUAAAAAUGUUAUUGUUAAGGUUAUAUCAAAGAUUAAUUCAUAUCUAAUCAUACUUACUUUUAAUUUAGGAUUUAGCUCAACUUACACUCUCAUCAGCAGUCAGGAGUAAAAAAAAAAAAAAAAGUUCAUUGUUGACAUGGCAGUAAUCUAACGAAUUUUUUUCAAUGACUAAAGCUCAUCAAUGAGUAUGAAUAAAGAAUAAAUUAAAAUUUUAAUUUGCUAAAUAACAUAGCAUUGAUGACUACAAAAUUUCCAUACAUUGGGGUUGUGGAGAAUCUAGUCACCAUUUAGUUUGUACCAAAUGACAUGUAUUAAAUAAUGGUGUGGUUUUUAAAUUGAUAAAGGAUCACCUACAAAUAUAAUGCUUUUGUUAUACCUAUCUUUGGAAAUGCAUGUGUGUAUGUGUGUUUUUUUUUAUAUUGUUUGGUUGAUGCCACAGUAAAAGUGUGUGACAUUUAAUGAUAUAGGAUCUAAAUGCAUGGCACAUUAAGAAAUAUAAAACUAAAAAAACAAAAUUCCCUUUUAAAUUUUUUUUUUUUUUUUAAAUAACCUGUCACUUUGAGAGACUAUUUAGUACCAAGCAUAGUAGAGCUAGAAUGGUGACAUAAAUUUUUUGUAGCUUAUAAUUAAUUAAUUACAACUUUAAAUAUGUCAUAAUCAUAGACCGUAUCAUAGUCGAGAAAAAUGCAAAUUUUAAUAUAAAGUAGAAAGGCAAUUUUAAUAAAAAAAAUAUUACUUAUUUUACAAUUCUAUACUUUUAUAUUUAUGGGAUAAUCUAAACUAAUUGUGCAUUAAAAAUAUGAUUGCACACUUAUGUAGAUUAGCCGCCGAUUUUAUAUAUUAUAUUCCACACUUUUACUAUAAAAAUGUAAUAAUAUAGUUACACGCAUAGCAUGUCUAAUUUUGUAGUGAAAUGUAUACAUUAAGAUAUUAUAUUUUAAUAAUUUAUGUUUUUAGAAAAUAACGAAUGUUUCAGCGUAUUAAAUAUGUCUAGUUUAUACAAUAUUAGACCCAAUAGGAUCGAUGCACAUAUGAACUGAGUUGUGGUUUUAGAACAAAUUUUAAAUUAAAAAUUAUUUUAUUAGAUUAUGUUCAUACAAAACUAACGAGAACUAAAUAUAUUUUAUUUAUCACAUGCUUUAUUAAAUAUAACCGUUGCUCAAAUUGGUUGAAAUUGUAUUUGUAGUAAUUAGCGAGCGUAAUUUUAAACAAAGAACUUUCAUACUAUGAAUAAUUUUAUCACCUCAUAUAUAUAUAUAUAAUAUAUAAUAAAAUUUAAUAAAUAUGAAUUUUAAUCGUAUGUAAAGGAACAAAUUAUUAAUAACUACAUUACCUUUUGCAUAAUCUAAUUAAGCAUAAAGAAGAUGCGUACAUUAUUGUACUAUAUAUAUAANAAGCAUUAGAGCAUAUAUUCAAUUCAUUUUAAUAUAAAAAAUAACAAAAUACAUAAAAUCAAUAAAAUAGUUAAAAAUAACUAAAACAAAAUUUUUUAAUUAGUCAAGAUUCAUUUUAUAUUUUUUCUACUAUUUAAUCGGAGUCUCAUAAUAGAGUUGUUGGAUUUUAUCUAAACAAUUAAUUUAUUAAUAAUAAUAUAUUAAUUUUAAAAAAAUAAUUUAGUGAUAUUUAUCGAAAAGAAAAAUAGUUCAAUAUUAUAAAAAAGAAGUAAAUCUAAAAUACAGUAUAAAAAUUGAUAAAAUAUAAUAAUAUAAUAAUAUUUUUUUAGAAAAUAGUACAUCAUAUUAAAUAAAAAUAAUAUAUAUAGUACAAUACAGUAGAGUGUAAUUAAGCAUGUUAACCGUAUAUUUUUUCAACUAUACGGUAUCUACUGUUACAUCCAUCCAAACACAUUGUAUCUAAUUUAAUUGUCGUUGCGUGUGUUCAAAUUAAGACCUAAUUAUACACACCACUGCACAUUGGGUGGAGACAAAUUAUGUCCAAUUUUGUAAACUUUUGUUUUACUUUUUUUUUUUCUAUUUUAAUUUAAUUAUUAAUCCCUUCAUUCCCCCACCUAUAUUUCUCCCAUGGCUCUCUCUAGAUUCCAACUUUUCAAAAAAAAAAAAAAACUUUAAAUACCACUCCUGUAGUUUUAUAUAUUUUUAUUUUAGUACCAUAUAGUUUAAAGUGUAUCAAGUUAAUAUCCUGUGGCUUUAUUUUUAUUUUUUCGUCAGCUUUUUCGUCAAUAUUUUGUUAAAUUAUAUAAAAAAAACUUCAGAUACCCGAACUAGCUCUAUCGAAUAUUCACUUUAGUAACUUUUAGUUUUAACUUUAUUACUAAUUUAACGAAAAAAAUUAGUGAAAUCGAUAAUAAAAAAAUAAAAAUUAAACCAUAUGAAACUAAAUUGAUAUAUUUUAAAACACAGAAUAAUAAAGUGAAAAAGUAUGAAACCAUAAGAAUAAUAUUUGAAGUUUUUUUUUAAAGAAAAAGAAAAGAAUGAAAAAAAGAGAGAAAAAAGAAAGAAAUUAUUGCUUGCUGCUGCCUCCUCCUCCGAGUCCUCUCGUUGGUGAAAAAAAAAAAAAAAAAAUCACAAAAACAAAAACAAAAACAAAUAAAUUAUUAGACUAAUAAAUUUUUUUUAAAAAAAAAUGUAAAAAGCAGUGAAAAGGUGUGGAAAAAGUUUCCAUUUUUGCAGGUGCAUGAAUUGGCUCCUCCUCCGCCUCCCCCUCUCCCUCCCCUUCCUCCUCCUCCUCCUCCUCCUCCAUUCAACUCUUUCUCCAAAAACAUUCCUUUUUCCCUCUCUCUCUCUCUCUCUCUCUCUCUCUCUCUCUAUAUCUUUCUCUGAAACCAUUCAAAGCUCCCACCUUUCUCUCUCUUCUCUUCUCUUCUCUCUCUCUCACACACACACUUCUCCUCUGGUGAGCCCUGCUUGCGCUGUUCCUUUCAGACCCCAUCGCCUGCUCCCUUUUUGACUCUGGUUUCCUCUGCUGCUGCUGCUUUUAUUCUGGGGCUUCAAUUUUUCUGGGUAUUUAUUUAUUUAUUUAUUUAUUUAUUUCACAGGGGAUUAGGAAAAAGGAGGAUUUUUUUUCUCUUUCUUUUUGUUGGUGUGGGGGGGUUUGUAUUGUUUCUCUGAGGAUUUGGUCAUCUGGGUCUCCCCUGUUUCUUCUCCUUCUCCUUCUUUUUACACAUCUUGUUUGAGUUAAGGAGAGGAAGAGGAAGGGGAAGAGGAAGAGGAGGAAGAAGAUGACUGUGGAGGAGAUUAAGGUGAAGGGGGAAGGCGCCGGAGACCAGUUUCCGGUGGGCAUGCGCGUGCUCGCCGUCGACGACGAUCCCACCUGCCUCAAAUUGCUCGAGACCCUCCUCAUCAGAUGCAAAUACCAUGGUUCGUUUCUUCAUCCAAAUUCCUCACUUUUACUUGUUUUUUGGGGCUUCUUUUUUUAAAAAAAUAUAUAUUUGUUGGUUAAUUUCUCUCAGUAUUAGGACGUGGGUGAUCUUUUAAUUCAUUGAAAUCCUCUUUUUUCCUUGGUUUUUUGUGUUAUUUUGGUUUUUUCUUCUUUUUUUUUUUGUUUUUGGAAGUGAAAGGGUUUUAGAUAUCAUGGAAAAUUCUUUUGUUGGUUAAUUUCUCUGAGUAUUAUUAGGAUGUGGGUCUUUUAAUUCUACCUAUCAACUCUAUGUUUUCAUGUUGAUUGUUUCUGGGACUUUGCUUGUUAUUCUCUACUUUGUACCUUUUUCCUUCUCCUUUUGAAGUUCCUUUUCACUUAAGUUGUUAAUCUUAAAAUUGAAACUUUUGGCCCUGUUUGGUUUAAAAAAUGUUCAAAUUCUAUGUGGUUGGAUGGCAAAGAAGCGCAAAAAAAAAAAAAGAAAAAAGAAAAAAAAGUGUUGCUGUUGAGUGUUUUUUUCGCACUCCAUCACAUAAAAAUUUGUGUUUUUCUUUUUUCCCUAUUUCAAGAUAAGCAGUGGGACCUUAGGACCAGUUGGUUUUGUUUUUUACUUUUUUUUGUGUGUUUGUGUGUUGUUAUUUCAGUUACAACAACUAGCCAAGCAAUCACUGCCCUGAAGCUGCUGCGCGAGAACAAGGACCGAUUCGAUCUGGUCAUCAGCGACGUCCACAUGCCCGACAUGGACGGUUUCAAGCUCCUCGAGCUCGUCGGCCUCGAAAUGGACCUCCCAGUGAUUAGUAAGUCUCUCGCAUGAUCAUGCACACCUCUCUUUGUAUUUGUCGAGUUUGAUAACUACUUCGCAAAUGAAUCAUGUCCAUUAUUGCAUUAUUAUUACUGUUAUUGGUACAUUAUUUGAUGACGUAAGCGAAUGAAUCUCUCGCUCGCGCAGUGCUGUCCGGAAACGGCGAGACGCAGGCCGUGAUGAAGGGCAUAACGCACGGAGCUUGCGAUUACUUGUUGAAGCCCGUGCGGAUCGAGGAGCUAAGGAACAUAUGGCAGCACGUUGUUAGGAGGCGGAAGUUCGAUGGGCGAAGCCAGAGUAAUCUUGAGAACGGGGGGGAGGACGGUCAGAAGAGUAGCCAGAUCAAUCACGAAGGUGAGCAGGGUGCGGUCGACCGCAACGGGAAGCUGAAGAAGAAGAGGAAGGAGCAGAACGGAGAGGAGGAGGAGGAUUCUGACGAGAACCCGCGCGAGAAUGAGGACCCCUCGGCCCAGAAGAAGCCGAGGGUUGUUUGGUCGGUCGAGCUGCACCGCAAGUUCGUUGCCGCUGUUAAUCAGUUGGGAAUCGACAGUAAGAAUUCUUGCUCUUGGCUUGUUGUUGCCGUGCCAUGUUCAAUUUCUUGGAUGGGUUGGAAUGAUGAUAAUAUGUUGGUUUUGUGCAUUUUGUUCCAGAGGCUGUUCCUAAGCGGAUUCUCGAUCUUAUGAAGGUCGAGAAGCUCACUAGAGAGAAUGUCGCAAGCCAUCUGCAGGCAUGAUUUCAGUUCUUAUAUUCAUUUUUCAGCAUAUACUCACAGCUGAAUUUCCAUUUGCAUAGUGUUUUAGCCACUUUGCAACCAAAAAAAAAAAAAAAAUUACAACUCCACUCUUGUUUUCUGAAUUUGCAAAAAUGGGACUCCUUUCUUGUUUUUUUUUUUUUUUCUUUUUCAGAUUUUCGUUUUUUUUAAAAUAAAUUUCAACUUUAAGAACGAAACCACCCCUCCGCUUCAAGGCUGUGAUGCACAUUUUCGGAUAACCAAUGCACAAUUCUGAAUAGUCGAAGCACAAUUUCGAAACCUUGCGGCUAUCAAUCAAAGUUGUGCAUCGACAUUGAUAGUUCUCAACUGUGCAAUCCAUUGUGCAUCAUGCAUCGUGGUCUUUUAUUUGUCGACGAAACUUGCUCCUAUGCCUAUUUCUUUUGUAGUUUACAUAAUCACCUGUAAUUACCAUUAACAUCUAUUUCGCUCUCAUUGGAUGAAAUCAGAAGUAUAGGCUCUACCUUAAGAGGCUAAGUGCUGUAACAAGCCAACAAGCUAACAUCGCCGCGGCUUUGGGAGGACGGAACCCGUCAUUUAUCCACAUGAGCUCAUUGGAAAGCUUCAGAAACUACCAUUCACUCGGAAGCACUCGGCAUCUCCCGUCAGUCGCUUCCUGCCAAGCAAAUGGGCUUCUCGGCCGGAUGAACACGCCAACUGCGUUCGGAGUGCACGGUUUGCUUCCCUCUCAGGCGGUUCAACAGAUCGCUCGAACGCAAAACAACCCAAGCAAUCACACUAAGGAUUUGGAGAAAAUCCAAGCCGCUUAUCCGCAAGGAGUUCAUCAAGGGAAUUUGUUUCAAGGGUUUCAAGAAUCAAACAAGCUUUUCUCCGCCGGUUUCAACGGUGGUGGAUUAGCUAAUGGUUCUUGCGGCGACGCUUACGCGAACGCCGCGAACGGUUCAAUGCUAGUGCAAGCGAAUAAGAUCCCGACGCAGAAUGGAGUGUUGGGCAACUCUCCUUCUUUCAGAACUCGCGUCGGAGAGGCAGCCCAGUUUCCCGAUCUUUCGCGAUGCGACAAUACUUGGCAAAGCGUCGUUUCGUCAAAGUAUCCAGCCGCCACUUUGCCAGUCAACGACUCAUUUAAUCACAACAACGAUCUAACUCCGUGUAGCAUCGGAGACAGUAUUGCUCCGAUGCCCUCGCACAUAGAAGGUGCCGUUCUCUGUGAAUCUCCGAGCAAUUUGGAGGCGGCAGUUAAUCGUAAUCCGGUGAUUGGAAGUGAUUUACGGAAUCCUAAUCCCAUUUCUUCACUUGGUGGGAGUGCGAUGCCAAUUUCAAGCCUCGGUGAAGACCCAACGACCACUUCCUUUGACUUCAGAAGCAUGUCGAAUGCGAAUCCGAGACUGGAUCAUACCGCUAAUGCAAGUACUUCUUCCUUGAGCUCCAUAUUGCCGAAUCUUCAAAUAAAUGAUCCUACUGCCCAGAAGCAGGGCUUUUGUAGCAAGCAGAUGGAUGCGAGUUUGAUAGGAGAAGCAAAUUUUGGCGCUCCGAUCCUGACGCACGAUUGGAGGAUCGACAGUAGAUCAUCUAACAGAGAUCAAAUUCAGGGCAAGGACGAUUACGCUUCGGGAAUGACCAAGUUGCAGAAUGGCCUUAGUCGCAGCAUUGACGAUAUUGUUAGCGCCAUGCUUAAAUCGGUAUGUGUUCUUUUUCUUCUAUUGAACUACAAAAUUGUUUCUUUAGCUGUUAUUAGCAUGUUAAGAAAUGUGUCUUAAGACACUCGAAAUCACAAUAAGAUCCUUAUUAUCUUGUUGAAGGCUUUUGAGAAAGAAUACUCGAUUUAGCCGACUACAUGAAGAGCAAGUACUUUCACAUAACUAGCUAAACCACCUUAUUUCUUCAUUGUAGGACCGCGACGAGUUUACUGCUUUCGUGGAUGGGGACAUGGGAUAUGACCUCUAUACUCUUAGUACUUGAUGAGCCGAAUCGCGAUGAAGAAAAAAAAAAAAGCUCGUUGUAUUGAUUUGCGUAGGAUUCACAAUUCCAGUCGCGAAGUUUGUAUUUAUUAAUGCCCAUUUCCUCUAUUGACUUUGUUAUUCUUCUUUUUUCUAGCAAACAAUCAUCUAGGUGAGUGUAGCAUAGGAAAUUAUGAGUUGGGAAUGUUUGGAGUUUUGUAUUAUACAAAAUAUGCUUUUAAACUAAAUGAUGCUAUGGAUGGUAUUUAUUCAAGUGGAAUGUGUUUGACAAGUGACAAACAACUUGAUUUUAGGUUAUUGUACUAGGUAGUUGUCAUAGUGCUCUUUCAUAUUUGCUUAAUACUUUAUCCAGUGAUAGUAUACAACAACUUAAAAUUUGUAUUAGUUUAACAUGCUUUGAAAUUCAUUGAGCUAUGUAGUACUUUAAAAUUCAUCCAAAGUAUCUACACAUUCUUUUUUAAUUUUUAAUAUUAAAAAAUAUUGAUAUGAUUGGUAUAAAAAAAAUUAGUCCUUAAUGAAUAAAACAUAAUAUUCAUAUUUUUUUUGAAUGCUUAAAUAACAUUGCCCUCAUUUGAUUCUGUUGUUACCUAGUUUUGGAAUACAUUUUCCAUACUACAACCUGACCAUACAAAUUAUAUCAGUAAGAAUGUUAUAUCAUUAAAAAUUUUAGCGAAAACCAAGAUGCGGUCCAAAAAAAUAUCCAAAAAAAUAUUAACUCUAUUCUAUUCUCAUCAGCUCCGAGAUCGAAAGUGGAGAGUCCAAUUGAUCUUAACAUCACUGGCAUCAUCCAAAUCAUCUAACCAUUGCAUCUCAUCUCUUUUUUAAAAAAAAAAUUUCUAUUUUUUGUCUACAAAUAGAGAGAGUAACAUGGUUCAAGGACCUGAUUGAGAGAACAUGAGCCAAUAUUUUCAACUACUUCACUAUCCAGCAAAAUAUCUAGUAAAGAUUCACUAGGUAGAACACUCAAAACUGUCCCAUUGGUGCAUGCCACUUUUGGCAAGUUAUAGCAAAGAGAAAUAUUUAAGCUUCAAGUAAUUCAAAUAAUCUUAAGAGACCUAUACUUAUUUUGCAGCAUCAUCUUCAUCUCCAAUAAUGUGCGCACUUGGACAACAAGGAAUUAUAUCACAAACAGUAGAUGCUCAAUGGUUUCUGGUGCACUACCACAGAGAGUGCGGGCGACAUCCACACCCGGCGGCUGAGACUAACAAGAUCAAACACUGCAGCAUAAAAACCUCAAACAUAACAAGAUCAAAACACCAAAUGCAACCUUCGCAGAAAAGAAAAGACAAACAAAGAGCGCCUAAUCCUCUCAUCUCACAUCCUGUCCACACCCAUUUCUUUCCGAGCAGGGUGUCGCGCUGUUCAGUUAAGAGCUGUUUGGAAAAGCACGGAGCGAAUAGCUAAAGCAGUUGCCGCCACUGGGCCAUCCAAACUGCCUCCUCAUCCCAGCAUUGAGAAACCACAAGAUGUUACGGCUAUACCGGAGAAUUUCGUUGCAGGAUAGAGAGGUUCUGGAUCUCUGAUAAAUCAUAACCUGAUCAAUCGCCAGUCUUCAUCGCCUGUUUGCACAUCGAAUAAUAAAUUGGUAACCCGAAAAGAGAGAAAAGUAAUGGCGAUGAUAAGGUAUUAGAUAGAAGGAUUAAGGCUCAGAUUCACCUUUCAUUUACUAGAAAGAGAGAUCCUCCUCUCCACUCCCCAUGCAUGGCUGCAGCAUUUGCCAUGGUGCCAUCCAAGCUGCGCUACCGAGUUGCCGUCAAAUGCUUUCAUUUUAGAAUUUCACAGUAAGAGGAUAGAGAAGUAUUCAGAUCUCAUAGAAGACGAAACUUCUACCAGGCCCUCCUCUUAGAUGGCGAGAAAGUCUUCAUCGUAACAGCAAUUUCAUACAGGAUCAGAAAAUGCUAGGGGUGCAACCGGGGCAGAUCCGGACGCGCGAGGGGUCCCCCACCUCACACCGCAGUUCCUUGGCGCGUCAGGGCAGAUCUAUUUUUAUCUUUAUCUUUUACCCCCACUUAACACUUCAUUUGGGGCAAAAGCGAGUAUUUGGCAUAUUGGGACCGAUCAAGGGAAGGAAGGGGCCCUGCCUACCACUCCAUUUGCUCACCGGAUCAGGGCAGAUUUGGGACAAGUUUUUUUUUUGGGGGGGUUUUUAUUUUUGGGACCCAGGAUUGGGCGGGAUGCUAGGACUUAGGAAUUUUCUCCAAGAUUUCCCUAGCUUAAGUCCGUAAUAGGGAGCUCUAUCAACCCAGAUCCAUUUGCAUCACUAGUAAACGCCAGCUAGGGGAAGGAAUCCGACAUCAUUACCUCUUUGAAAACGGAUUAUGAAAGAAAAGGGGAAUCACCAUACAGUUUGCUAAAACUUUUGUAUGGAGCUCCCAAUAGAGGGGGUCGGCUUCCGUAGAGGCAAGUCCAACAUCACAGCAGCAAACCAAACUCCAUCAAGAUCAAAAACUAAAAGAAACUUUAUUAAAAGACAAAACGUAAACUAAACGAAAUCGUAAAAGAAAAAAGAAAAUCUCAAUAUAUGGUUGAGAAAAAAAGAAAGGAGAAAAUCCUCAAUAAAAUGGCAGCACACCAAAAGUGCAAAAGAUAGAACGGAUGAAUAAAGAGAAUUUUGUUAGAGAGAUUUUGGAUCUCUGAUAAGCCAUCACCAGUAUCAGUUGUCCAAAAGCAAGAUGAUGGUCUCAUUGAUCAUCAUCAAUACUUAAUUUGUAUGGGUAAAAUGCAUGGAUAGCCUAGCCUCUGUACUUUAACAAUAUUCCGACUUGGUCCCUAGGAAGGGGUUUUGCAUUUUGAAACUAGAGUCAUCGGUUCUAGAAGAGAUAAAAAGGGAGAGCGUAGCAGGCGGCAAACCCUUCCGAAGAACACCCAAUCCUCCGGUGAAGAGGCACCCUUAGUUGAAUUGUAGGUAAAAAUGUAUAGAACUUAUCUAAAACAUGGCCAAAUUGACCUAUUUUGAGAAGAUUGCUUAACCAGCCUACCUUUAAGGCCUAGUUAGGAAAUGUGUUGACCAAGAGUACUACCCUAAAGUGCAAUGGGAAAAUAUUGUGCUUGUUUUCUAGAGUAAUAACAUGAGAAAAAUAGUUUUGUUGCACUUUUAUCUCAAAAGAAGAGAUGUGAUUGGCUUGGACAUAAAUGAUACGGUGUAGCUGCUACAUAAAAACUACCUCCCUGUUUAGAGUAUAAAAAGGUUGGCACUUAGACAAUGGACUUGUCGAAUUACAACUCCAUUUGUGUUGUGGGGCUAGCUCUAACUCAAAAUUGAUUUUUAUUGGUCCUAUCUAAAAACAGAGAUAAAUAGCUCCACAUGCUUCCGCUCCGAACUCUUUUUAUUGUAAAGUGGACAUUUGGUCGGAUGCAAUUGUAAUUACAGUGUAGUUAGAAUUUCCUGUAGUUGACAAUGAAACAAUUACAACUAAAUGUAGCUUGUUUGGUUGAAUACAGUAGACAACGCUACAACCAUAAAUAAUUUGUUUAGUUGCACACAAUUGAAAACUGUAUCCACAAAUUUUAUCAUGGUAGGAUUACCCCCAAUAUAGAAGAAAAUUUAUAUAACUUUUUUCAUUUAGAAGGUAAGUAGGUAGGAAGGUUUACCUCUUAUAAAAUUGUGGUCAAUUUGGACGUAGCUCUUGCUGAUGCUGGAGAUUGCAACCCCAAUUUUACAAGAUAAAAGGAGAAAAAAAAAUUGAAAACAUUUUUAAUUUUUUUGGACAUUCUAUAGCAUAAAAACAAGAUGUUUUUAGCCACAGUCAAAAGUUUCAAAAGCCCUUUUACUCUUCACUCCAAUGCUGUAAAAUUCGAGCACUAAACCACCGCCGGAGAAGCAUUCAUAAGAAGAGUCCGACGAUGAUGCUUCCGGAAACACCACAUAGGUGGUGCUUCCAAUUUAUUAACCUUCGAUUCAACCCUUUCGACCAUUUCUAACAUUUGGAUUAAUAUUAUUUCUCUAGAGAGACCGCUAAAUCCUAGAUUGACCACUAAAUCCUAACCCUACAAUCCUUAAUCCAAAGGCCAAAAAGUCGAAAGCAUCAACUCCUUUAUACCUCUAGAAGCCUAGUAGCUCUACACGCAUAAGUAUAAAAUUACCUGUUCUGCUUUGUGCCUGCGUUUGCCACAAACAUUUUGCGGCUACUCUUCAAUGGGCUCGAGAAAUUCGAGAUAUUAACAAAUAUUUAACAAAAAAAAUUAGAAUGAAAAUAACAGAAACCCUAAGACAUCAAAAGCCAAUACCAACAUCAGCAAAACCAAAUGAAUAAAUAAAUAAAUAAAAGCCUAGUAAAAUGGCGACUCAAAAACGAAUAGAAUAAAUUACAAAAAAAACUAUCACCAUUAGUAGUUUGCUUGAGAGUAGGGCUCAGAAACCAUCAUCGCCUCUUUGCCCAUCGAUCGAUCGAUCUAUCUAUCUAUCUAUCUCUAGAGAGAGAUAGAGAGGGUUAGGGUUUUGGCGUUUGACGAAGAAGAUGAUCAUCGGCUCUGUCGAGUAGAGAGAGAAGAGCACAAGGAGGAGGCAAACCCUUUCCCCUCCCCAACAAACACCCGAUCCUCUUCUUGUGCUCUUCCGAGAGCCUCACACUUAAACUAAUGAGAGUGUGGAGCGAGGAAGCCUCAAACCCUAGAUUUAUAGGGUUUGAGAGAGAGACAAUAGAUUUUUUUUGUUUUCUUUUGGGAAAACUUCAAAAAACCCCUUGUGGUUUCAUUUUUUUCAAUUUAGUACCAUGUGAUUUAAAAUGUAUCAAGUUAGUACCGUGUGAUUUAAAAUGUAUCAAGUUAGUACCUUGUGGUUUCGCACUUUCUCAUUUUAGUACUCUGUGGUUUAAAGUGUAUCAAGUUAGUACCUUGUGGUUUCGCACUUUCUCACUUUAGUACCCUGUGGUUUAAUAUUUCAUUCGGAAAAAAAUAAAAUCAUAGGAUACUAACUUGAUACAAAAAUAAAAUUAUAGGGUACUAACUUGAUACAAAAAUAAAACUAUAGAGUACUAGCUUGAUACACUUGAAACCACAGAGUACUAAACCCAAUCCCAAGUUUUGAUCCCAAUCCCAAAACCACCCGUUUCCACUUCUUGUUCCUGCGCUCCUACCAUAUUUAUUAUUAUUAAAAUAUAAACAAAAUUUCUAAUUUAUUUAUUUCUAAUUAAAUUAACUCUCCAACCUCCGCCCGCUACGCUCCGGCAGUCUAUAAUACUUGGAGGCAUCCUAUGGUGAACCUUUGCUUUUUAGCUGUUUCUACUUUACUAGCUAUUACUAAUCUGUGCGACCAGUGUUAUUAAUGUAGGUCCUGUUGCCUAUCCUCGUGAACUAGGGUCGGUUUCGACUCAUAUUUUCGGUGGUGUUGUUGUUAACAUUCACGUCGUUAUUUGUUUUUUAAACUACCAUUGCACUCUACAGUUUUUAUUUUUAUGUUCAUCAUAUAUUACUAUGAUUACAAAAUUUUAUUAAUUUUUUAUUGUAAUUGAAAAAAAAAUCUUUUUUGAGUUUUUUAGAGGUACACCAAAGUGUGAAAGAUUGAAAUUAUGGGGCACCAAAUUUCACAUAGUUUAAUCAUGGGAUACUAAAGUGUGAAAGAGUGNUGAAUUAUUCGGUUUAGCAUUUCUACAAGGCAUUAAAAUUAAUUUUAUUGUUUAAUAGCAUACACCCUUUAGAGUUCGAAUGUAAAAAAAUAUAUAAAUUUGAUAAAAAUUGUUCACCAUUUUUUUAAAACGAUAAAUAAUUCGCCAUGUAAUGCUAAUUUAAUAAAUAAAAAUUUUAAAUACUUAUAUUUACAAUUGAAAAAAUCUGCAAUUAGGAACACACUUCGCAUAUUUUAACCUUUCAUCCUAAGAUUCACGCACGUCUUUUUCAGUUUUUAUUAUUAACAAAUUAAAUUAAAAAAUAUAUGAAUUGCACAUUUGGUCCUCAAACUGUAAGACCGGUGACACUUUAAUUUUCAAACUGCAAUUUAUUGCAACUUUUUUACUUAAAUAUUUAAAAUUAUUACAAUCAAAUCCUAUAAUCCAAUUUAGCUCUAAACUAAAUAUUAACAUAACGCUAAUGUANAGCGUGCAGCUUGAGUUUGCGCGGGAAUUUCAGGUAACGAAUUCCUAUCUUAAAAAAAAAAUUGUUUUAAUUUUCUUCGGGUUUCUUAACAUUAGAUUGUUACAGAUAAUUUAGAUAAUUAGAUAAUUUAAAAAAAAAAAAAAAAAAAAAAAAAAAAAGAUCCACCUGCGGUUCAGAAUCAGAAUCAGAAUCAGAAUUGAAAUUAAGCCCAAAAUCAGUUUCACUUCAAUUCAUAUUUUUUGCAAAUCAAAUCGAUAAUUCUCACUUUGUUGCGUAAGGCAUGUGUUUGGAUGUUGGAAACACAUCGCUGCAACCACUUGAAUCUUGCUUUCCUCUUCCUUCAGAAUUAGUGAUUUAGAGGAUUUCAAAGAGGAUAUAUAAAUUGAAAUUCAAUGGAAAUAAAUUACCAAUAAGCAGCAGAUGAUGAAAAAUUUUCAGCUACUCAUGCAACAACAGCAGAUUCAGCAAAAAGUAGUUCCUCAAUGCAACGAAUUUCCCCGACUAAGCAGCGAAAUAUGCAAAAAGUAGUUCCUCAAUGAUUCAAAAAAGAUGAUAAAUUCAAAACAGAACAAAUAUUCAGAAUAGAAAAAGGAGCAAGGAAAAGACACCAACAUUGCAAAAUUGUAUCCGGGAAGUAGGUUCUGCCAUUAAGGGCAGUCCAAACAUAAUAGUAAAUUGAUAUUUUACGAGAAGCAAAUAUUUUACGGACCGCUGCAGUAACUUAAAAAAGAGGGAGCAAAAAUGGUUGCCUGAAAAGAACAGACAAGCCAAACCACACUAGACAGAACAGAGAAGAUGCAGGAUGAACAGGAUGAACAAAUAUAGCUUCAAAACCUCACAAAUUUAACCGAAUAGUGUGUACAAAUCUCUAAACCAAGAAUCUGCACCCAAAAUAUUGGGAUUAUAUUUCUCUGGGUGGGCCAAAAUCAUCAUUUGCCUCGAAAGAGAAACAGGAAAAGAGCUGAAAGACAACAACAACCACCAACAACACCACCACCACCGCCGACCGGAGCAGGAAGGAAGAAGUGCCUGAGAGAAGCUACCAAAUUAAAGUAAGCAAAAAGCUGUUCUAACCCGGCAUAUUCUUCUCAAGAAAAGCUCGAAAUUGUCGUUACGUAAAACAUAUAUAGACUGCUUUCACAAAUUGCAAGGAAGCGUAGCAUGACAAGCCUCAAAAUCGAAGGAUCUCCCUAGAGGAUCAUUACUAGACAUUAAAUCAGUGUCUCACAUACAAAUACCUUAUCAAUUUUAUUGUUUAGCCAAUCGUAUCUAGCGCAAUUGGCUAAAGACCUGAUGGUUGGCACCCGAAGUCCCAAAUUCAAAGCCUAGUUGCCUCACAUUUCCAACCGAGUACAUUUCUAAAAAAUAGAACGAAGUAGCUAGUUUGCUACUUUUCUCUCAAUUUUUUUAAAAAAAUUACUAUUUAGAAAUUUAAUAAAUUAUUUUAUGAACAAAAUUUAAUUUACGAGAAUUUUUAAGUAAAAAUCUAGAUCCACAACAAACCUGCAAGAGGGAAGACAGGAUUUUCGGUUAAACAAGAUUAGAGUAGAUAUUAAUUGCCACAUGUCAGUUACUUGGCAUGCCACUUGGCAAAACGAGAAUCCUUCACGUUCUCUCAGCUUUUGCUUUCAUAUAUUUAUGUAGAAUUAAAUCAAAGCAUCGCUUACUCGCUCCUGCUUCCAUCUAUAGAUCAAAUAGGAAAGGGCAAAAAAGAUGACAGGAGCUGCAGGUAAAGGAGGCUCAGAUUCGCCUUUGAUGCAUCAGAGAAAAGAUCUCUCUCCCUCUCUUCUCUCAUGCAAGUCCAACCCCUUCUACACGUUAAUGGCGGCAGCGGUUGCGUUCGCACCAUCCAUGCUGCUUUGCCAUCAUUAGAAGGGAUCUGAGAAAAGCAUGAAGAGAAGAGACGGAUUCGCAAUCCGAGAUUAACUAACAAUCAGCUAUGCACUGAAUCAUCGAUCAUCAUCACCUCCUCACUGCUAUCCUCUUUCAAAUCAAAUCUGAUUAUAGAUCACUUGAAUUCAGUUCACAAAAACUCAAUUGAAUUCAAAGCUGUAAAAUGCUCAAAUGUUUGCACUCAUUUUGAACACCCCGAAAGGAGCUAUAGGGUGAGAAAGGAGAGGAGAUAACACCCAUUCGAUCCAGCUUCCAAAAUGUAGUUUUGCCAGAUGAGUGGUAUCAAGAUUUAAACAGAGUCUGAACACCAAGUUGGGGUUAUAUCCCAUGGGAGGGGCCAAAAUCACCAUUGCCGUUGGAAAAGGAAAGGCAAACCUUUAAAGAUGAUCACUAACAGCAGGAACGGAAAGAAAAAAAAGAAGCAAUGAAAAGGAAGGAUAGUGAUAUUGCCAGAGCAAGUAAUGAAGGACCUUGAAAUGUGCUCUGAAUGUAGGUACUAAAGGUGCAAGGCUGCCAUUCCAACCUUCCAGCAUCCAUCACAGAAGCUCGAGAAUUACAUAGGGUGAUGUUUGGUUUCACAUAAAACUGCUAUUGACAAGUUGCAUCCUUGAUUUUCAGGAAAAGAAAAUGAAGAGUGAGAAAGAACGAGACAGAUAAGUAUUUUCAGUUUUCAGUCUGCAUUUUCUGCAGAACUACUUAAAAUACAAAAAAGCCUUUUCCAGAGUAUUUUACACACAGAAAAACUUCAAGAGCUCUUCUCACCCCAAAAUAGUGAUUUUGGGCCUAAUGUCUAACGACUCAAUCCACCAGUUAAGCAUGCUAGGGCGAGAGUAGUACUAGCAGGCUUGGUUGUCACAUUGGGGGUGGAGCAUCAAAGAGGAUUACCAGCCAGAAGUGUAAGCAAGGUCUCGCAUCGCCUGAUGAUCGGGAACAUGUGGGUAAAUGGACCUAACAAAGAUGCUGAGAUCUAAAUAGGGGAAGUUUGUGAUGCCCCAACGGUAGUCCCAUAUCAGACGGAAAAAAGAUUAUGCAUGUACAUAUAAGGGCUAAACUCUCUAGUACUAACAACUUAGGCUUAAGCAUUUUGAACUAGUAGUUUAGACCAGGUAAGUUAUUAGUGCUAGUGAACUCUGUAGCAUUAUGCUUGAGCACGGCUAUGAACAUCCCCGAGUGUUCCCAACUGUAAACUGACGAGAGAAAGGAAUAUCUUCUCUGGAGCAGGCAGAGCAGAACAGAAAAGGAGGAGUUUUAGAAUCAGAAAACAGAACUAGCAGCUCUGAAAUAGAAUGGAGACAGCACAGGAGGCGGCAAACCCUUCCCACGAACAACCAAUCCUCUGGUAAAGAAACACUCUCCGACUAUGUAAAUUGCACCAAGAGUCAUCAACUUUUUAAUCUUACUUUCAGCUUGAUCUCCAUUUCACAACCUUAAAAUAGAACACUUCGAUAGGAUCGAGUUCUGAGUAGACUUGCUGGGAUUUCAGCUUAGAAGAAUUCAGUUGAAUCCAUUUAGAAAUGACCAUAUGUUUUGAAGGAGUAAAAGAACUCCCAAAAUUCUUCAUGCAAAGUGAAAGAAUCUAGACACCGUCAAAUCAAGAUUUGCUUAAAGCCAGUUGGGUAAAAUUCCAAAGAAUUGGCAGGGAAAAAGAGGGGGGCGGGGAAAGGAGGGGGGGGGUUGUGUUUGGGAAUUAGCAAUCCAGAACAAGAAAUACAAAAAAAGAUACCAAAAGUGAACAUUUCAAAUAGUAAUUUGCAUGCAAAUGCAAAUGCCAAAACAGCCAUAGAAGACAUAAGCAUCAUAAAAUUCUACUUUUCUGAAAAAAUUACAACAAAUAGAAAACAGAGAGAGAGUAAACGGAGAAUAACAAAUAUACCAGUAUUAGUAUAGAUAAAUACAUCAAGAUGAAAAACCGAAAGAAACUUCAUUAAAAACAAAAGCAUCAUUAUUAAAACCACAAAAUUAUUACAAAAAAAAGAUAAGCAUGGUGUUUGGACAGGAAAGUAUGGCUCAGAUUCACCUAAGAUCAAUCAAAAGCAAAAAGUUUUUAGUCCGACAAUCCUACCAUGCAGUUUGAUAUGACCAAUUUGGUCUGAGGCACCACAUUAAGAUUCUGGUCUGAAAGGGCGUGGGUUCAAAUCCCAAUCCCAACAGAAAACAACAUUUCCGCCCACUGAGAUCCUUGUUAGUGGGUACUGCAUUGGUCAAAUACCAGGUCGCAGGUUCCAGGAUGUCCACAGACCCAUUACAUGGCUGAGCUCUAAGAUUGAAAGGGAAGUCUUCUUUGCAACAGAUGGACCAUGAAUCCAUGAGAAGUUAAAAAGAAAGAGGCAGGGUCUUAGAUUUUCGAAACAGUUAAAUUCUAUAAGGAGCUCCUUAAAAAGGAGGAUGGCUCCACUUGAGAACCCGUUAGAUAUGACUCGAAAUUUGGUCAUCGGUGUCGAUUUUGUCCCUAAUUUGCCGACAGCUUUGCGGUGCGACAAAUUUUGAAAAAUGAUUUGGAAAGGGAAAAGUGGAUGUCAGUGGUGGAAGCGGGGGACUCGGGCUGAUCCAAUACUAAAAUAAUUCGCUAAGAACUUCUCUUUUUUUUGCCCUAGAGGCAAUACAUUGCAUUGUACUUCCAUAAUAUUGUACUCCCUUAGGUAUAGUUUGGUUUGGGGAUAAGCAAAAAGUGGGUAUUCUAGGGAUAGGUAUAAAUUGAGGUAUAAGCGGGGAUUAGAUCAAUUUUGCGUUUGGAUGAAAAUUGGGUUAUUCUUGAGAAUAAGAAAAAUAGUGUUUGGUUAGGUAAGAUGGAAUAAGAAUUAAAGUGGGUAGUUAUAAAUAAAAAAUAAUAAUAUUAUUCUUUUCUUUAUAUUAGAAUUUGAAUUUUUAUAUUUUAUAUUUAUAUUUUAAAAUUUAUAAUUUUAACUUUUAAAUUUUAAAUUUUGAAAUUAAAAUUUAAAUUUAAAAUCUCAAAUUUCAAAUUUUAAAUUUCAAACUUUAAAUUUAAGAUCAAAUUUAAAUUUUAAAAAAAUAAAAUAUCAAAAUUAAAUUUAAAAUUUAUUUAAAUUUUAAAUUUUAAUUUAUUAUAAUAUUUAAAUAUAAUUUAUUAUAAAAUUUAUUACAAUAUUUAAAUAUAAAUAAUAUGUAUUAAUAUAGUACAAUUAAUAAUUUUAUAAUAAAAAUAAUGUAUUAUAAUAUAUAAUAUAUUAUAUUUAUAUAAUUUAGUUUUAAUUCAUUUUAUAAUUUUAAUUAAGUUUAAAAUUAAGCAUUGGAAUAGCACUAUUCCACCAAAAUGGUGGAAUAGUAAAAAGCUUGCUAUUCCGGGAUAACCGGGAAUAGCAAGCUUUGGUCGGGAUAAAAUAUCCUGGUAAAAAAUGACCCCGUUUGGCGGAAUAGCGGGGAUAACUUUCGUUAUCCCGUUUAUCCCCCGAACCAAACGGGGCCUUAGUGAAGUACUCUUCUUUUUCGCCCGUGAUUUUUUACCCUACAAAGGGUUUUCCAUGUAAAUCCUUGUGUUCUAUAUUUUCUUUUUCUGUUUUGUGAUUUGUCUACUUUGCGAUCGCCGUUUCUCGUUUCUGUUUGUGCGCUCCUCAUAACAGAACCCAACCCUGUCCGAGAAAAAGGCUUUCUAUAUAAAACUCAUAGCAUGCAGAAUGUUGCAUUGAGGAACAAAAUCUUCCUUGUGACCUUUAAACCAUGAGUAUCAAAGGAGAAGAGGAAGGAUUUACAUUUGAUAUAACAGAAUCAUCAGCUCUAGAGGAGAUGAUGAUCACAGAGAUCAAAGGAGGUGGCAAACCCUUCCCAAGAACACCCAAUCCUCCAUGAGCCUCAUAUAAGAGCAAGAAGUCAAGGCCUUCUAAUUCCAGAGGAGAAGUCUAGCAAAGGAGAAAUUAUUGCCUGCACCUGGUGCAUCCGGAAAUUCUAUACAUCCUGUCUUGCCAACAUAAACUUCACAGUAAUGAUGUUAAGUGAAUGCCGUGGCGUGGGGUCGUGCUAAGCACUUUCCGACAAAAUAAGGCACAAUGCAUGCUGUACUAUGCCAAUGUGUGCCUUCUACAAAAGUAACUUGGACACACUAUGGUAUAAAAAUAUAUACAUCUUUGGCACCGGCGUACUCUAAUUGCUUAUCUACUAAUUUAAAAGAAGAGGGUUUUGCUAUCGACAGAAGGGUUGUAUCAUGUCAAUAUCUUGUCGACCCGCUACGGCACUGGCGGUGACAAUGGCCACUUAAAUCCUUGCUUCACAGGAUAUAAUAUGACUCACAUAGAACUAAGUUCAAGAUUACCCUUUCAAUAGUCGAUGUGCUACCCCAACAUAAGAUUCAGCUGCUCAAAGGCCACAUGCACAAAUCAAUCAUCCAUGCCUCAUAAAUUUAUGUGCGUAUGCAUGUGUGCUUCUAUGUAUGUUAUUAUUAUGCAUAUUCCAAACAUAUAUACAUAUAUACACAUACAUAUGAGAGAGAGAGAGAGAGAGAGAGAGAGAGAGAGAGAGAACCCUGAUCGACCCAAGUAGGGAGAGAUCUCUCAGAUUGGCAAAAAUCAACAUUGCCUCUGAAAAACAAAAAGGAAAAGAGCAAAAGAGAAACCCAUUAACAGCAAUAAAAAAAGAGGCAAGGAAAAGGGGACUAAAAUUAAAAUUAACAGAAGCUUGAAAGAUAUCAUAGAGUUCGGACAAACCACAGUAAAUCAAAGCUCAGAGGCUAUCAGUAUAUAAAUAAAGGACAUAAAUAAUAUUACCAACAAAUAUAAGAGCAAAAAGCAAUAAAAUAAGAAAAUAUAGACCUGACAGUUCUGUAACAAAACCAAAAAUCCCACUGAUACAAAGGAUUAAAUAUAUAAAAGAAAUUCUCUGCAAGUGUAUGUUUCAAGAAAAAAAAGGGGCAAACAGAUAAAGAAAAAUGAUGAAUAGAAAAGGAAAAAGAUUUGCGAAGGGAGGCUCAGAUUUGCCUUUGAUCAGUCACAUAAUGAGUCAAUCCUCUCCUCUGCCCUUGUCCAAACCCAGCCCCUAUGAAAAACAAAUGGCUGCAGUAAUAUUAUCCAAUCCGCCUUGCCAUUUUAACUUCUAAUAGUUGAUCGAAGAAGAAAACACUCCACGUAUCCCCCGAAAUGGGGGCUAACUAUAGAAGAUUACUACUAAGGGGAUCUCAAUAAAGGCUAAAUUACAGAAAACACCCCUGCACUUUUGCAACCUGUAUCAAUUAUCCCUCAUAAAAGGAGACUUAGAUUCAUUGUUGUUGAUCAAUCAGAUGAAAAAAUAUGCCUCUUCUCUCCUCUUGCCUAAAUCAUUUCCCUCAGGGUUAACGGCUGCAGCAGUUGCACUGGUACCAUCCAUACUAUCUUUGCCAUCAUAAACUUUAACAAGGGAUCGGAAAGGAGCUUGAGACAAAGCAGUUGGAUUAUAAGAUUACCUGCUAAUGAGUGAUACACCAUCACCAGCUUUGCUUGUUCACCCCAAGCUGAUGCGCUCAUCAAUCAUCAUCACCGCCUCCUUAUAAUCACUCUGCUCAGAACCAAAUCAGAAUAGAAUUCUUUUUUUUUUUUUCCUUUUUACUGUAAGACAUUGUGAGUCCCUAUGCAGUUAGAAUAGGACUCAUUGAAUGCAAUUCAAAAGUAAACAAUUAAAUUCACUCAUUCAUUUAUGUGGUUCAAAAUGAAAGGAAGUAGGGAUGUAAACGGGUCGGAUAACAUCAGAACCAUGAUCUGGUUGGAACCGCGAUCUGAUUACAGAGCUCCCAUCAGAACCGCGAUCAGAUCGCGCAUUCCAAUUUGUGGAGGGUUCCCAAUCUGUAUAGCAAAAAGUGACAAAGACAAAUAAAAAAUAAAUAAAUAAAUCAAUCAAAUUGGUUGGUUAGAUUACCUUAAAUAAGUGUGUUUUAAAAGAUAGAAUAAUACGCAAAAAUCAUACCCCAAAAAAAGAAAGAGCUGGUGAUUAGAAGAGAAAUUCACAACUGGAGAUAAACAAAAGAAAAAUAUAUGUAGUAACAAUAUGUUAAGUUAUAUACACACACGCACUGGUUAUUCGAUGAGAACCAUGGUCGGACAAACGAUCUGACUAAUCCUAACCACAUUCUUGAGAAACUAGCAUACUGCAUCCCCAUAUACAGCAUGCCACAUCGUAUCCCAUUACCAGUAGCAUUGAUCCAUCUAACCUUGCUUCUGAACACAGAGUUUGCUAGACAAUGAAUUCAAAUUUCCUUAUCCAGCUUGAACUCAGGUGGGAACAAGAUUUCUAAACGUAAUUCGAAUGUGCAAAAGCAAAAUCCAAGCGGAAAUUUUAUUCGAAAUGGCUACGAUGAAGUAUUUAAGUGCCGAUUGGCAUGGGCCGUAUCGUGCCGACAAGAUAUAUGCACGAUACAGCCACUAUGCCGAUGACACAACUCAACACCCUCUAUUCUUUAAAUUAGUAAGUAAUUUUCUCAAUAAAGUUCAAAAGAUUUGAUAAAGAUAUAUAAUAAACGGUUAGAAUAUUUUGUUGCUAAAGAAAAUAAAUAUUUCAUGCCAUUGUGGGUUGGCACACAUAUAUUUUUUGUGACCGGCAAGCACAGUGCCGUACCGUGCCGGCAAGUUUCCGGCACGAACCCGUGCCACAGCACAAAUCAUUGGCUAAGAUAUUCCUAGGAUUAGCCCAAUGUAUAUAAAGGAAAGGUCAAGAAGGCUCAGAUUGGCUCACAUAUCAGGACAUGACGGCUUUUGGGCUCCCCAAAGUCUUGGAACGAAACACUGUUCUUAGGGACACGUUGUCUCUCCAUCUCCAGUUGCAUUAAAAGUGGGACAAAAUGGUUGCCUGCACAAGGCAGGCCAUCCACAAUUUGCCUUGCCAACUAUUUUGAAGUUCAAUGCAUCAAACUGCAACACAAAGAAAUACACUUGCCUAAACAAAAUUUCAGGAGAAAGUUCAGUGACCGAUGGUGCGAUUUACCCAAAGCAAAGCAUCAACACGAAAACCAUGAACCCCCAAACCCUAAAUUCAAUAUCUAAACCAACAAGGCUGCAGCUAGAAAUGGGGCUAUAUCCCUUCAAGUGGGCCAAAUCAUCAUUGCCUUUCAGAGGGAGGGUCAAAAUAAGAAAAGCCGAUAGCCAACAACAAAAAAAGAAGGGCCUGAGAAUGAACUUCUAGAGGGAGACAAGAACCACGAGCUCUCACUCUAAGAGAGACAGGGCAGCGCUUCCAAGCUUCCAUCUAGUCCUCACAAAAGUAGAUAAGUCACCAAAGUAAUGCUCAAAAUUUCAUGUUUGAGACUAACUUACGAAGCUAAAUGCAGUAAUAAGAUUUACCCAAUUUGGGGUAAAAUGUAUGGAACUAACCUGAACUAUAGGCCAUUUUGAAAUAGGCACACUUUCUCAAAGAGAAUAAGUGUAUUUGAGCACCAUCACAGGCUCCCAUGAACUCACCCCAAUUCAAUGAAGUACAACCCACAUUGUACAACAGUGCAAGGGACCCGUAGCAUACUCUUCAGAAACAGUGAUGAACUCACCAAUCAUCACUGUUUCAAGCUAUAGAACAAACAGGGAACUUGCAGCAGUACUGAGUGAAAUAGGUAUCUUUUUGUCAAAGAGGAGAAAUGGAUGAACUCACCAAUCAUCAUCACCUCCUUAUUAUCAUGCUUGCUAUUUUAUGUGUGUGCGUAUGAGAGAGAGAGAGAGAGAGAGAGAGAGAGAGAGAGAGAGAGAGGAGAGGAGAGGUGGGCUUUUUAAGAGAUCGCCUGCUCAGCCUGGAAGGGGUCCCAAUAUACUGCGUCUUGCAGAGGCUGAGAAUGAGGCAAACACUUCCAGAGGCAAAAAACCUUUAAUGUGUUACUCUGGGAUCCCAAGGGAGAUAGGCCCAGAUUUCAUAUCAGGGAAAUAUUUUGGCUAGAAAUACUUCGGCUUCUCCAGGGCACAAGAAAUUGCCUGCACCGGGUGUAUAAGUACAUCUCAUACAUCGCACUGCCAAAAUCAUAAGAUAGAGGCAUUAAAAUCAGAAGUAGAGGACCCAAAAUUUGCAUUGCCAACUGUUCUGAAGUUCAGUGCUUCAAACUGUAACUCACAAAUGAACUUGUUUAAAUGAAACUUAGCUGAAUGUUCAAUGACAAAUGGUGCAACUUACCCAAAAAGAAGCAUCGAAUCUGAAACACAGAACCAAAACCCAAAACCCUAUAUUCAACAUUCAAACCAACCAGUCUGCAUCCCAAACUAAAUUGACUUUUAAAAAGAAGGUAAAGGUAAGAAAAUAUGAUGGCCAGCAGCAGGACAAAAUAAUAAAAAUGAAACAAUUAAAAAGAAAAGCCUAAUAAUGAAUUUGGAAGGGACAUCGGAACCAUGAGAUCUGGCUUCAAGGAAGGCAGGGCAACCCUUCCAACCUUCCAACCUUUCCUAACAAGAGCCACGAAAUUUUCUAACUUAAUACUCAUAUAUAUCCCAUUUGCAACAAACUUGUGAACUUUGUUCGACCAUUGAUAAAAGGACCUCAAAAAGAACCCAAGAACCUUGAAAAAAAGGAUUAAACAACAAGAGAAUGAUGCUAUCGGUAACUCAGGAGAAGAAAAGGUUCACUGCAUUCAUGAUUUCACACAAGAUUGGUAACAAUUUAAUCAAACAUUUCAAAGCCGAUGCGUUGAUUUCAUAAAUCCUCAAGAAACAGCAAAGGAAUGUCAGGAAAAAAAAAAAAAGAGAAUAAGAAAACCCUUUGUAUUGUCUGAAAUCUGAACAGCAAAUCAGAUAAGUGGAAGAAUGUUAAUCUCAUUUGUAUCACCACGACCUUCUCCCACUGUCCCACCAUAGAAUAUCUCAUUAAAAACGGAGAAAAGAACACAGCAAUAGCAGCAAUACGUCGAAAAGAAAAGGAUUUUGUUAAAAACAUCAAUAUUCCACUAUAGCAGACUGACCUUCUAAGAACAAAACCACAAUAAAGCCACAAGACUGUGUGUUGGAAAUGGAAAGAAGAAUCAUAAUACUUAAAAAUUGAAGGGACAAAAAUUAAGAAAGGACUUCACGAAAAAUGUCGCAGAACCAAAGCAAAAACACUUGUUUAAACAACCCAAUGAAAGAAAAAAAAAACUCCAUAGAAUCUCAGCAAUAGUAAAAUAAUAGGGUUAAUUGCAUACAGCUCCCUGUAACUCCAAGAAGAAACACACACAUGGAAAUACAAUGAGAUUGGAGGAAGUGAGGCUCAGAUUCACCAUUGAUUGAUCAAAUAAACAAAUCUCCUCUCUCUCUCUCUCUCUCUCUUUAUCUCCCACGCUUCUUGUCCGAGUAAAACCCUUCAUAAGGGCAAAGGGCUGCAGCAGUUGCACUCAUGCCAUACAAGCUGCCUUGCCAUCUUGACCUUCAAAAUGGUAUGGUGUCAUCAAUCAUCAUCGCCUCCCCCUUGCAUACAUCAUUUCAACACACAUAUACAUACAUACAUACAUACAUACAUAUAUAUACACACACACACACAUACACAAGAAGGGGCAAGCUAGAGAGACUAGUCAAUCCGUCACCUCCAAGCUGCCGCAAAAACGUAAAUAAGGCGUUCACUAGCACAAAACCCUUAAAAAUGAACUCACUAAGAAUGUCGCAAAACCAAAGCAAAAACACUUGUUUAAACAACCCAAUGAAACAAAAAAAAACUCCAUAGAAUCUCAGCAUUAGUAAAAUAACCGGGUUAAUUGCAUACAGCUCCCUGUAACUCCUAGAAGAAACACACACUUGGAAAUACGAUGAGAUUGGGGGAAGUGAGGCUCAGAUUCACCAUUGAAUAUCAAAUAAACAAGUCUCCUCUCUCCCUCUCUCUCUCUCUCUCUCUCUAUUUAUCUCCCACGCUUCUUGUCUGAGUAAAACCCUUCAUAAGGGCAAAGGGCUGCAGCAGUUGCACUCAUGCCAUACAAGCUGCCUUGCCAUCUUGACCUUCAAAAUGGUAUGGUGUCAUCAAUCAUCAUUGCCUCCCCCUUGCGUACAUCAUUUCAACACACAUAUACAUACAUACACACAUACACAAGAAGGGGCAAGCUAGAGAGACAAGUCAAUCCGUCACCUCCAAGCUGCCGCAAAAACAUAAAUAAGGAGUUCACUAGCACAAAACCCUUAAAAAUGAACUUAAUAUACACAAAAUUUGUAAAUCAACAAUAAACUUCUCAACGGUUCAAGGGUUAAUUUUAUACAGUCCCCCAAAUCCGACCAUUAUUUCUAUUUCAACCUUUAAGUAGGCCAAAAUCAUCAUUGUAAAAGAAAAGCUAAGAAGCCAAGAAGGAAGCAAGGAAGAAUGGCUUGACAACACGCUUACAAUAGAGAUAAGAAACCAUGGGCUUCUAGUACGGAGAGGUAGGGCAGCCCUUCAAACCUUCCAUCCUUUCCUCACAAAAACUCGAGGAUUUUCAGUGUGUCGCUCAUGUAGUAUAUCUGGAUCAAAAGCAGAGGAACUUCCUAUAGAAUUUCUUUUUGAGCAAUGCUACUGAGCAGCAUACUGCCUCAAAAGUGGAGGAGCUAGGGAUGCCAAUGAGUUGGAUGAAUAUCAGUCCAACCCGGUUCCAAAUCCGAGUUUUUCCAGAUCCGUUCAGAUUUAUUAAACUAACCUGAAAAAAGCGCAAAACUAGUGGAUUUUUUAUGCAAAUUGGCAUUCCAUGAACUAGCCAGUUAGGUAUGAAGAAACUGAGAAGAAGGCUCAGAAUGGCCCGUUUAUCAGACACAACACUCGCUGGUUUUCUCAAACUAGAAGCAAGAAACAACAGGGGGCAUGGCUAUGUCCGGGAGUGACAGACUGUUUUUAGGCUCACCAUCCAUUCAGCAUAUCUUUUUUACUUCAUAUCUAAAGAGGCGAGCAAAUGGUUGCCUGCAGAAGGCAGACCAUCCAAAUUUGCCCAAAAAGUUUAGGGACCAGCAGUGCAAUUUACCCAAAUAAAGCAUUAAGAACUCGGACCAUGAACACCCCAAAUUCGAAAUUCGAGAACUAAACCAGCAAGUCUGCAUCCCAAUUUAGGAUAGUAUCCCCUUGGGCGGGCCAAUAUCAUCAUUGCCAAACCAAAAGAACAGCUGAUCACCGGCAACUGGAGCAAAAAAAGAGGAAGAUGCUCCUAAUAACGACAGUGCAGGGCAGCCUUUCCAAUCCCCAAAGCUCACAAACAUUUAAGGGGCUGUUUGGUUCAACAUUCGUAAUAUUCCAGGAAUGCUGUAUGUUUUAUAUGUGGACUAGCAAGUUCGUAACAUUGAUGAUCAUCUAAGAUGAUUACAUCAAUAUAUAUAUAUAUAUAUAGAAUUAGGCUACUAUUAUAUAUAUAUAUAUAUAGAGAGAGAGAGAGAGAGAGAAUUAUGCUACUAUACUAUCGAUAGUACUAAGCGUUUGGUGCUAUCGAAUUUUUGACCGUUGGAUUAAAGGAUGUGCAGUUAGGAUGAUAGCAGCCUCCUAGGGUUGAGUGGAUGGUUGGUUGAAUAGAAUAAUCUAACGGGUGAAAAUGAUCAAAAUGAUAGAUCUAACGGCGGAAAACUUGGUAGCACUAAGUGCUUCGUGCUAUAUAUAAGAGUAUAUACGGUAUAUACGAUCAAAACAGCUAUGUAAUCAGUAACUUUAAUUGAGAAAAAGAAUAUCUAUUGAACUGUAUGAUAAAAUUUAUUUCAAGAAGGGGCAAGCUAGAGAGACUAGUCAAUCCGUCACCUCCAAGCUGCCGCAAAAACGUAAAUAAGGCGUUCACUAGCACAAAACCCUUAAAAAUGAACUCACUAAGAAUGUCGCAAAACCAAAGCAAAAACACUUGUUUAAACAACCCAAUGAAACAAAAAAAAACUCCAUAGAAUCUCAGCAUUAGUAAAAUAACCGGGUUAAUUGCAUACAGCUCCCUGUAACUCCUAGAAGAAACACACACUUGGAAAUACGAUGAGAUUGGGGGAAGUGAGGCUCAGAUUCACCAUUGAAUAUCAAAUAAACAAGUCUCCUCUCUCCCUCUCUCUCUCUCUCUCUCUCUAUUUAUCUCCCACGCUUCUUGUCCGAGUAAAACCCUUCAUAAGGGCAAAGGGCUGCAGCAGUUGCACUCAUGCCAUACAAGCUGCCUUGCCAUCUUGACCUUCAAAAUGGUAUGGUGUCAUCAAUCAUCAUUGCCUCCCCCUUGCGUACACACACACACACACACACACACACACACACACACACACACACACACACACACACACACACACACACACACACACACACACACACACACACACACACACACACACACACACACACACACACACACACACACACACACACACACACACACACACACACACACACACACACACACACACACACACACACACACACACACACACACACACACACACACACACACACACACACACACACACACACACACACACACACACACACACACACACACACACACACACACACACACACACACACACACACACACACACACACACACACACACACACACACACACACACACACACACACACACACACACACACACACACACACACACACACACACACACACACACACACACACACACACACACACACACACACACACACACACACACACACACACACACACACACACACACACACACACACACACACAUACACAAGAAGGGGCAAGCUAGAGAGACUAGUCAAUCCGUCACCUCCAAGCUGCCGCAAAAACAUAAAUAAGGCGUUCACUAGCAAACAACCCUUCAAAAUGAACUCACUAACAAUGUCACAGAACCAAAGCAAAAACACUUGUUUAAACAACCCAAUGAAAGAAAAAAAAAAACCUCCAUAGAAUCUCAGCAUUAGUAAAAUAAUAGGGUUACAGCUCCCUGUAACUCCAAGAAGAAACACACACUUGGAAAUACAAUGAGAUUGGGGGAAGUGAGGCUCAGAUUCACCAUUGAAUAUCCAAUAAACAAAUCUCCUCUCUCUCUCUCUCUCUCUCUCUCUCUCUCUCUCUCUCCCACGCUUCUUGUCCGAGUAAAACCCUUCAUAAGGGCAAAGGGCUGCAGCAGUUGCACUCAUGCCAUACAAGCUGCCUUGCCAUCUUGACCUUCAAAAUGGUAUGGUGUCAUCAAUCAUCAUUGCCUCCCCCUUGCGUACAUCAUUUCAACACACAUAUACAUACAUACACACAUACACAAGAAGGGGCAAGCUAGAGAGACAAGUCAAUCCGUCACCUCCAAGCUGCCGCAAAACAUAAAUAAGGAGUUCACUAGCACAAAACCCUUAAAAAUGAACUUAAUAUACACAAAAUUUGUAAAUCAACAAUAAACUUCUCAACGGUUCAAGGGUUAAUUUUAUACAGUCCCCCAAAUCCGACCAUUAUUUCUAUUUCAACCUUUAAGUAGGCCAAAAUCAUCAUUGUAAAAGAAAAGCUAAGAAGCCAAGAAGGAAGCAAGGAAGAAUGGCUUGACAACACGCUUACAAUAGAGAUAAGAAACCAUGGGCUUCUAGUACGGAGAGGUAGGGCAGCCCCUCAAACCUUCCAUCCUUUCCUCACAAAAACUCGAGGAUUUUCAGUGUGUCGCUCAUGUAGUAUAUCUGGAUCAAAAGCAGAGGAACUUCCUAUAGAAUUUCUUUUUGAGCAAUGCUACUGAGCAGCAUACUGCCUCAAAAGUGGAGGAGCUAGGGAUGCCAAUGAGUUGGAUGAAUAUCAGUCCAACCCGGUUCCAAAUCCGAGUUUUUCCAGAUCCGUUCAGAUUUAUUAAACUAACCUGAAAAAAGCGCAAAACUAGUGGAUUUUUUAUGCAAAUUGGCAUUCCAUGAACUAGCCAGUUAGGUAUGAANUGGCCCCCUAGGGUUGAGUGGAUGGUUGGUUGAAUAGAAUAAUCUAACGGAUGAAAAUGAUCAAAGGGUAGAUCUAACGGCAGAAAACUUGAUAGUAUCAGGAACUUGGUACAAUCGAUAGUAUAGUAGACGGACUAUAUAUAUAUAUAUAUAUAUAAUAUUUGUUUGCAAUGAUACAUAUACACCGAAAAGUAGGGCGUAAAUGUAUCAAACUAAGAUCUACAACCAAAGACGAGGUUGUAAUCUUACAACACCACCAUCCAUCCAGGGACCAAUAUUAUUAUUUCUUUUCCUCAUCACUCCCUUUUUCUUCUAGGGAGUAGUCUAAAUCCCGGGCCGGAGGGAGGGUCGUAAGAUUACAAUCCCUUUUUUGGUUGUAGACGUCAGUGUAUUUUUCCCAUUUUGAAGGAGACAUGCUAGGUCUUCGACCGAAAAGGAGAGGCACCCUUUCGCAAAACAUAAGAGAGAGUAGUAGCAGUAGCAGCAGCAGCAGCAGUAGUAGAAGAAGAAGAAGAAGAAGAAGAAGAGGGAGCAUAGCAUCACAAGGGGCAACAUCAGUUUUUGGGAACCCUGUAGCUUUUACUGGAAGAGGAGAAACGGCUAGCAGCUUACCAAGUAACAUCACCUCCUACUUAUUUUGUAUGCUAGAGAGAGAUCUAGAGAGAGAGAGAGAGAGCGUGUGUGUGUGUGAGAGAGAUCUAUAGAGAGAGAGAGAGAGAGAGUGUGUGUGUGUGUGUGUGUGUGUGUGAGAGAGAGAGAGAGAGAGAGAGAGAGAGAGGGUUUUUGAGGAGAGAGAGAGAGAGAGAGAGAGGAAACCCUUUGUUGUUGCGGAGGAGAGAGCACCAACUGGGCCUGAGGAGGAAGAGGAGCACUCGAUCGAUCCCCUCCCCUCCCACUGUGGAGGAAUUCUACACUGUCACACCUGCACCACGUUGUAUUCUAGAAUUUUUCCCCACUCUGCCGUUUGCCCUGGAACCCAUUUUCUGGUUAUAUAUUCCCGUGGGAAGGGAAAACACAGAGUCAAGCAAUUACAAGGCUUAAGCACUAUCAUCUAUACAUUUAAAUAAGGAAUUGAGUUCCUGUACUUUUAAUAGUAUCAUCAUGUCAUAUAUAUAUAUAUAUAACCUUUAAACUAAAAAUAUAUAUAAUUAGAAUGGUUAUAGUCUUCUAAAAUUAAAUAGAUAGUUGAUUAAAUAAUAUAAUUUAAUCAAUGAAAAUAAAAAAUAGAUAUAACCACAGAAAAUUUAUAAAUACCAAAUGCACGGUGCUUGAACUCCUAAAUAAACAUACUAUUAUUACUUGAUAUUCCUUCAAAGCUGCACAGUAAUUUUUCCUUUCUCCUCUCCCCCAUGCGCCUUUCUGUCUCUCUCCUAUGUGUGUGUGUGUGUCUCUCUCUCUCUCUCUCUCUCUUGGCGAUAUUGUAUCCCUUCUAUAUCUCUCUCUCCUCGAUCUUAUCACUUUUUUCUUUUUUCUCUCUCCUCCUCCUCCUCCCGUGCUUCUCGCUCUCUCUUUCCUUCAUUUGACCUUUCUUGUUCUCCCUGAUUUUUGACCGGUUAUAAUUGAAUUGAUCAUUAUGAUGAAAUUUUUUGUAACUGACUGUGUUUUAACUUUGCCUAUAGAGAUAAAUCUAGGUUAGAGGUGGGAUUGCCCUAACCUCUGAUGCGACCCAACUUUUUUUUUUAAUAGUUUUCUUUUAUUAAACAAGUUCAAAUUUAAAUAUCUGUUAUUUAGGAAUAUAAUUAGGGAUAGUCAAUUAUCUUGUUAGGAAAUGGUUAGAAGUAGUUGAACUCUAUAUAAUGUAACCGGGGCGUUACAAGAAACUAUCAAGUAAAAUUAUCUCUUUUCCCUCAUAUCUUGUCCCUACCUCUCAAUUUCUUAAUUCUCUGGAGGCUCGAUCCCCUCGAAGUGAUCGUUUAUCCCUAUUGAUACGGUAGGAUCGUAUCAACCUCUCUCUCUUCUCCUCUUUACCUUAUUUGUGCCUCUCUCUCUCUUCUUCUCCUAUGUCUUUCUUUCGCCAAGCUUUUUUCUCUCCUCCGAUACUGGUCUUUUUCUGUUUGCUCUUCUCGCCCUAUUUCUGGAGCAUUCAAAAAUUAUUAUUUUACAAAAUUUUAUGGGGAAUGCAAAAUAUAUAUUUAGAUUGUCAUGAGAUAGGGUCCCUAUAUUUCUCUCUUAUACUUCUACUUUGCUGGGAGAGAGAAAUGAUUCUAUUAAGAAGUGCUGAUUAGACAGUGACAACUAAACAUCUUUUAUAAUAAAUUCAUUGUGAACUUCCAUCAAUUUUCUUUUUAAUUUUUUUCUGCUACUUUUUAAAUAUUUUCUUUUUCUUAUCAAAACACACUGAACAUUCCUGCUGCAACUUUCAACCAGUUUUAAUAAUAUUUUUGAAAACAAUAAUAACUCAAGAUAGGAAUUUUUUUUUAAAAAAAAAAAAAACCUAAAAUACAGUAUGAUGAUAUAAUGAAACUAAGCCUAGAUCUUUUGACCCAAACCAGUCCAUUCCAGUAAGUGCCCUCUUAUACCCAUCCAUCCUUACAUAAAGAGUUACAAAUAACCCAGCAAAAUUUGCAACCAAACUACUAAUUGAAGAUACAAUGCUUGAAACUGAGAGGCUAUUUACAAUUUUGGAUACAGAGCUUGCAACAAGAACCGAAAUGUAAGGAUCUGGUAGAAACAAUUAAAAGAUUGCAGACCAACCGAUAAUAACAAAGAAAGUUCGCAAAAUCCUUGAGCAGUCUGUCAAUACAAGUACAUAGCACAAAACAAAAGCAUAGACUCCUUUUCCUUUCUUCAGUAUUAGAUCACGGCUCACUUCCGCCAUUGAAUGAUGAAAUAAGCUGAUCCCUUGCAGCUGAUUUCUCGCAUCCCUUCGUCACAUCCAAAUCAGACUGCUCGAAGGGCACCAUCGUAGCUGCCUUUGCCACUGUAAACUACAUAACUGUUGAGUUCAUUAAUCAUCGUCACAUCUGUAGAUGUAAAUAUACAUUUAUAUGUACAAAUAUACGUAUGUACGAAUGUACAUACACAUAGACAAAUGGAAGUAAUGCGGUUGGUGAUGUAGAAAUUACUAAGUACUAUAUCAACAUGACAUCAUCAUCCAGCUACUUAAAUGGGACUAUAAAGCUUGAUUGCAACAAUUUAUAGAGUUCGAGCAAAAAAUUUCAAUAAAUUAAAAUAUGAGGACAAAAGUGUCACCCACCUUACAGUUCGAGGGCCCAAGUAUAAUUUUGCCUAUACACAUAUAUGCAUAAACGCAAGCAAACAUAGACAAGAUGCAGGGAAAAGAGACAGAUUAACUGUUGCAAACACUGAAAGAGAGUUCAUUCCCGGAAAAUCCAUACAAAUGUAAGUGACAUACCCCGAAUUUGUUGAUGAAUAGGUAUUCGAGUCAGAAAAUCUCACAAUGAGAAUGAAGAUGCAAAAACUGAAAAAGGUGAAAAAUUGCAAAACAGAAAAAAUUAUAUUUUACAUGGGAAAAAAAACUAAAAUAAUAAGGACAAUUUCACACGCAGAGUACUGCUCUCAAUUUAGCUAACUUGAUUUUGAAGGGAAAAUGGAGGCUCAGAUUGAUCCAUCUAUCAAGCAUGACAAUUUAAUGCUAGGGAUAAAAGCACCAGAACCACCCGAACUUUAACCUGCUACCACUUGUUUUGGGGAUAAGUGCAGAAAAGACUGUCUAAACUUCAGCUACCUUGCACAGAAACCACAAGAAUAUUUACCAUUUCUGCAAAUUGCCAUCUAAACUUGAAAUUUUCAUACCUAGCACCCAAACAUUCAAAUAUAUUAUAUUAACAACUUUAUUUUCAAACAAGAAAACUCCCCUUUGUUUCUUGAUCAUCGAACUAAUAGCCAUUGCUCCAAACAGGAAAUCUCCUUGAUUCAUUGGAAACAAUCAAGUAAUUAGGAUGCCGAACAUAAAAUUUUCCAAAGUUUCAAUAAAUACCUGCAGAUGGGCAGAGCUUCAGGUAGCUCCGGUGCAGUUGGCCCUUAACUUUGUGUCUCUCCAUCUCUAUUGGACCUAAAAGCAGGGGCAAAUGGUUGCCUGAGAGGCAACAGACCAGCCAAAAAUUGCCCUGCCAAAAUUUUAGAACCAUAGCGCAUGGAGAGAAAAGAGCAGUAUGAACAGAGAAAACUUCGAAAAUCCAAAACCCUAAACCUCAUACGCUAAUCAGAUAUCAAAACUCAAGCUUGCAAGGCAAAAUUGUCAAAGCAAACCUUUCUACAGUGGACCAAAAUCAUCAUUGCCUCAAAGAGAGAAAAAAGAAAGGGUAUCCAGCAGCGAUAGCAGCGGCAGCAGCAAAGAAAUUAGCAAAAGCAUAACAAUGCUCUUAAAAUGGCAUUAAGCUUAAGAAUCCUUCAGCGUAAACAUUGUACAUCCUAUCAGAUCCAACAUGGUGGACAAGGACUAGGCAAUAAUUUCUCAGACAGCAUGGCUUAAUGGUCAACAAAAGUCGUGAUCAGCUUCUGUUGGGCUCCGCCACACUCUUGGUAGAAAAAGCCCCUAAGCCACCGUUUGGUUCGGGGUUGAGUAAAAACUUGUUAUUCCAGGAAUAGAGUUAAAUUCAGGGUUAAGGUGGGGUUAGAGUAAUUUUGUGUUUGGUUGAGAAUUGGGUAUAGUCUAGGUAUAGGUAAAAUAGUAUUUGGUUGGAGUAGAUGGGAUAAGAAGGAUAGUGGAUAAAACAGUGUUUUGUUUGGUUGGAGUAGUGGAGUGGGGUGGGGUUAGCUAACCCAACCCUCCAAAUUGGGUGUUUGGGAAUAACUUCGGGGUUAAGGGGUUAUUCCACCCCUUAACCCCGAACCAAACGGGUGCUAAGAGAACAGGACUCCUCAAAGUAUAGUAUAUGAAAAUACAGAAAACGAAUUAUGAAUUCUUCAUCUCAAAGUAUAGCAUGAAAAUACAGAAAACAAAUUAUGAAUUCUUCAAUGAGGCAGUGUAGAGAAAUAAAACGUGAAGAUUCAGAUUACCCCGUCAAUAGGACGAGAAAUCCAGAAUUUCCUCCAUAAGAUGAACAUACGGAUAGGCAAUGCAGAGACUUACAUAUGCACCAGGGUGUAGGCAGCAAUUUUUCACAGUUUUGCGACUUGCUAUCUCUCCAGGCCUGAAGAGUGGCUGCAAACGGUUGCCUGCUAAACACAGACCAACCGAAAUUUGCCUUGCCCCUCAAUACACAGGAGAAAAUAGCAGCAUAUACAAAACGUGCACCAAAACUCCAAACCCUGAAACAAAGUACGAAAUCCAGAUUCCAGGAUCUGCAUUAACAAACCUGCAGUCCAAAUCACGUAACAUCCUUCUGGGCGUGCCAAAGCUUCUACGAGAAAGAAAAAGAGAAUACAGCAGAACCAGCAAAGAAAGGCAAGAUGAAAGACAAAGAAAACAAGAAGAGGAAAGAAUAAGAGAAAGGACUCGAGAUUCCAAAAGAAGAAUCACCGGCCAUGGGAGUGAUGAUAGAGAGAGCAAAGGAAGCAAAUCCAUCUCUCUAAUUCUCUUGAAAUCACUCCAAUGGGAAGAAUACACUACCACAGCCCACGACAUGGUGCAGGCAAUACUUUCUCCUCUCCACACCAUAAGAAUAAUAUGGAUAUUCGGAUCUACAGGGUGCAGGCAAUAAUUUCUCAUAGUUGUGAGGGACUCCAUACAUUUUUACAUUAAAAUAACUAAAAAAGAUAGAUUUCUUGAAAUAAAUUUCUAUUAGAUUAUAGAAACAAGUGCCUUCAAAAACCAUCAUGAUAACAACUAAACUAUAAAUUAUUGGCUAUUUAUUAUUAGCUAAAAUAAGUCCAAUUUCCUAUCCCAUGAUAAUAUGCCCAAAAGACUAAUAAGUUGAGUUGGAUAAGCCCAACAAGUUGAGGGAGACUGCAAUCCGCAAUACACCUAACAGCAAGAGGCCCAACAAUAGACAUAACAUCCAGGUGAUGCAAGUCAAGUCGAAGCCGGUGAGCGCUAUAGUUGAGCCCUUAAGUGCGAUGGAUAUGCCCUUCCUAUUAGGGCUUGCUUUUUGGAUAGUUGGUUAGCGCUUACGAUCCAUAUCCAUAUACAUAAGUGAAAAAAAGGAAAAUAUUUUGUGAAAAGCAUUGAAUCCAAAACAAAUGCAUACAUCUCUUUGGAGAUAUCUGAUAAAAUGGAAUGAUAUAGAGAAGAUUAGCAUGGCCCCUGCACAAGGAUGACACGCACAGAUCAAGUCAAUGCACACGAUUUAAUCAUGAACAGAGGUACUCACAGUCCACUACACUGCCGCAAGCAAAUGGAUCUUUUACAACAAUGAAACACAUUUAGUUUGCAUUAGAAGCUCCAUUAAGGAAAAUACUGCAAAAGUCAAAGGGAAAGGUAUUACAAAGAAAUGUGAAGUCCAAAGCUCCGAUCAAAACAAGUUACAUGUUAAGUUUAUAAUUGGCAGUUAUUAAUAUUAUAGUAACUCUAUAGAGUUGAUCACAUUGCUGAAGAGAGGAUGAGAUUGCGAAGAUAGCUCAGAUUCGCCCUUUGAUUGAUCACAUAGAUCACUCCCCUCUCCGCCCAUUCAAAUCAAACACUUAAUGAUGAAUGGCUGCAGCAGUCACACUGACCCAUCCAAGCUACCUUGCCAUUACAGUCACCAUUUUCUUAACGUGUGUGUGUACCUAUGCAUAUGUAGGGACAUACACACACGCGCGCACACGCACACACACAAAAACAAACACGCACACACACACACACACACAAUAGGUCCGUCUUGCAUGCAUGCAAACAAAAACAAACACGCACACACACACACACACACACACACACACACACAUAAUCAAUUUAUCUAUCUACCCAUCCAACCAUCGAUAAUAUACAAGGAGCGGUAAAGAGUGACUACACUCAAAUCAUUGCCUGCCAAACUGCAGCAAGAAACACAAAAUGUGGUUUGUUACACAAAAUUUUAACAAGUGAACUUUGUGUGCUAAACUUGUAAUCUUUAAACACAUUUAGGCCUGCAAAGGUCGCAAUCAAGGGGUGAAAAAAAGAAAAAAAGGUGCCAAAAAGUUGUAAAACUAAGAAAAGGUAAACCUUUUAUUCAAAUGGCAUAAAGAAAAAGGCCAACUUAAUACAUAGUAAAAGGUAAAAUUCUUGUCAUACUCAACUGGCUAUAAGAGACAGGUGAGGAUGGCUCAGAUAUUGGCCCAUCAAUCAAGCGUAACGAUUGCUUAAACUCCUCAAUAUUGAAGUAAAUGACAAUGCUAUAAAAAAGUACAGGGCAAUCUUCUGAACCAACAAACUAUUUUUAGUUGUCACCAUUCUUUUCAUCUUCAUUGGCCUAAAAGUGGUUGCAAAUUGUUGAUUACGUAGAAGACCAGCCGAAAUUUGCCUUGCCAACAUAUUAAUGCCUUAGAUGACGAGAAAAGAGAAGUGAGCACACAAAGUGUCAAAACCCAAAACCCUAAACCCCAAAACAUAAACCGAAGAUUGAUAUGAAUGACUAAGCAAUUCCGCACCAUAAAAUUAGGAAAAUAUCCUUUGCUCAGGCCAAAAUCAUCAUUGCCUUGAAUAGAAUAGAAAAGAGAAGUAAAAGGUACCCAUCAGCAGAAGGGGCAAAGAGGGAAGCACGUCCUUAUAAUUAGGGGUGUUCAUGGGAAUCGAAGAAGCCGAAAGCAUAACUGAACCAAAGUUUCUUUUUUCUUUCUUCCCAACACAUGUUUGAUUCCAGUACACAGAAUUCCAAAAACCAGAUUUUCUGGUUCGGUUAUGUUUUGCAUUUUUUCUCCACAAAGUAAAAAAUAAAUAAAUAAAUAAAAAUCAGAAAAACAGUUAACCCAUCCGAACCAGUUUGGUUCAUAAACAUCUAAAGUUGUUCCAAUUCACUUUUCUUUGGUCCUUCUAGUUCAAAAGCAAAGCCCCUACCAAUCUAGGGUUUCAAGAUCACCAACCUUUAUCACAUCUCCUCCUUCGACGCGCCCCUUCUCCUCUGGUGGCUCCCCCACCAAACCAUCUCUCUCUCUCACUUAAAUCUUAUUCGCCACCUGCUCACUCUUAGACACCACCGUCAACACUGUCAAUGCCAAACAGGCUAACCAGUUUGCCAUACCGGUUGAAACCAAAAAACUGGUGGUUUUGCAACCUGUUCAUAUUUUGUCCAAACCGGUCCAGUUAAUUAGACUGGUUUCACCCCUACUUAUAAUGAACAUACAAAGUAGAUAUGAUUGCUUUGAGGAAAGUUUGUGAGGAGGCCUUCAAACUUUCAUCCACGCAACACAUAACUUGCUACUCAUAAUGAACAUGUUAGGGCAUAAAAAAUAUAAAAGUUUUUCCCUAACAUUUCCAAAUCAGAUCCAGGAAAAGGGAGAUAAAAAAAAAAGAGAUCCAAAACUAGAUUAAUAAGAAUAAAAAAUACCGAAGUGCCUGUGAAGCAUCUCCUAGAGAGAGAUUGCAACUAAAGGAAACAAGACAUGGCUUCAGAUCUAACGAAGUUUGCAACACAUCUGUAAACAAUAUGUGAAAAAGAAGCAUAAACACUCCCUAAAUCGACAAAAAAAGGAAAAAAGUACCUCCAAAUCGGAUCUAACUUCAGUUCGAAAACAAUGAGUUUUAGCGAGAGAGAAGUGAUUAAAUAUGUAUGCGAAAAUGGCGAAUGGAGGGAAGGAGAUCACAAAGAUUACCUGGGAGGACGAAGUAGUAGAAGAGGAUAGGUGUUCGUGCGAGAGAGAGAGAGAGCAGCGUGCAACAAUACUCGCCUUCAGUAAUCCAAUAUACGCACCCCCCCCCUCCCCCCUUCGGUAAUAUUUUCGGUGUAAUCUUACACCUUUUGUUAUGCUGAAAUACCAAAUAGAUUACAUAUUGAAUGAACCAAAUGCAGUAAUCCUGACAGGAUUGCAUGUAAUCCUGCAAGGAUAACCGAACCAAACGCACCCUUUAUGUAAUGCUUCUAAAUCAUGCCUGACAUGGUGGACCAAAUCCAGCCAAUAAUUUCUCAAAGAGUAGGGCUGCCAAAUUAACUUACUCUUGCAAACAGCUUGUGUGUAGCUUGAAGCUCAAUUGAGUUGAUUACAUUGGCUGCUUUAAGAAAUAAGCUGAGCAUGAGAUAGGAGUGAAAACGGAUACAAAUCAGCAAAGUAGAUAAAUCAUAUCUGCACCUAUAUUCCAUAUUUCUUUUCCAAAUUCUUUUGUUUUUCCCCCUUCUCCUGAAUAUGGAAACAGAAGAUAUGUGGAUUCUAAAGUUGGAAAUCAUAUUUGAAUAAAAAGCUACAGAAUAAAACUAAAACUUGAUAUAACAUAAUUGUACUAUAAAUAUGUAACAUAUCUUGAAAAAGUGUAAAAUAAAUCAAUAAGGAACUCAUACAAAGAUUCAAGGGAAACAAGCAAUAAAAGAAGAAAACCAGGAAGUAUGCCUCUCACAAAACACAAAACCCUCACACUACCAACAUCAAAAGGUUAUCUGGAAAAAAAGGAAUAAAGAUCAAGUAGCACAAGAAGCUACAGAAUGGUUUAUAAAAGUGGAAACUUCGACAGAUUAAACUCUCGAGAUUGAGACCAACUGCAACAGAUUUAAUGCCUUCCUAUUCAGUUUCAAAGCUAAGCAUAUCCAACUACAACAGAUUAAGCUCUCGAGAGUCAAGACCAACUGAAAAUUCACGUAAGUUCAGGUACCAAUAGUGCAAUUUACCCAAAUAAAGCAUUAAAGCUGAACACCCCAAAUCCUGAUUUCGAGAACUAAACCAGCAAGCCUGCAUCCCCAAGUUAGGGUACUGUCUUUUUGGGUGGGCCAAGAACUAGAAACACAGAUGGAGAUACAAUGAGAUUGGAGGAAGGGAGGCUCAGAUUCACCACUGAUUGAUCAAAUAAACAAAUCUCCUCUCUCUCUCUCUCUCUCACUUUCUCUCUAUCUCCCACACUUCUUGUUCAAGUAAAACUCUUCAUAAGGGCAAAGGGCUGCAGCAGUUGCACUCAUGCCAUACAAGCUGCCUUGCCAUCAUGACCUUCGAGAUAGUAUGGUGUCAUCAAUCAUCAUUGCCUCCCUGUUGUGGACAUUAUGUCAACUUACAUACAUUUAUACAUAUACGUUAUACACAAGAAGGGGCAAGCAAGAGAGCUUAAUCAAUCCAUCACCUCCAACCUGAGGCAGAAACAAAAAUAAGCCGUUCAAUAGCACAAAACCCUCAAAAAUGAAAAUGUAUCCAAAAUUUGAAAAUCGACAAUUAACUUGUCAAAGGUUCUAGGGUUAACUUCAUAUGUAGUUCCUGAAAUCCGACCAUUAUUUCCAUUUUGGCCUUUAAGUAGGCCAAAAACAUCAUUGCCUUUCAAAAAGGAAAAGAUAAGAAGCGAAGAAGGAAGUAAGAAGGGCUCAACAAUGCACUUAUAACAGCAAUGAUAACCACAGGCUGUUAAUAACAAGAGGUAGGGAAGCUGUUCAAACCUUCCAUCCUUCCCUCACAAAAACUCGAGGAUUUUCAGUGUGUCGCUCAAAUGUUGUCUGGGUCCAUUUUAAUGCAUCAAAAGCAGAGGAGCUGCCUUUAGAAUUUCUUUUUGAGCAAUGCUAUGAAGUUAGGGAAGCAAAUGGGUUGCAUAAUAUCCGUCCAACCAAGCUUCCAAAUCUGAAUUUUUCCAUCUCUCCUGGCCUGAAGAGUGGCUGCAAAUGGUUGCUUGCUAAAACACAGACCAACCAAAUUUGCCUUGCCCCUCAACAGGAGGAAAUAGCAGCUUGUACAAAAACCAUACCAAAGCUGCAGACUGUGAACCACAAACCUUGAACCCAGAUUACCGACCGUCCCUAGCGCAGGAAGCACUGAGCCAUAUGCUUAAGUUUUUUAUUUUUUUUAAUAGAAAAAAGGAAAAGAUGUUGCGAAGUUUUGAAAUCCAACAAAAUCAGUCAAACUGCACACAUCGCUUCAGAGACAUCUGAUAAAUUGGAACAAUACAGAGAAGAUUAGCAUGGUCCCUGCAGAUCCAGCCAAUAAUCUUCCAAGAGUAGGGCUGCAAUCAAGUUAACACAAUUGACUACUUUCGGAAACAAGCUGAGAAUGUGCUAGGGGUGAAAAUGGAUCGAACACAAAUCAGCAGAGUAGCUAAACCAUAUCUACAUCCAUAUUGCAUAGUUCUUUUCCAAAUUCUUGCUUUAUUUUUUAUUUUUUAUAUUGGAAAUCAAGUUUAAUAACAUAUAUUAAAAUAUCUACAAUGUUCUUCAAAACUUCAAAAAACUUUAUUUACCCCUGGAGGACCAACAUACCCUUAUUGAUUUCAAAAAAUUCAUUCAUAUAUCCCCUAGAGGAAAUGGGGAUAUAUGAAUGAAUUUUUUAUUUUUUAUAUUGGAAAUCAAGUUUAAUAACAUAUAUUAAAAUAUCUACAAUGUUCUUCAAAACUUCAAAAAACUUUAUUUACCCCUGGAGGACCAACAUACCCUUAUUGAUUUCAAAAAAUUCAUUCAUAUAUCCCCAUUUCCUCUAGGGUUUACAAUGGGUUGGUUUUAAAAGGAUACUUUGGUAAGUUUAGGGUAAAUUUGAAAAUUUUGAGUAAGACCCUCAAGAAAAUUUACAACAAAUCAAUAGAUACAAGGAUUUAAGGAAAACAAGUAAUAAAAGAAGCUAAGAAUUAAUAUGCCAGCUACAAAACACAAAACCCUCAGCCUAACAAGAUAAAGCAGCUGUCUGGGAAAAGAAAGAAAGAAGGAAAAGUAGAAAGCAGCUGCAGAAUUGUUUAAUAAAAGUGGAAAUGUCAACAGAUAAAAAUAAUUGAAAGAAAAGGAAGAGGAUGGUGGAAGGGACAUCAAAUUCAUCUUUGUUUGGUCAAAUAAAUAGGGAUAAUUUCAUAUGCACCCUUUAGUCCAUUAAAUCUUCAAUCAACCCACCCACUCAACCAUAGGACCGCUAUUAUCCUAACCGCACAUCCCUUCAUCCAAGGGCCAAAAACCUAAUAGCAACAAUGACUUAGUGCUAUUAAUAGUAUAGUACCCUAGUUCUACAUAUAUAUAUAUAUAUCCUCUCCGCCACAAUGAAGCCCCUCCUGUAGGCAAACAGCUGCAGCGGGUGCACUAAUGCCAUCCAAAGCUGCCAGCCAUCAUAAGCUUCAAUAUGGGAUCUGAAAGGGAGAAGGGUCGAGGAAACAAUUUCUCCAACCCCACGAAUGGUGAACAGAUGUAUAUAUGGAUGCAACUGGUGCAAGCAAUAAUUUCACAUAGACAGGGACAUGUUCACACAUUUUUACGAAAAUAUCCUUCGAGGAGAAUAUUUGGCUUCCCAAGCUUAUAAACAAUUGAUAGCAACAAGGUAUUGCAUGGAGCUAUGCACCAAAACAAUACAAAUCACCUUACAUACAUGCAUCUCCCACCAGCCUAACAAUGCGCAAAUUUUAAAUGGUAGUCUGCAAAGAAGCGUCUUGCCAACCAUGCAACAACUUCAGCAUAUUAUAAGAAAGAGAAAUAUGCAAAAAUAAUGGGUCAAAUUGCAAAUCCAAAACCCCAACCCAAGCCCAAGAUGAAAGGUAGUAAGUUUACAUUCCAGACACAGAAAACCCCAAUAACUUGGCCGAGGCAAUAAUUUCUCCAAAUGUAGGGCUGUCAAUUGAGUCGUUUGCUUUCAAACAACUUAUAUUCAGCUUGUGUUACGCUUAACCACCCUUCUCUUUUUACAAGAGAAACAUCAAAGAAAACACCUCAAAAAACACUUCUUCAAAUACUUAAAAAGAAGCAAAACGAAUUAUAAAUUCGUCAAUCAAGCCGAGAUAAUAAUAAUUAAAAUCUUUUUACAAGAGAAACGUCAAAGAAAACACCUCAAAAAACACUUCUUCAAAUACUUAAAAAGAAGCAAAACGAAUUAUAAAUUCGUCAAUCAAGCCGAGAUAAUAAUAAUUAAAAUCUUUUUACAAGAGAAACGUCAAAGAAAACACCUCAAAAAACACUUCUUCAAAUACUUAAAAAGAAGCAAAACGAAUUAUAAAUUCGUCAAUCAAGCCGAGAUAAUAAUAAUUAAAAUCUUUUUACAAGAGAAACGUCAAAGAAAACACCUCAAAAAACACUUCUUCAAAUACUUAAAAAGAAGCAAAACGAAUUAUAAAUUCGUCAAUCAAGCCGAGAUAAUAAUAAUUAAAAUCUUUUUACAAGAGAAACGUCAAAGAAAACACCUCAAAAAACACUUCUUCAAAUACUUAAAAAGAAGCAAAACGAAUUAUAAAUUCGUCAAUCAAGCCGAGAUAAUAAUAAUUAAAGAUAAGGCUCAGUUUGGCCCAACUGCCAGAUAUGAAAAUAUCAGUAUUUUCUCCAUAAAGUGGAGGGUGAAUGAGCGGACAACAUGCAGACGUACAGAUACACCAGGUGCAUGCAAUAAUUUUAUUGGUAGUUCUGUUACUCAUAGUCACCAUCUCUUCAGCCUAAAGAAUGGCUGCAAAUGGUUGCCUGCUAAGAAACAGAUUAACAGACCAGCCAAAUUUGCAUUACCCACUCAGUAGACACAAGAAAAUAACAGUGCUCCAAUAUAAAGCUCAAAAACUCCAAACCCAGAGCCCACAAAUCAGAAUAUGGGGAUCUAAAUUGACUCUGUGUCACAAAUUGGGUAGAAUUUUUUUUAUAAGUAAUCCUAUCAAUUUUAUAAUUAUAAAAAUAAUUUCUUAAAAAAAAUAAUUAUAAAAAUAGACUUCUAAAUGCGGUGAAUGAUUUACCGCAUUUAUAACUCCUCAUUAGGGGUAGAAAAAGAAUAAAAGCGGUGAACCAUUCACCGCUUUUACCAUCGUAGAAAUAUAAAAAAAAGUGAGAAAAUGAAAGAAAGCGGUGAAUGGUUCACCGCUUUUAAAAGCGGUGAACCAUUUACCGCUUUUAUAGGACCAUAUUAAUAAAUAAAAAUUUAAUAGAUCUAUUUUUAGAAUAAAAUUUUAGGAGAAGACUAUUGAACUAAAAAACCCCUCUUGGUGGGCCAAAAUCAUCACCGCCUCAAAAAGAAAAGAAAAGAAAAGAGAAUAAAUCUUGCAGAAGUAGCAAUGAAAGGUAAGGAAUGAAGAGCCAUGAAAUAAACAUACAAAGACAGGAAACAUUUUUGAAAAAAAACUCCCUUAUCCAUUUCCAAAUCCGAAUGAUAGCGCAGAUACACCACUUCAGAAUCAAACCUGAAGAAAUAUUGACACAUUGUAAAACUCAUGUUAUUUAUUAUCCGACCCAUUUCAUCCCUAGAAAUAGCCCUACAAAGUGAAAAAAAAAAAAAACGGACCACUUUGGUAGCCGCAACAUUGGUAAAAAGAAAAAGGACCACUUUGGUAGGAGCAAUAUCUGUAAAACAAGAGAGUCUCCAGUGCAAUGGUUAUAUGAACAGCACUCAGACUGAGUUGUGGUGCUCACACUGUGGAGAGCCAUCACACCUACAAGAUUUUCCAGAGUUUCCAUAUAACACAAUGACUUGGGGAAUGCCAGUGUGAUGCAGUACAAGAUUCCAUACAUUUUUACCAAAAAAAGAUAAAAAAAAGCAUUCAUCCUCUUUUAAUCCAUUCUGCCAAGUGGAUUGGACCAUAACUCACGCAUGGAAUUGUGCAAGUAAUCAUUUCUCCUCUCCCAUGGGCAAUAUGUGCACAGAGUGCAGGCAAUAAUUUCUCAUAAAUGAGGGGACUUAAUACAUUUUAACCAAAAAAUCUCAAAAUUAAAUAACAUAAUCUUUUUUUUUAUCUUAAUAAUAUCAUGGCAACCACUAAACAUGAAAUAAGACAUAUGCAGGAACAAGUAGAAUAUGAAAAGAUUUUGCAGAAAACGAAAGUAUUACAAGAUAUCAGCUAAAUAAAUAUAAUUUAGAUAUCAACAUAAAUAAACAUACUCCAAUAGAUUGACAAAAGCAGAUGAACUUUUAGAAAAAAAUACCAACAUUAAACAGCAUUAAAAGCUCAAAAAAGAACACAAGUACAAAAAAAUGAAGACAAAUAGUAAGAAACCUUAUUUCCAACAUCUCAGUACCAAAGCCCAAACCACUAGUCGAACAGGAUCGAAUUAAAAUACAAACCCUCCCAAUGCCAGAAAUUAUCAAAAUAGUAAUGUUAUAUAGUAGAAAACAAAGCAGGAGAUUGGAUGAGAUUGUGCAGGGAACUCAUAUUCGCGUUUUAUUGAUCAGAGAUAUAUCUCUCUAGCCUGCCCUCUGCACUUGUCCAAAUCAAACCCUCCUAAGUUUGAAUGGCGGCAACAGAUGUGAUCGCGCCAACCAAGCUGCCAUGCCAUUACAACCUUAAUAGAGAAUGAAGUUCACAAUCAUCAUCACCUCCUCAACUUGCAUAUCUAUGUAUGUACAUGCACCGAUACUUACAUAAUAUGUGCAGACUUCCAAAAUAUAUAUACUAGAAAAGGUAGCGAAGAGUGAUUAUGAUCCAAACUAAUUCAAAAUUAGAAUAAUAUGGGUAAACUUUAUUAAUUAACAGUUAUUGAGGUCAGAAAAGGUCGCAACCGAGCAGAGGAAGCAAAAGAAUUUUUUUUUCAGAAAGCUGCAAAAAUGAGAAGAUGUGUGUUUUGUCUUAUUCAAAAUGAGAUAUGGAAAAGGCCAAUUUAAUACGCCAGUCACCAGUUGGCUUGAUUUGGUUUCAGAGUGUAUUCAGUUCCACGCUCGCCCCUAUGUCAGUUCAUGAAAAAAUAGAUUUCUUGUUAUACACAACUACGUUUAGAGAAUUAUCAGAAUGGCCCAUCAACAAGACAUGAUGACUGCUUAAGCUCGUCAACUUUGAAGCAGAUGACAACAAUAUAAUUAGAGUUAGGGCCAUCUUCUAGACAAUAAACUGUCUUUACUUGAACAACCAUUUACAAAUUCUUGAAGGGCAUAUUUCAAAAAGGCCAAUUGUUGAGGGGUUCUUAGUACAUACAUACAUUUAUUUAUACGUCUCUCCAACUCUAUCAGCCUAAAAGUGGGUGCAAUGGUUGCCAAAGAAGAAAUGAACCACCCAAAAUUUGCCUUGCCAACAAAUUAGAACUGUAGCAAAUGGAGAGAAAUGAGUAGUGUGUACAAAUAAAGCAUCAAAAUCCAAACCCUAGACCCCAAACCUUAAAUCCGAGAACUAGAAAUUCCGCAUGACAAAAUAAGCACAGUACCCUUUCAGGCAGACCAAAAUCAUCAUUGCCUCAAAGUGAAAGCAAGAAAGAAGAAGGGGUAUCUAGAGGCAACAAAAGAAUGGGCCAUAAAAUGAACUUACAGUGGAGAUAGGAUCCACGGAUUGCUGUUCUCAGGAGGAAAGGUGAGGCAGCCCUUUCAACCUUCCAUCUUCCCCUCCCAAAAGCUUAAGAAAUUUCAAUGUGACACAUUUCACACCCAACGUGGUGGACCAGGUCUAGGCACUAAUUUCUCCAAAUAUAGGGCUGUCAGUUUAGCUCAUUGCUAAACAGCUCACACUAGGCUGAGUCUCCUUUCCCAAAAAGCCCAAAAAGAAAAGCCCAAAAAGAAACACUACAAAAAGACCAAUCGAAAUACCAAAAUAGAGAGUUUUUCUCUGUACAAUGGAGGAAAGAUAGAUAUGUUAUGAACAGAUAUACAGAUACACCAGGUGCAAGCAAUAAUUUCUUGUUGUUCCACAAUUCCUCAUCUCUGCUAGCCUGAAAGGUGGCUGCAAAUGGUUGCCUUGUAGGAAGAAGGCCAGCCAUAAUUUGCUGAACCACUCAGUAGAGAGUAGAAAAUUGCCGUUCAUAAGGUAAAACACUAAAACGCCAAACUCUGAACCCCAAAUCUGAUCUCCGGGAUUUAUAUCAAUGAGUCUUCAUCCAAAUCAGGUAAUCACCCUUUGGGCAGGCCAAUAUCAUCAUACCCUCAAUGAGAAAGAAAAAGAGAAAACAGGUAUCCAGCAGAAAUAGUCAAAAAUGAGGCAAAAAAAAAAAAAAGGAAAAGGAAGACAAAAAGGGGGGAGGAAAUCCCAAAACAGAAAUCGCAAGAUGGCAAGAGCUUUACAUCAAAAACCACUCCUCUGUUACAAGAAAAGCCCAAAACAUAAAAUCCAAAAAACUCCUCUAAAUAUCAAAAAGAAGGGAAAGCAAAUGAUAUAUCCUUCAAUUCAAAUCUUCUGGACAUAAAGGGAAAGAAAAAAAGGCUCAGAUUGGCCCAUUUAUCAGACAUGAUAUUUUUUUUUCUUUUUUGAGAGAAAGGUAGCAAGCUACCUGCUUUGUUCAUUUAUCAGGCAUCAGAAUUGCAGUACCUUCUCUAUGAGAAGGACUAUAGAUGAAUGAGAUGUACUUAUACACCAAGUACAGGAAACGAUAUAUCGCAUAUAUAUAUCUCUCUCUCUCUCUCUUAGCCAGUCUAAAGAGUGGCUGCAAAUGGUUGCCUGACAAAAGACAGACCAACCAGAAAUUGCCAUGCCAAAUAUACUAGAACAUCAGGAGACGAGGAAAUAGCAGAGCAUACGGAGAAGAUUCAAAAAUCCAAAUGUAAAAUCCAACUCAAAUACAGAGGAGCAAGGAUCUAAAUUAACAAGUCUGCAUCCCAAAUCAGGUAAAUAUCCCUGUAGGUGGGCCAAAUCAUCAUA